rnacentral:lncRNA from 1 species
UAGGAUUAAAAAUCUUGACAAUAAAAUUGGUUCAUUAAUAGUGAAACUCACAACUGAAGAUUUAGAAGAGAUUUCUUCUGUGAUUCCCAGCAAUGAGCUAGAAGGGGACAGAAUGAUGGAAAUAUAUUUUUUCUUUCUCAAAUUUAUGUAAGAGCAAAUUAAUUAGCUUAACAUACAUUAAGUGAUGUCUCAAAUGAGUGCAAAACUUUGCAAAACCGCAUGGAGCUGAAACAAGAAAACACCAAGGUCUUUUCUUGUGACCAAAGCAAAUUAAAAGAAUGACAGAUCGUGUCACACUAUGGGGAAAAUUACUACGGUUUGUUUCAAUAAAUGAUGGGGGGAAUGCAGGGUGGCUUUUAUGUGUUUGAUUUCAGCUUGCUUUGUUGAUACAGAAAUAUUUGGUAUAAAUGAAUCAAAUGUAUCAAACUCAAGGCUGUUUCCAGCACCCAAACUACCCCAACUAAAGAUGGAUUUGUACCUAUUUGCCUCAUUUUGAUACUAAUUUGACAUCAGUGCACCAACAAUUUAAAUACUGUUCCGAAAAUCUUAAACCCUUGGUUUUGUUCGUUAUGUAUCAUGAUCAGGCAAUACAACAGAAAAAUGAAUAAGAAACAAGGUGUGACUUAAAUCAACAACAGAAUAUUUUUCAGUUUGUUAAAACAUAAGAUAUUCAAACUAAAGUUCAACUAUUGUGUAUAGUGGUGUGGUGAUUCGGAUAGCUCUAUUGUGAAUUUAGUAUUAUCUCACAAUCAAAGAAGAUACAAAGACGGGGCAUUUCAUCUUUUGCAGGCGCAAGAGUAACAUCAAGAGGCUAAAUUCACACUUAAAAAUGGUAAAUAUGUUAUCGCAUUAAUAGAGAAAUUUUUUGGUGGGAUCAACUCAGCAUACUGGUUAUUAUAUGCACUCCUGUAAAAGUCUAACACAGAUUUAUUUUGAGAUUGAUCAAUCAUGAUAAUAAGAAAGGAUAAAAACUAAAAUGUAUCUCAUGUGACAUAAUUUCAUUUUAUGGUUACAUAGAGAGCUGAUACUGUAAAUUUUUCCCACAGUCCCACAAUUGACAUUUUGCAAAGAACAGGGGAUAUUUUAUCAAAUCGUAAAAUCAUUUGCACUUGUUUCAAAUUACAAUAAAUUGACCAAUCAUGAUCCAUGAUAGUGAGGAGGUAGGAAGAAAAAAUCGUUUGCACAAGAACACUACAAAAAUUUCAGCUUAACGUGCACCUGUGUUCACAUCUUUCAAAUCCUUGCCAUAUUCCUUUUUGCCUCAUUCAGCUCAAGCACAAGUCAGCUAACUACUUACGGAAAGAAUACUAAAACAGAGAAACCGAAACCACAACUUCAAAUAUUGCAGAAUAUAAGAAACUCCAAGUUCUAAGAGGGAAACUUGGAACCCAAGGCAUUGAUGUAACUACCCAUUUCAAAUUUUCUUUUUCUUUUUCUGUUUAAUCCUGAUCGUUUGAUUUCUCUGAUUGUGUUUUUUUGCUUUUACAAGUUUCAAAGCUGAGGUUUGGAUGCACUAGCUUGAGUGGAGGUUACAAUUCUCCAGUCUCUGAAAAGGAUGGCAUCUCAGUACUAAAGCAUGCUUUCAGUAAAAUGAAUCACUUUCUUUGAUAUUGCAUAUAAAUAUGGAUCAUGCAUGUCAUGACCCAACUCAGAUCUGGUAAGAAAUUGUCCGUACGAUUUUAUUUCUAGGACGCACAUACACCCCAAAACGCAUCUUGCCAAUUAAGGUGUGGAUCAUCCCUUAUAAACCCAACAUCUCUCUCAUUUUUUGUUGAUGUGGGAUUUACCUAAGGUAUUACAUACACCCCCUUAGGGACUCAGCAUCCUUGCUAAGGUUUUCCCCACCAUCGUUCAAGAGCACACACAAAGUCACUCUGAUAUCAUAUUUCAUGACCUAACCUAAACCUGACAAAAUAUUGUUCGCUUUGGGCCUUAACAAGACCUACACAACUUUGUUUUUAGGGUGUAUGGACGCGUCUUGCCAAUUAAGGUGUAGAUCACUCCUUAUAAACCCAGCAUCUCUCUCGUGCUUUGCCGUGAUCCACACUUUAAUUGGCAAGACGCGCUUUGAGGUGUAAGGUUGCCAGAGAAACAAAAUUGUGUGGGUCUUGUUAAGGCUCAAAGCAGACAAUAUCUUGCCAAGUUUAGGUUGAGUCAUGACAGAUGGUAUUAGAGUAGCUCUGCGUGUUCUCUUCAGCGACGGUGGGACAAACCGCAGUGAGGGCACUGAGUCCCUAAGGUGGGGUGCAUGUAACGCCCUAGGCGAAUCCCGCAUCGGCAAAGCACAAGAGAGAAUCUAGGUUUAUAAGAAAUGAUCCACACCUUAAUUGGCAAAACACAUUUUGGAGUAUAUGGGCAGUCCAAAAACAAAACCAAACAAGGCCCAAAAUAAACAAUAUCUUGUCAGGUAUGGGUUAGGUCAUGACAGAUUGUAUCAGAACAUCUUCGCUUGUCCCCUUGAGCGAUGGUGGGGCAAAACUCAGCGAGGACGCUGAGUCCCUAAGGGGGGUUUAUGUAACAUCUUAAGCGAAUCCCACAUCAACAAAGUACGAGAGAGAUGUUGGGUUUAUAAGGAAUGAUUCACACUUUAAUUGGAAAGACACAUUUUGAGGUGUAUGGGCGGUCCAGAAACAAAAUCGUGUGGGCCUUUUUAUGGUCCAAAGCGAACAAUAUCUUGCUAGGUAUAGGUUGAGUUAUAACAUAUGGUAGCAGAAAAACUUCGCGUGUCCUCUUGAGCAACGAUGGGGCAAACCUCAGUGAGAACACUGAGUCCCUAAGGGGAGUGUAUGUAAGACCCUAGGCGAAUCGCACAUCGGCAAAACACGGGAGAGAUGCUGAGGAUUAAAGGGGUGAUCCACACUUUAAUUGGUAAGAAACGUUUUGGGGUAUAUGGGUGCCCAAGAAACAAAACUGUGCAGGCAUUGUUAAGGUGCAAAGCUAGUAAUAUCUUGUCAAAUCUGGGUUAGGUCAUGACAAUGCACUAAUGAAAUUCUUCUUCGAAAGGUUGGGAUAUUGACUCUUGACUCUUGUGUUAGAAUUCUCUUAACUAAGCAUUUUUUUGUUUCAUUAAUUUAAUUACAAUUCACAUCUAGAUCAAGUGGAAACCUAAAGAGUAUGAUAAUUGUGAUGCUUCAAGUAAUUUUACUGAUAACUAAGGAAUUAUACUCUUAAUGAAAUACGUUUUAUCAAGGGAUUAGUUGGUGAAUAUUUAGUUUUGGACAUUAUUAAGGAUAUGGAAAUCAUGGUUAUAGUUUCCUGAACUUAUUGAAAAAAAAAGUUCACUCCUUUCAAGCCUUGAAGGAGUUACCUAGAGAAAUCACACAAGUAGCUACAAAGUUUGGCAUUGCAGAAUUUGAACUUGCUACUGUAGUCGUGAAGGAUACCCUUGAGUGUGUGCGCUCAUGUUGUGAAGCUAGCUUGGAGUGCCUUGAUGUGGAACACAUAGAUCUAUAUUGUCAACAUAGAGUAGAAAUAUUAGUCGCUAUAGAGGAAAUUGUUAGUGACUCUUUCUUCCUCAGGCUAACUUUUGAAUUGAAAAGUUUUGACUUCAAUUACAAUUUUUAAAUUCUGCUUGUAUCAAUAAUAGUAGAAUCCAUAUUGACUGAAAUGGUUCAACACUAUAUUUGUCAUUUCCUUGUCACAUUAUAGAUUGGUAAAAUGAAGAAAUUAGUGGAUGAUGGUAAAAUCAAGUGCAUAGGGUUAUUGAGAAUUAGAUAGUACCACUUUGCAAGUUUGUUCGACUCACAAUGAGGAGUGUUUACGAACCUAUUUAUCUACUCCCUUUUAAACUUUAAUUUUUGUAUCCAUUGUCCAAGGAUAUAGCAUUUCAUAAAUUAAUUACUUGAAUAUGAUAGAUAAGAUUUUCAAUAGAAGUAUAUUUUGUUUAUUCGUUCCAAUCUACUAUUUUUUAUUUAAUGUCUAUCGAUAUAGAAUUUUGUAAAUUCAUUGCAUGCAUAGAAUAGAUUAGAUUUUCAAUGGAAGUAAACGCUAUACGUACAAGGCUGCCCUUCUGAUACAUCAAAGUGUGCAGGGAGCUUGGCAUUGGAAUAGUUCCAUACUUUCCUCUUGGUCAUGGAUUUUUUGGUGGCAAAGCUGUUGUCAAAAGUGUGCCUUUAGAUAGAUUUUUGGUAUGUUUUCCAUCAAUGUUUGUCCACAUCAUUUUGUUUCAUAACACAAUACAAUAUAUAUGUUCUUAAGAAACAACAUGAGCUUUCUAGUUUCAUUAAAGACUAAUGUUCCAUAUAAUCAAAGUUUAUACAACUUUGUAAUGCUAUUUGGUCAGUGAGAAAAAUGCUAUGAAAAUUCAAAGCAAAAUUAAUCUUUGAGAAAUUGCAAAUUUUUGUAUUUGUAUUGAUUUAUUCAAAUCUAGAAGAUACAAGCUUUUACAUAUACAUUUGGAAGAUUCUAUACAUGCACACAAUGGAAUCUCACACUACUAACAACUAACAACCUCUAUAACAAACUCAACUGAUUCAAGUUGACUCAACAACCAUGUCAAUAAGCAAUCUAACUAUCUCUAACUAUAAGCUAAGCUCACCAGUUAUACUUAAUAUUCCCCCUCAAGCUUUAAGGUCUUGGAAGGACAUUAAACUUGUAGCGUAAAUAAGCAGACUGUUCAUAAGCUAAAGGCUUGGUAAGAAUGUCAACCAACUGAUCAGAACUGGAAACAUGAGCAAUAGAGAGGUCAUGCUUAGCAAAAUGAUCACGGAUAAAGUGAAGAUCAAGUUCAAUGUGAUUUGUGCGUGUAUAAAAUUUUGGAUUGCAGGCCAAUGCCUCAACACUUUUAUUAUCGCAGUACAAAGUGGGAAAUUUAUGUAUAGAAACCUUGAGUCCUUGCAACAAAUAAGUAAUCGAAAGUAUCUCUGACGUAGCAAGUGCAAAAGCUUUACACUCAGACCCUGCAGAGGAUUUAAAGACAAUGUAUUGCUUAUUUGAUGACCAUGAAACCAGAUUGGUACCAAGAAACAUACAAUAACCACCAACUGACCUCGAUAAUUAGGGUCUGAUCUCUAAUCCGCAUCAAAAUAAGCAUUCAAAAUGAGAGAAACAGAAUGGAAGAACUGAAGACCAUAAAGAGAGGUACUUUGAAAAUUAUGCAAGACCCUUUUGCAAGCUUGCCAGUGGAGGACAAUGGAGACAACAAGAAAUUGGCUUAGUUUAUUCACUAGAAAAGCAAUAUCAUGCAUUGUUAAGGUAACAUAUUGCAAAGAGCCUAUGAUACUCCUGUAAAGAGAAGGAUUUUCAAAUGGUGCACCACUGUCUUUCUUCAAUUUAUCAAAUAUACUCAUCGUUGUAUUAUACCCCUUGCUAUCCAACAUGAGAGCCUUUUUAAGAAUAUCACCAAUGUAUUUGGUUUGUUAAAGAUGUAAGACAUCCAAACUUUUCUGCAGGUUUAAAUGCUCUACUGAUAUAUCUACAAAUCUUUUCUUGAUCUAUUUUCAAUACAACGCCCAAUGAUCAUCUGAAGCAUUAGUUUCAAGAAUUAAAUUAUCAUUAGUGGCAGUAAAUCCUAAUCUUGGCAAAUUUUUUCAUUUUUCUUUUAACCUUUUUACCACCUUGGUAUGAAGAUCUUCCCAAGAUUUUGUAUUAUUCUUUUUCAAUAAUCCUUGUAAAGGUUGUCUUUCUUUAGCUAAGAUUUCUAUGAAACCUUUAGCAUAAUUGAAACAUCCUAAAAAGCUUUAAAUUUGCUCUUUGGAUUCUAAUUUAUUUGGAAAUAAAUAUUUUGUUUUCAAAAAUAUGAGGUUGCAUCUCAAUUCUUAUUUCAUCUAGUAUUAAUCUUAAAAAUUUUAUUUUACACUUCAUUAUCUCACCUUUCCUUUUAGAAAAUAAUAUUCCAUGUUUCUUGCAUUUUUCAGCAAAAGAAACAAGAUUAUUAAUAUGAUCAACUUUAUUAUUAGAAAAUAUUAUAAUAUCAUCUACAUAAACAAUGUAGAAUUUAUGAAACUCCUUGAAGAUUUUACCCAUCCUUCUUUAAAAUAUUUGUGGUGCAUUUUUUUAAUUCGAGGAACAUCACAAUCCAUUCAUAAUAUCCUUGUGGUGUACUAAAGGCAGUUAGUGGUAUAUUUUCUUCUUUAGGUUUGAUUUGCCAAAAUCCAUAUUUGUAAUCAAACUUGUUAAAUAUAUUCAUAUUAAUUACUGAAGUUACUAAUGUAUCUUUAUGUGGUAAAAAAUAACCAUCAAAUUUGGUAUAUUUAUUUAAUUCUUUGUAACCGUUCGAGCUUUUUCUCGUGUAAUCUCUCCAUGAUUUCUAACCUUAAAGGCUGGCUACUAUGUAGACUUUUAGAUUCUUGAAUAAACUUGAGUUCUAGUAACUCUUUAAUUUAUUUAUCAAACUCUAGUCUAUCUUCUUGCCCAUAUCUCAUAAUUUGACUCUUAUGAUGACAUCUAGAUCUUUUAAUUCUAUUUUGGCAUAGGCUUUAUCAAUUUCCCAUAAUUGAAUUAGGUUUUCAACAAAAUUUUUAUCAAGUUUUUCUUAGAUUUUUCCAUAAUCUAAAAUGAUUUGAUUGAUUUUUAUAUUGUAAUCACCACAUUGGCUGCUUUGAAAAUAUAAUUUUUGAGUUGUACGCCUAACAGGGUUACAAAUCCUUAGUGUUGUAAUGGAAUGAUUACACAGUGUUUUAAGAGUCAUUGUUUCGUUAGUCAUUAUGUAAAUGAACUGACGAAGGAAAUUAACUCCUAAAAGUAUAUUUGCACCCAUAUGAUCAUAGGACCAUGAUAUGGGUAUACUUAGAAUAUAAUCCUCUAUUUGUAUUAAAGUUUUAAUUUUAUAUUUUCCUAAGGUGAUUUAUUCACCAUUUAUUUCUUGUCUUGUUAAGCUUAUAACGUUUUAAAUAAGAUUUUGAAUAAAUUCAGAAUUGGCUAAACUAACUCCUAGACCAAUAUCAAUUAAUGCAUGGAACCAUUCUAGCUUAUAAUAUGGUAUAAUCACUUUCAUAUAUAUACUAUAAAAGAAUUAGCCAUAACUUAAUAUGUUUUUUUAAUCCCUUCAAUCGUUAUGUUUGACAAUAAGGAGAGAAAUUUUUAAGAAUGUUCAUCCCGAUAAUAAAAAACUUAUUUCUAUUUCAUAAUUAGGCUCUAAUAAAAAAGGAAAGAUAAAUUCUAUUCUUUUAAUUCUUAGUGGUAUCUUACAAUAUUGACUUAGUAGUUUCUUUAUCCAUUAUGUCCCAGAUAUGUAUAGUCUAUGGCAUAUGUUAUGCUAGCUGAAUAAGAUCCAUCAUGCAUUAUAUCAAAGUAUUUAAAAUCAUGACAUAUGAAUAAUGUCUUAUUUAUAUUUUUGUCUAUGAGACUUAUAGAAUAUUUGGGGUAUAUUUUAAAUAUUAAUUUUUUAUAACUAAGAUUUCCAUGUAUAAUUCCAACGAGUUCAUGUUUUUAAUAUAUAUCUAGUACAAAUAAAUUUACUAGACUAUCUAUUCCUCCUUAAAAAAUAAGCUUUUAUCAUAAUUUAGAUUCUUCCAAUAUGAACAUAUCCAAUUUUGCAUCUCACUAGAUCUUAUCUUACUGAUUUUAUCUUUUCGAUCAGAUUUUAAUAAUAAAGGUGUAUUUUUAUUUCUUCUAGCAUGCCUAACUUCAAUAGGUUCUUCUCUUACAGUGACACUGAAAUACAAUAUAUAUAUAUAUAUAUAUAUAUAUAUAUAUAUAUAUAUAUAUAUAUAUAUAUAUUUAAUCAUGUUAGCAGUUCCUUGAGCUAACUUAUUAUCUAAAGGCAUAGAUGUUUCCAAUCCCUUUUUAUUAAUCUUAAGUAUUUUUUUUACAAAAAUUAAUUCUCUAUUAAAAGAACAUUGUUCUUCUAAUUCUUCAUCCUGAUAAAAAUUUUCUAUUAUCUAAUUCUUCUAUAUACUCAUUUUUAGUUUGAGCUAUUCAAAUUCUCAUCAGAUGGAUAAUAUAUACAAUCUUUAUCAUUAAUAUCUUCACUAUCAGUGAUUAAUUUUAAAUCAUUAAAAUCCUCAAACAUUUUGAUGUUUACUUUUUUCUUUAAGGACAAUCAUUUGUAUAAUGCCCUUCUUCAUUGCAUAACCAACAUUUAUAUUUUUCAGAUGUGUUGGUUUUAGAUUUUCUUUUGAAUUUAUUCCUUUUCAAGAAUUUCUUAUUAUAUUUAUUUUUCUUGUAAUAUUUUUUAUUGAUUUUAAAGAAAUUCUUCUUUUUAAAUUUCUUUCUAUGUUAGAGGUUUUAUUUGAACAACUAAAUCUUGGUGGAUCUUCUAUUUUAGAACAACACAAUCCUUAAUUUUACUUUUUCAUAAGUCUUCUAUCCCUUAUUUCAGCACACCACUCAUUUAUCCUAUUUCGAGCAAACCUGAUCUUAUUUCAUAAGAUAUCAGUGUUUGUAUUAUCUCUAUAUUCUAGCAUAAUUUUGUUCCCUAUGGGUUUUGUUUAGGGCAUAUAACGACGCGACCAGCUGCACUCAAGCGAGGAUUUCCUUCUCGUGGGCGAGGAGCUAUAUAGUGUUCAUGAGCAGAAGUCUUCAGUAUGACAUCGAGGAGUCUUCUGCUAGACACCAAGGAUAUCUCUUGAUGGGGCCAAGGCCAGAAGACCCAAUCUAUGGCAAUUGUUAGAACGUGUGCCACUCUUCGGGAAUCCAGGCACGAGGCCCAUUCAGCGAUGAUCACAACGCCCUCGUAUCCACGAUCAAGAAGUAAGGUAGAGUGAAAAACAUGGGUCAUGGUGACUGAAUUCUCAGAAGGGCUAUAAAGGGGGCCUCCACAAAAGGCAAAGAGGUUAGACACUUAAACUAAAAAUUGACCUAAAAGGAUUGGGGGAGUACGUUUUUAUUGGGAGACCUGGGGAAGUUUUUAGGAUUUUUCCAGUGUUUGAGAAAUUAUUACAGAGCCACGAGAUUAGUGGCAAGAUUUUUCCACAGUAAGCUUGGAUUACUGACUUGAGUGUCGAAUGGUUUACACUAGGAAAACUCCCAGCGUUCUCUGACCAGUUUCUAUGUGUGCAGAAAUUCACAGAGGAAAAGCGACGAGCCUCAUAGUUCUGCUCGUCCAACAGGAGCAGCAUGAAGUUAUCCCCCACCAUUACAAAUUCUAGUGUUGAAGAGAGAUCUUGAUCGCGAACGAACAGACUCAAAAUCCUGUAUCAACAGGUUUGAUUUUUUUUUUAAAUAUAAAUCAUUAUAAUAUCCUACUACAGUUUCAUCAUUAUCAAACUCACAUUUAUAACAUAAUUUUUCGAACCUACAUGUGUAUGCCUUAAAUAGCAUAAAUCGCAUACUUCAAACCUUGUUAGCUUCUUUAAAUUUUUCAUCCUUUUUCUCUUUACUUCUUGCUGAAAAUUAGCUUCUCAAUCUUCUCCUCAAAAUUCUUUUCUUAUUUCAUUUUCAAAUCUAUUUAAGAUUUGGCCUGGAUUUUCGUUUGGAUUAUUAUUUUCUCCAUAUAAUAUGCUAUGCUUACUAGUAUCCUUUAAUCCCAUAAAAUAUUGUGCUAUUAUUCCUAUGAACAAAGUUUUAAGGAAUUCUAUACUAUUAUUUCUAUCAAUCUUAUGAAAUGUAGGAGCAAUUUUCAUGAAUUUAACCCACGAGAUUAUUGUUUUAUCUCUAUCUUUACACAGACUAAAUCUAACCUUGUUAAAAAAAUCUUGGUUUUGACUCAUUCAUCUUUAGAUGUUCUAUUCUAUUUUCAACAUCUUGUAAAUUUAUAAAUACAUCUUUUUUGUCUUUAUUAGAUAGUUUUGGACCAGAUAAUUCUUUUAAUCAAUUGUCUGUAUUCUCAUUUAACAUUCUUAGACUUAUUAAUUUUUUAUUUUCAUUUAUUUUAUUAAACAUUGGUCUUGAUAUUGAUUGAAUUUCAUUAUUUUUCUUUUCAUUAUAGUAAAUUAUAGUAUCUUGUAAAAAUUUAUUUUAUUCUUGAAUUACCAUAAAUAAUUUUUUCACAUUGUUAUUAAUCUUUUGUACUUCAAUCUUUUUGUAACUUUCCAUUUAUAUUUAUUGCAAACUUAUUACCAAGUUGCUCAAUAAUUGUUUAAAUCUUAUUUAAUUGAAUUUCUAUCUUAGUUAAUCUUACAUCUAUUGAAUUUCUAAUCAUGACAUUGAUGAUUUCUUGUUUUAACUUAUCUUGAUCUUCAAUGUUGAAGUCUUUUAUCAAUGGUUUCACUUGAUCAAAUUCUUUACUUAUUUGAUCUUGUAAUUUUUUUAUUUACUUUAAAUUUUCAUCAUUAAAAAUUUUUACCUCAAGCAUUUCAUUUGCACUUUCAAUAUUAUUCAUUGAUAAAUUUGGGUUUCCUCAUUUAUUUAAUAAAUAAAGAGAAAUCCAGUUUAACUAAUUAUUUCCCUACAUAUGAGGAUCAUUUACUAAAUUAAAUUAUUGAAAUCUUCCGUAUGUAAAUCCUCUAUGUCUAUAACUAAAAGGUGGGAACCCACUAGUUUCUAUACUUUGAGAAAUUAUUAAUGGUCCUGGCAAUUUAUUAAUUGUACCAUCUUUCUAAUAAUUUAUUAGAUUCAAUAAAAUAUUUAUGACAUAAGAUAUUUCUUAUAUCCCUGUUAGUAUUGUCCUUUUCUAAUCUAUUAUAUAUAAGACAUAAUUUAUACAUUAAUGAAUCUUAAUAUCCAAUUAACAUAUUAAAAAGGAUAGUUUUUACACUUGAUACUCUUAUUAUUCCCAUUAUAUUCAUAUCUUUGUUUAAUAGAUAAUUGUCUAUUAUAAUCUAUCACAAGAUAUUCAACAUAAUCAUCAACCUAAGUGAUAUUUCAUUGUUUCUGUAACACCCCAAUCCGAAAUCUAAGGGCAAAUAUGUCUACAACUCACAUAUGAAUUUAAAAUAACUCUUUACAACCGAUAAAUUUCGAGCCUCAAAUACAAAAGCCAGCGGGGUAACUUAAAAACUUAACCAAACCAUCUACUAUCCUCAAUUCAAAUCCAUCUUCUCACUCAUCACGAAUCAAUCCUGACUUCUGGAAACUGAAUCACAAUAAACUAUAAUGAGUACAAAACCCAGUAAGCAAACUAGUUUUUCUUAUAUGGAAAAUACAUACAUACUUAUACAUAAUGCAAUGGUUGAUAUGCCAUGAUCUUUUGGGAAUACUGUAAAAUAAAAUCAUAAAAAUCUCUUUCUAUUGCUUUCAAACUUUCUCAUUUUCUUUCGAUGAAAUACAUAUCCUGCAAUGUGGCACUUUGUGCUGUGCGUGGCACUUUGCGGCGCUCUGGCCCUCAAGAGGUGGCCCCCGCAUAGUCCCAAGAGAUGGCCCCCACACAACUUCAAGAGGUGGCCCCCAAUGCAAAAUCUCAAAAAACAGAAAUUCCGUUUGCUAAAAUCCACUUUCUCAUUCAUAGAAAACUCAAUGCAUUUUUGUGCUCAUGCCAAUGAACUAUCACACAUACAUAUGCCCAUGUACAUAAUCACGCUCAACACAUGCCAACACAUCACAUAAACACAUGGGUAGAGACAUCUAAAUCCAUAUCCGUGUAUAUAUCAAAAUAGGUUUUUCACACAAGUCAAACAUAUAUAUUGUUUAGUGUGAUUCGUUUUAAAGUCUAGUUUACUUACCUCUUGGCAUCCUCAUGUAACAAAUGCGUACUGAUACCAUCAACCUAAAAUCAUCAAUAACGCCUCAUAAGAUAUAAUCAAAUCUCAAUCAUAAACUCUAAUAUCCUCAAAUAUCUCAAUUUAAACAACUCGUAAGCUCAACCUCAAAUGUCCUCAAUAAUCGGCCCUCAAAACAUAACAGUCCAUACUUCUCCGAUUUUUAAUAAAUUAUUCUCUUAUUGGAAGAAUCUCAAAUUUUACAGACCAUAUGCUGACACAUUGAAAGUUCAUUGAUAAAAAUUUCAUAACAUAAUUCCUUCAAAAACUAUUGAAAAUAAUUCACGUUUCAGACAUCAUCAAUACUGUCAAACAGUUUUCUGUUUUGAACACACUUGCUUUACAAAUACAAAAAAAAUUUAUUACUUUAUCAUAAAAUCAUGAAAAUUUCCAGAAUCAUACUAGACAUAUAUAAAAAUCAUUGGUCCAAAUUUCAUAAUUUUUGAAGAAGUCUAACCAUGGUAAAAAUAAUUUCGUAAUUCACGUUAUUCACUGAAAUCAUAAAUUUCCAGGUUUUCAGACUUGAAUUUGAAAAAUCAUAAUUAAUUGAAAUCUUAUCCGAUUAACUUGAAACAAGUUUCAAAACAUUCUAGACGAUGUCUAGUUUAACAUACCCAAAAAUCAGAAUCAAAAUCAAUUUUUACACAUUACUAUGUUUUCCGUAAUAAUUCACUGUCAGCAUAUUUCUACAAAAUCUUAGAUUUCUACUUCUAUUGCAAUCGUGCUUCUCCACAACAAUUUAAUAGAAACCAAUAAUUAAAACUUACCUCCAAAACUUCUCCUAACAAUAACAACUUGAUCCCAUGUGUUGACUAUGGCAGAACUAAGAAGAAGAAGAAGACUUUCUUCUUCUCUUUUUCUUUUCUUUUCUCUCUUGUCUCUCCAUCUCUCUCUCUUUUUUUUCUGUCGUUUUUUUUUUUGCAACCGAUCCCUCUUUUCUUCUCUCUCUUAUAAUGAAAAAGACAUCUUGUUCUAUUUAUACUAGGUUAAAAGGAUUACUAAAAGUUAAAAAGACUUAAAUACCCUUAAGAGAUUUGGGAUAUUACACUCUUCCCCCCUUAAAAGAAUUUCGUCCUCGAAAUUCACUUUUUGUUAUGCCCAAAAGAAUCCAUAUCUCAAAAUCACUUAGGACCAAUAAAUCUUUAUAAGACUCGAGCAAACAAAUCACGCUUUCGCUGCGCUACUCUGAUACUUCAAUCAUAUGCUUCUUAGAAACAAAAUCACAAAGCCUAAAGGUUUGGCAUAGACUUAGUUCUAUCCAUCCUUACAAAAUCCUUCCCAAGCGAUGUAGGAUGUCAUAAACAUCCACACAUUUCUAGUUGGGAAUGGCUCUGAUACCAUUUGUAACACCCCAAUCCGAAAUCUAAGGGCAAAUAUGUCCACAACUCACAUAUGAAUUUAAAAUAACUCUUUACAACCGAUAAAUUUCGAGCCUCAAAUACAAAAGCCAGCGGGAUAACUUAAAAACUUAACCAAACCAUCUACUAUCCUCAAUUCAAAUCCAUCUUCUCACUCAUCACGAAUCAAUCCUGACUUCUGGAAACUGAAUCACAAUAAACUAUAAUGAGUACAAAACCCAGUAAGCAAACUAGUUUUUCUUAUACGGAAAAUACAUACAUACUUAUACAUAAUGCAAUGGUUGAUAUGCCAUGAUCUUUUGGAAAUACUGUAAAAUAAAAUCAUAAAAAUCUCUUUACCAUAAUGUCAUGACCCAACCCAGACCUGGCAAGAUAUUGUCCACUUUGGGCCUUAACAAGGCCCGCACGGAUUUGUUCUAGGGGCGCCCAUACACCCCAAAACGCGUCUUGCCAAUUAAGGUGUGGAUCACUCCUUAUAAGCCCAGCAUCUCUCCCGUGCUUUGCCGAUGUGGGAUUCGCCUAAGGUGUUACAUACACCCCCCCUUGGGGACUCAGCGUCCUCGCUGAGGUUUGCCCCACCAUCGCUCAAGAGGACACGCGGAGCCGCUCUGAUACCAUAAUGUCAUGACCCAACCCAGACCGGGCAAGAUAUUGUCCACUUUGGGCCUUAACAAGGCCCGCACGGAUUUGUUCUUGGGGCGCCCAUACACCCCAAAACGCGUCUUGUCAAUUAAGGUGUGGAUCACUCCUUAUAAACCCAACAUCUCUCUCGUGCUUUGCUGAUGUGGAAUUCGCCUAAGGUGUUACAGUUUCCAUGAAAACUUAUCUCUAGAAAUUUCUUCUCUAACUUUACUUAGUAGAAUAGGAUUUAUGUUUAGAUUUCUAUUUCUAAUUAUUAUGAGUUCUCCAACCUUAAAUUCAUGAACACGUAAAAGGUAUAGUUGUUCUAACUGUUUGAUAUCUAAAUCAUUUUGAUCCAAUGAAUAAUAUUGUUUGUGUAUAGUUACAUUAUCCUUGAUUGUAUUAUUAUCUAUCAUUAGAUAAUUAUUUAUAAAAUAGAUGAUUGUUUCAUCCAUUUUUAUCCUUGAUUUUAAAAUAAUUAGGUAAGUGGCUUGUUAUAUCGAUAGUAUAGGCUGAUAUAGUUCUCAUUUGGUUAAUUAUCAGAAUAUAUGUCACUGGUUUCCUGCCAAUAUACCUUGAUAUUUCAAAAUUGAACUAAAACUUGACUCUGAUACCAUUUUGCUUGCUUAGCUUUGCUUUUAUCAAAUUAUUUUAAGAAACUAUUUAUUUUCUAAAUUGAUAUUUUUUCAGGGGAUUUGACUGAAAUUUUCUAUUGUCUUCUUUAUGUUUCUUUAUCUUUUUCCAAAUCAAACAAUGACUAUUUCCUUAUAAAUUUCAGCUCCUUGCCUCUCAUUGUAAGGCUUGAGCCAGUAUCAGAGAACACAAGAAGAAAGAGGAAUAAAUUUGAGCUCCUUCCGUAAAGUCCAUUUGCCAUUAUGCUCUUGUUAAUUCUGAGAGUAAUUUUGAAUUGAUUAACUGAUGGCCAAUUGUUCCCUAAGAUAUGGCAUGAUUGGCAUCCUAGGUUUAAAGGAGAGAACAUUGACAGAAACAUGAUUGGCAUCCUAUGUUUACAGGAGAGAGCAUUGACAGAAACAUGAUUGGCAUCCUAGGCUUACAAGAGAGAACAUUGACAAAAACAAGAUCUUAUAUUCGUGUAUGGAAAAGUUAGCCAAAAAGCAUGAAUGCAACGCUGCAAAACUUACACUUGUUUGGAUUCUUCAUCAAGAAGAUAAUGUAGCACAAAUUCCUGGUGAGUUAUUACCUUUCUUUGCUUAUAUAUAUAUAUAUAUAUAUAUAGAGAGAGAGAGAGAGAGAGAGAGAGAGAGAGAGAGAGAGAGAGAGAGAGAGAGAGAGAGAGAGAGAUGGCAAUGGGAAUUGCCCACUGUGGGUUUGCCAUUACUAAAACCGCACCUUGCACAAAAUUUAAAUUAUCAAACCCACCAAUAAGUCGUUGCGGAUUUUAAUUUUAUAAGAUAACCCGCCCACUGCGAGUUUUGACAAAUACCAAACCCGCAACCCUGUGAUUCCCACAUUUAAAAUCAUAAAUUUUAGAAGAUACUUUUAAUAAAACUUAAAAUUUUAAACUAUAUAACUCAAUAUAUAAAUUUAUAACAAUAACCUAAAAUUUUAUAUAAAAUAAUUAAUUCUAAAUUUAAUUAAUAUAAAUGAAAAAUUAAAAUUUCAAUAUCAAUCCAAAAAAAAAAAAAACACAAGUUCAAUAACAAUUCUCAAAUUUAAGUAUGAAAUACACAAGUUCAUCAAAUUGCAAAAGUGUUUUCAACUAAAAAGAAUAAAAAACUAGGCAAAGCUUAUGUUACAACUAAUGUACGUUACAUAUAUAUUUUUUUUUAAUCCUUCGAAAAGUUAAUAAUUAUGAAAAAGUUAAUAAAUUUUAAAAUUUGAUUUUAAACCCCAAACUACAACCAAGCUGCACUGCAAUUGUACUUCAAUUUUUUAAGUUUUUCAUUUAUAUUUAUAGCAAAUUCAGUACCAAGUUUCUAUCUAAUUAAAUCUCUAACUUGUUUAAUCUUAUAUUUAUUGAGUUUUUAUUCAUUAUAUUGAUGAUUUCUUACUUUAAUAUAUCAUGAUCUUCAAUGUUGAAGUCUUUUAUUAAUUGUUUAACUUUAUUAAAUUUUUUACUCAUUUGAUCUCUUAAUUUUUAAUUUGUUUUAUUUUUUCUUUAUUAAUAUUAUUAAUUUUUAACAUUUCGAUUGCUUUUUCUAUAUCAUUUAUAAAUAAAUUUGGGUUUCCUAGCUUAUUUAAUAAAUAUAGCGAAAUUCAAUUUAAUUGAUUAUUUUCCCGCAUGUCUGAAUCAUUGAUCGGAUUAGAGGAUUAAAAUCAUUCAUAAGAAAAUCCUCUUUGUAUAUAGAUAGAAUGUGGUAUCGUUUGUUUUUUUCUAUUUCAUUUAUAAAUAAAUUUGGGUUUCCUAAUUUAUUUAUAAAUAUAGCGAAAUUCAAUUUAAUUGAUUAUUUUCCCGCACGUCUGAAUUAUUGAUAGGAUCAAAUGAUUAAAAUAUUUCAUAAGAAAAUCCUCUUUGUAUAUAGUUAGAAUGUGGUAACUUAUUACUUUAUAUAUUUUGUAAAAUUAAUAGAGGUUCUAAUAAUUUAUACAUUGUAACAUCAGUAAUUUAUUAGAGUUAUAAUAUAUUUAUGACAUAUAAUAUCUUUUAUAAUUCAAGAUGCUAAAUUUAGAUUAUAUAUAUAUAAAAGAAAAAAAAUCUAGUUUAUUCUCAAGGGAGAGAAGAAAUUAUAAAUGCAUAUGCAAAUAUAUAUUUAGAAUUUAUAAACCUUUAUGAAUAUGAUAAUUAUUUAGAUCUUUAUAAAAAUAUAGUAAAACUUUUAAAAUUUUAAAGAAUAAAUUUAGAAGAGAUGGUUAACAAAAUCAUUUAGUUAUACAAAAUUAAUGAGGACUUAUUUGAAAAAAUAAGCAAAUAUGUGAUUCAAAAUAAAAACUUUUAUAAAAAGUUAUUACACCCAUACCUCAUUUUAGGUUAAAAUUAUUUUCAUCCAUUAGAUUAAGAAAUAUCAAAAUCUAACCACCCAUGUGUAUUAGUUGUUUGUUACAACUAAUGUAACAUAAGCUUUGCCAAAAAACUAAUACCUAAAAGUAGCAAUACAAUUAUGCAAAAGUACCAUCACUGUACUAGCAACAAUUAUCAUCUUAUAUUCUCAUUCAAUACAAGUUUGAAGAGUUAAAGAUCUUUGACUCAUUCAUUAUCAUUAGUACAUAUCCAAUACAAUUCCUACAAUAAUUAUUUAAUAUUAAUAUGUUCUAAUAGUAAUACUUUCUAAAUACUAAUCUAAAGAACAAAAUUAUAAUAAUCAUAUAAUAGUCCAAAUUAUAUAAUAUUUAUAAAAAGUAUAUCAUAAUCCAUAAAUAUAGUUUAUAUUUUAAUAAGUAUAUAAGAAUCCAUAAAUAUGUAAUAAUCCACGAUUAUAUAAUAAAUGAAACUUAAAAAAAAAUAAUUGAAAAAAAUUGGGGGUGCAUGAGUAUCCGUCAGAUAUUUAGUAUAUACCAAACCUAUCUGCAACCCAAUACAGGUCUCAAUGUGUGAUACCAAACCCGUAAUCUGUAAAAUUAUCCACAGCGGGCAUAUUUGGAUAGAUUUACUAAAAUCAUGAUAAACAUGCAAAAAGAUUUUAGUUCUGAAUUUUCUUAUUCAUAUGAGUUGAAAACAAUAUUGAAGCAAAGUUUUUUUUUUUUUUUUUUAUCUUUUGCUUUUUUUUUAACAGGGACAACUAAGAUUAAAAAUCUUGACAACAAUAUUGGUUCAUUAAUAGUGAAACUCACAAAUGAAGAUUUAGAAGACUUUUUCUAUGAUUCCCAGCAAUGAGCUAGAAGGGGACAGAAUAAUGAAAAGAUAUUUUUUUUAUCCUUCCAAUUUAUGUAAGAGCUAAUUAAUUAGCUUAAGCAACACUAAGUGAUGUAUUAAAUGAGUCAAAAAAUUUGCAAAACUGCAAGCACAAAAAAGAAGAAAACACCAACGUCUUUUCUUGUGACAAAAGCAAAUUAAAGAAUGAGAGAUCGUGUCACGCUAUGGGAAACUUACUACAGUUUGUUUCAAUAAAUGAUGGGGGGAAUGCAGGGUAGCUUUAUGUAUUUGAUUUCAGCUUGUUUUGUUGCUACAGAAAUAUUAUGAAUUAAUAAAUCAAAUGUAUCAAACUCAAGGCUGUUUCCAACAAGUGAUCUCCCAAAUGAACCCAACUAAAGAUGGAUUUGUACCUAUUUGCCUCCUUUUGGUACUAAUUUGACAUCAGUGCACUAACAAUUUAAAUACUGUUCGGAAAAUUUUAAAGCCUUGAUUUUAUUUGUUAUGUAUCAUGAUCAGGCAAUACGGCAACAGAAAAUUGAAUACGAAACAAGCUGUAACUUAAAUCAACAACAGAAUGCUAGUCACUUUGUUAAAACAUAAGAUAUUCAAACUCAGUUCAACUAUUGUGUAUAGGGGUAUCGUGGUUCGGAUUGCUCUACUGUGAAUUUAGUAUAAUUUCACAAUCAAAGAAGAUACAAAGACACAGCAAUUUCAUCUUUCGCAGGCGUAAGAGUAACAUCAUGAGGCUAAAUUCACCCACAAAUGUGACAAGUACGUAAUUUCGCUAAUAGAGAACGUUUUCGGUGGGAUUGAUGCGAUGCGUUAUCAUACGCACUUCUGAAAAAGUUUAACACAAAUUUAUUGUAAAAUUGAUCAGUAAGAGAAAAUAAAAACUAGAAGUGUCAUGUCACAUAAUUUUAUUAGGGUUUAACGCCUGAGAUUUUGCAAUGUACAAGGGAUAUUUCGUCAAAUCGUAAAAUACUUUGCACUUGUUUCAAAUUACACUGAAUUAAGCAAUCAUGAUUCAUGAUGGUAAAAUGAGGGAAAAAAAAACAAAAAAGAGAAUUGUUUGCACAGAACACUACAACAGUUACAGCUUAGCGUACACCUGUCUUCACAUCCUUCACAUCCUUGCCACAUUCCUUUUUGCUUCAUUCAGCUCAAGCUCAAGUCACUUAACUACUUAUUGAAAGAAUACUAAAACAAAGAAACCGAAAUUCUAGCUGCAAGUAUGGCAGAAGAUAAGAAACUCCAAGUUCCAAGAGUGAAACUUGGAACCCAAGGCCUUGAGGUAACUACCCAUUUCUAAUUUUCUUUUCCCUUUUUUCUUUAAUCCUGAUCGUUUGAUUUCUUUGAUUGUGUCUUUUGCUUUUACAGGUUUCAAAGCUGGGGUUUGGAUGCAUGAGCCUCAGUGGCGGCUAUAAUUCUCCACUCUCUGAAGAGGAUGGCAUCUCAAUAAUAAAGCAUUCUUUCAGUAAAGGAAUCACUUUCUUUGACACUGCUGAUAAAUAUGGACCAUAUACUAAUGAAAUUCUUCUUGGAAAGGUUAGGCUCUUGACUCUUGACUCUUGUGUUAGAAUUCUCUUAAUUAAGCUCUUGUUAUAUUUGAUCAAUUUAAUUACAAUUCACAUCUACAUCAAGCGGUAACCUAAAGAGUAUGAUAGCUGCUAUGCUUCAAAUAAUUUUACUGGUAACUAAGGAAUCACACUCCUAAUGAAAUAUUUUUGUUUAAGGAAUGGGUGAAUAGUUAGUUUUUGACAUUAUUGAGGAUACCUUAGGAUGGAAAUCAUUGUUGAAAUUUUCUGAAUUUAUUGGAAAAGAAACUCUCUCCUUUCAGGCCUUGAAGGAGUUACCUAGAGAAAACAUACAAGUGGCCACAAAGUUUGGGUUUGUAGAAUUGGGAUUUACUUCUGUGAUCGUGAAGGGUACCCCUGAGUAUGUGCGCUCGUGUUGUGAAGCUAGUUUGAGGCGCCUUGAUGUGGAAUAUAUUGAUCUGUACUAUCAACAUAGAGUGGACACAUCAGUUCCCAUAGAGGAAACCGUGAGUGAUUCUUUCUUUUUCAAGCUAACUAUCUGAAUUGAAAAGUUUUGACCCCAAUUAUGAUAUUUAGGUUCUGCUUGUAUCAGUAGUAGUGGGAUCCAUGUUGAUUGAAUGUGUUCAAAACUAUAUUUGUCAAUUCUUUGUCACAUUAUAGAUUGGCGAAAUGAAAAAGCUGGUGGAAGAGGGUAAAAUCAAGUACAUAGGAUUAUCUGAGGCUAGCCCAGAUACAAUUAGGAGAGCACAUGCUGUUCAUCCCAUCACAGCUGUACAACUGGAAUGGUCCCUUUGGGCUCGUGACAUUGAGAAUGAGAUAGUACCACUUUGCAGGUUUGUUCGACUAGCGGUGAAGAGUGUUUAAGGACCUAUUUAUUGUUCCUAUCUAAAAUUUUAAUUUUUAUAUCUAGUGUCUGAGGAUAUAGCAUUUCAUAAAUUAAUUACUUGAAUAGGAUAGAUUACAUUUUCAGAGGAAGUAUAUUCUAUUAUGUAUGACCAUAUCUGCCAUCCUGAUACAUUGAAGUGUGCAGGGAGCUUGGCAUUGGAAUAGUUCCAUACUGUCCUCUUGGUCGUGGAUUUUUCGGUGGUAAAGCUGUUGUGGAAAGUGUGCCUUUAGAUAGCUUUUUGGUAUGUUUUUCAUCGAUAUCUGUGUCAUUUUGUUUCAUAACACAGUAGAAUAUAGAUGUGCUUAAGAAACUACAUGAAAUUUCCGGUUUCAUUUAACACUAAUGUUCUACACGUGGUAAAGCUUAUUAAAGUUAUGCAUUUAUCUGUUUUAUAAGAAAUUUUUUCCUCGGUUCAACGGAGAGAACCUGGACAGAAACAAGAGUAUUUAUUUUCGCAUAGAGAACCUUGCCAAAAAGUACAAAUGCACUUCUGCUCAAUUAGCACUGGCAUGGGUUCUCGCGCAGGGGGAGGAUGUCGUACCUAUUCCUGGUAAGAUUCUAUCCUUUGAGUUCAUGAUUCAUGUGUUGACUUGAAGAAAUAUAUAGAGUUAAAACUGAGCUGAUCAAGAUAAUAUUACCUGUAUUGAUGUUUACUGCUAAUUUGUUUCGAGCAUCAGGGACAACUAAGAUUAAGAACCUGGACGACAAUAUUGGCUCCUUGACAAUAAAACUUACAAAAGAGGAUCUGAAAGAAAUUUCUGAUGCCGUACCCACAGAAGAGGUUGCAGGAGACAGAUACCCAGAUGCUCUUGACAAAACAUCGUGGAAUUUUGCAACCACACCUCCAAGAGACUGUUGAGGUUUGAACUUAAAAUAUUUGCUGGAUGCUGCCCAUAUCAUCACUCGGGGUUGGGAACUGGGGAUGUCAUAUUUUACACAAACAAAGGCAGAUAAAUGUCAAAAUAUGUUUACAAGCUAUUGCUACAUGAUUUCAUACUGAACAAUUUCAUGAGUAAAACUUUGAUCAUUUUGAUGUACUAUAUAUAUGUAAAUGUAGUGUGCCCGAUUUGUGAAAUGAGAAUAUGUGUGAGCUUUGUUAAGGUGCAACUUGAUAAAUUUUUGCCGACACUCUUUCUUUGAAAUUGAAGAUUGCAAAUAUCCAAAUUUUUUAUGGAAACAAUUUGCCUGCAUUUGCUUCAUCCUAGCACAGAUACAUGUUGAUUCGCAGGCAAAUUAUGGUGUUUGUAGAUGAAACACUUGAUUAGUACUGAAGCAAAAUUAUAUUCAAGUUACAAUGCGAAAGGAAAUGGGAAAAUAACUGCCGUUUUUUUUUUCCAGUAAAGAGUUUGAAUCCAUUUUUGAAUGUUUUCAGACUUUUGAGUCCCAUGAAUGUGAUAUAAAAAUAUGCAAUAUUUGAAACUCGUUUUAUCUCCAGUAGUUUCUCUCCUAGAAAUUGUAAAAUUCAUUGGAAUUUGAAAGAAUCACCAAAUUAACAUCAUUUUAUUGGAAACGUGGUGGUUAAAUGAUAAAAGGGGGAUUCUCCAAAUAAGAGUUUAAUAAUACUUUUAUCAUUCAAGAGGAUAAAAAAAAAAAACUACCAUUUAAGUUUGACUGAUACUAUUAUUAGAAAUUAUAGAAUAUAUCAGAUAUACUACAUCAACUAUACAAUAAGAAAAUGAUGUUAUAAUUUAUGUGCAUUCAUUUUGAAGGGGUUUAUAGUUAUAUUAAAUCUAAUUACUUAUGUUAUGCAUAUAUUAAUUGGUUGUAUUGUCUCAGAUGUAUUCUAUAAUUUCUCAAUUAUUACGUCCCUUGACAUACACCCCUUGAAAGUCUUCAUGAAACCCAUUUUCAAUUGAAACUACAUAACUAGUUAAAGAAAAAAUUUAAUUGAUUAUAUUUUAAAUGAAAAUUCAAUUUGAAACUUAUUUAUUCUUUUAACAAACUUUUAAGCUCACACAAUCUCAUAUUCUAUACUUAUCUUUUAUUUUUUAUUUGAAAAUAUAAUUUUUUAUAUUAAAACUAUAAAUUCGCUUAAGAUUUUCUUUUCUUACCGAAAAUUAGUUUAAGAUAUAUCAUUUCGUUUUCUGUAUUUUAAUUUAAUAAUUUUUUUAUUACUAUGUAUAUGGUUAGUGGAGUUUCUAUAAUUAAAAAUUUUAUUCAAAAGGAAAGAAAAUGGAUUGGAGUUUUUUUUCAUUAGACAAAAAUGAAUUAACUCUAUACAGAUCCCCGCGCGGCGCCCAGGGGAUGUAUUUAAAAAAAUUCAAGGGUUUCGUAAGAUUUGAGCUCCCACUGUAUAAUAACUUCAAGCCUUUUUCAGUAAGGGCCUCAAAAUUACCUACAAGACUUGAGCUGGGCUUGCAUUCUUAAACAAGGCCGAGUUCAUCGGAUUUUAGAAAAUGUAGAAUCCCAAAACCCACCUUUUGUUUUUUUGACUUUUUACCCUUAUACAUUUACCACCUUACAUUCUCUUAUUAACCUCACUUUUUAAUUAAACCCAUUUAUUUUUUAAAUUAUCUUGUUUAAAAAAUUAAAAAUAGUUAAAUUAAAUAAUUUUAUUUUUUAUUUUCUCUUUCAUAUGCUUUUUCUGCCAAGCAUCAUCUUCACCCAGUACCUAACUUCAUCACUACCAUGUCUAUCAUUACCACCGCACAUCUUCAUCACCAUCAAUCUACAACCACCUACAACACAUUAUAAUUUGUUAUUGAAUCUUAUUAAAUUUUGUAGAUAAUUGGUGGUUUCUAAUGCUGUCGAUCAUAUGGAUUUAUUUAAUACUUCUUUUUUUUUUUUGUGAUAAUCCAACAUUUUGACAAUUGCAAUGUUGAAUUUGUUUGGGGACUACCAUUUGAUGGAAAUUGUAAAUCAAUUCAAGAAAGUGAGAGAGAUAUGAAAGAGGAAAAGUCGCAAGCUUAAGAAAGUAAUAAUAAUAAUAAUAAUAAUAAUAAUAAUAAUAAAUAAAUAAAUAACUAGAGUUGAUCAAGAAAUACAAAUUGGUGAGAUAAAGUGAAAUAAUCAACUAUCAAUGUUCACUUUUAAAAUUUUAAUUACCUUUUACUUUUUUAGUGUUUUAGAACUCGUUAAAUUUUUUAAUUCUAUACAAGUGAAAAAUAGCCAAUAGAAAUGUAUUCUGCUAAGUUGCUUGUUAAUAUUACUGGGAGUUAGCUUUAGUACAAUUAGAUGACAUUGUUUGUUAGCAUUGACAUUAUGAAAUUCAAUGGGCUAGCUAGGUAGAAAGAUGACAUAGGGUAGGUUUAUAAUCGUUGAGUUUCCACAUAAUUUUAAAUGUAUAGUUUUUAAAGGUUUUAGUAAAUAUUUACUAUUUAAAUAAAUAAUAUUCACCGAACACUUACUCAUUUAUAUUUAAUAAUAAGUAAUUUUGUUCUACAAAUACUUUAGAGACAUUAUGUCUAUUUUUAUUGGUCUAUUUGUCUUUAACAUUUUGGGUCCUAAAAUAAUUAUCAAUUUUUAAGAAGAAUUAAAAGCAAAGGGAUGUUCACGUACCUGCUUACAUGAUGAAUGUAGUUUACCGGAAGGGUGCUUACAUAUUUGCUUACCUGAUUAAUGUAGUAUAUGAUUCUUUAUGCAUUCGACUUACAAUUUUCGUCACUUAUUUAUAUGUUUGAUUUGAUGUCCGAACUUGAAAGUGACAAAAUUUAUGAUUUAGAAGUUAAAUUAAUUUUAUUUUUAUACUUGUAUAAUAAAAAAAAUCUAUAAUACAAUAUAUUAACACCAAACAAGACCUAAACUUCCAGCUCUCGUUUUUUUUUUUUUUUUUAAUUGAAUAAUGUAUAUGGUUCAGCUUUAGAGUUUUAGACAUUUUAAAGACGUUUAUUUUUCAACUUAACACUUAAAAAUUGGUGAUUAUGUUUGAAUUUAAUUUUUUUAUUUUGGCCAUGGUUGCUGUGUAUGUGUGUGUAUGUAUACAAAUACAUCACGACUUGCUCCCCGCACAGAUCACGCUUUAGAUUUUUAAUUAUAUAUUUUUAUUAUAUGCUAAGUUAUUUUGCCCAAUACUCCACGGCAACAAAUUAAAAGCUUUAUCAAUGUCCUGAUGAUUUGAAUUUUCAUAAUUACAAGAACAAAUCAUUUCAAUCGUAUUGGUAUUAAAACUUCAAUUUGAUAUCAUACAUCAGUACAGAUCACACAUGCCCGUUUUAUUGUGUAAAUAAAAAAACAACAAUAGCGAAAAUUUUAUUUUGAUAAAAAAAAAAUUAGGUUAUAAAAUUUUGAUAAAAAGUAUAAAAACAUCAUAAUAUCUUGACCCAAAAAAAAAAACAAAAAACAACUGAUUGAUAACUACCCUGAUAUUUUAAUCAAAAUUUAUAACUCAAUUUUUUUGUCAAUGCAGCAUUAUUUAAUAAACGGACUCGAUUGACCGUUAUGUUUGUUUUUCCUUUAGUUCUUUUCAACAUUUUUUUUAUUCUAAAAAUAAAUAAUUACAAGACGCGAGGGCUAAGGCCACCUUCAUUUUGGUUCCUUAUAAAUGUCAUGAGUCCCACUCCCAUGCCUCCAUAUCUCUGCAUCUUAAGAGGCCGGGACAAGUCUUAAGCCAGUACCAAGAAGAAGAAGGAGAAGAAGAAGUUUGAAGAAAAUGGCUGAAGAACAAAGAAUCGAGAUUCCAAGGGUGAAACUUGGUGGGCAAGGAUUUGAGGUAAAGUUCAUUUGGUAACUCUUUUCUUUUACAGCAUUAGGAAAAAUAUAAACAAUCACAGAGAGACAUUACUGUUUCUCAUAUAAUAUUUUUUGAUGGCUUAUAUGUGUCUUAAAGGUGUCAAAGUUGGGAUUUGGUUGCAUGGGCCUCACUGGAAUUUACAAUGAUCCUGUCCCUGUUGAAGUUGGCAUAUCAAUAAUCAAGCACGCAUUUGAUCAAGGAAUCACAUUCUUUGACACAGCAGACGUCUAUGGACCCAAUAAUGCUAAUGAACUUCUUGUUGGAAAGGUAAAUGAUUAAUUGAUAAAACUGAUGGGUGAAAACUCUUGGCAUGCAAGAUUACUUUGUUUGAGUAAUUAAUUGAUGAAUCUUUUCAGGCUCUCAAGCAGCUUCCAAGAGAAAAAGUGCAGCUAGCCACAAAAUUUGGUAUUGUCAAAUUUGACAUGAGUGAUGUUGUGGUAAAGGGUACCCCUGAGUAUGUCCGCGCCUGCUGUGAGGCUAGCCUGAAGCGUCUUGAUGUUGAAUACAUUGAUCUCUAUUAUCAGCAUCGCGUUGACACAACGAUACCUAUAGAGGAUACUGUAAGUAAUCUGCUGCCUUCAUUUCUGAUUUCCUUGUCAGUAGUCACCAGUUGCCGCAUCACUAGUUAUAGUGGUACAUUUUGCUUCUUAUCAGAUGGGAGAACUUAAGAAGUUGGUGGAAGAAGGGAAAAUAAAGUAUAUCGGGUUAUCUGAAGCAAGCCCUGAUACUAUAAGAAGGGCACAUGCCGUUCAUCCUGUUACUGCCUUACAAAUGGAAUGGUCUCUCUGGACUCGCGAAAUUGAGGAUGAAAUAGUCCCACUUUGCAGGUUCUUUACAAUGAAACUGAAAUUGAUAUGUUGUCAUUCUCAUUUUUAUCUAUUCAACUACAGUAGAUUUUCUUUGGUAAAUGACUCUCAUGCCACCUCUUCAGCUAACAUAUUCCUGCAAGUUUGAUUUCUGUAAAUGAGAGGCAAUUGUCAAUUUUGAAUAUUAUGUUACAGGGAACUUGGAAUUGGGAUAGUUCCAUAUAGUCCACUUGGCAGUGGAUUUUUUGGUGGCAAGGCUAGUGUUGAAAGUUUGCCUGCGAACAGUCUUCUGGUAUGUUUUAGUCUACAAUGUUUCAUUUGUUAUUCUGAUGUUGUUACUUUUGAGAGUAAUUUUGAAUUGAUUAACUGAUGGUCAAUUUUUCCUUAAGACAUGGCAUCCUAGGUUCUCAGGAGAGAACAUUGACAAAAACAAGAUCUUAUAUUUGCGUCUGCAAAAGUUAGCCGAAAAGCAUGAAUGCAACCCUGCACAACUUGCACUUGCUUGGAUUCUUCAUCAAGGAAAUGAUGUAGCACCAAUUCCUGGUGAGUUAAUCUCCUUAUUUUCUUAUCAGCCGGUGCAAUCAUGAUAGACAUCUCUCCUAUAUGAGUUGAUAAGCCUUGUGUGUGCUUUAAUUUUUUUUUUUUUUUUCUUUUUACAGGUACAACAAAGAUUAAAAAUCUAGACGACAAUAUUGGUUCUUUGAGAGUGAAACUUACAAAUGAAGAUUUAGAUGAGAUUUCUUCUGUGAUUCCCAUCAAUGAGGUAGCAGGGGAUGGGGUAAUUGGCGGUCUCCUCCGUUGCUCCUGGAAGUUCGCGAACACACCAGCAAAAGAUAGUCCUCCACUUCCGGCAAUGAGGUAGCAGGGGACAGAAUAACGGAUAAGUUUCCUUCGCUGCUCUUGGAAGUUCGUGAACAUACCAUUGCAAGAUAGUCCCUCCAGCUACUAAAAGCAUCUGAAACUUGAAGAUUUUCCAUUGAAGAGAUUUUUUUUUGUUGGUUCAAUUUAUAAUGAGAGAUUGUGUCACUAUGGGAAAAACUACUAUAGUUUGUUUCAAUAAAUGAUGGGGUAUGCAGGGUAGCUUUUAUGUAUUUGAUUUCAGCUUGCUUUGCUGCUAAAGAAAUACUAUGUAUUAAUGAAUGAUAUGUAUCAAACUCAAGGCUAUUUCCAGCAAGUAAUCUCCCAAAGGAACCCAACAAUAGAUGGAUUUGUAGCUAUUUGCCUCCUUUUGGUAGCAAUUUGACAUCAGUGCAAUAACAAUUCAAAUAUUGUUCAGAAAAAUUUAAACCCUUGAUUUAUUCAUUAUGUAUCAUGAUGAGGCAAUACAACAACAAAAAGAUGCUGUAACUUAUCAGAAUAUUAUUCAGUUUGUUAAAACAUAAGAUAUUUAAACUCAAGUUCAACUGUUUUGUAUAGAGGUAUGGUGGUUCGGAUUGCUCUAUUGUGAAUAUAGUAUCAUCUCGCGAUCAAAGAAGAUACAAAGACAGGGCAUUUCAUCUUUUACAAGCUCAAGAGUAAUAUCAGGAGGCUAAAUUCACCCCCCAAUGUGAUAAAUAUGUAAUCUCAUUGAUAGAGAACAUUUUAGGUGGGAUCGACGUACUUCGUUUUCAUACGUACUCUUGUAAAAUUUUAACAAAUAGAUUUAUCUGAAUUGAUCAAACAUGAUAGAAAGAGAGAAUAAAAACUAAAAUGUGUCAUGUGACAUAAUUUUAAUUAGGGGUUCGGCUACGUUGGAUCAGCUCCAACGUAGCGCCAAUUUUAAUCAGGGUUUCGGCUAUGCGAUCAUAUAAAUCGGAUCUGACAAUCACGAUUACAUGGACUCAAAAUACAAGAUAUGCACAGGAUUAUGGGGUCUUCUUCUCCUUCGCUCUUCAUCGGUUGUUUGACCAAAUGCAAUAAACGAAUCAAAGAAAGCAGGACAUGCAAUGAACCCUAUAUGCAAAAGGGGAGUGGGGGUCUGAAUGCCUCUUGAAUUGAAUCGGCCAAGUGUUGUUUGCAUGCGCUCUACAAACUGCUUUGCUGUCAUCUGAAGCUGAAAGAAUUAUCCCUAGCUCCGUCGGUUUUUUCUGCAACAAAACGACAAUCCCUGCCUUCACUCAUCUUAAUUCAUCCCCUGGUUUUGUUCCUCCUUUUUUAAUCAAUAAUUAAUUCCUGCUCCCUGUUUCCCCUCUCUCUGUAGACUCUACCCACCAAAACCAUUUGCUAUCUUUCCAAUUUUCUUCCGUAUAUAUACACACAUUCAUAGAACAUUUUAUAUUACAACACUACGUAUAUUACUGAGUUACUUUCAAUAGAAAGAUAAAAAAGUGGUAUACAUGUAUACGAUGGAGACGGUGCAUGGACUGUAGGGGAAGCUGGGGCGGCAAUGCUAUGCUGUAUUUUGCUUGGGUGUGAUUCUUGUUGUGUCGGUGACAAUCGCUCAUUAUGUUGAACCAAAGGAUAAUUCUGCAUCAGCUACUGGUUAAAGCAGAGCCAAGGCCACCCGUCGUGGUCUUCGACCUUUACACAGUCCUCUUCCAGUGUCUCCGAAUUUCUACUGAUCAUCACUCCCCACCAGCCAACUAGCUGCUCUAUGCUACCUUCUAGAAUUCUAGAGACUUUAAUUAACUAAUUAAAUUCUAGACUUGUUUAUGGGUUUAAUCAAUUUGCUCCCCCAGUUUCUAUGUAAAAAUUUUGCUUAAUUUAAUUAAUUGUGUUGGUGCGAGAUUCGGUGUCUGCUCGUUCACGACCAGGAUCUCUCCUCAAUGCUCAAGUUUACAGUUGACUAUAGGUAACUUCACGCUGCCCCUUUGUAGACGAGUAGAACUAUGACUCUUACUGCUUCUCUCCGGCAGACUCCUGCGCACACAAAAACUGAUCAGAGCACGUUGAGGGUUUUCCCGGUGUAAACCCUCCGACGCUCAAGUCAGAAAUCUGGGCUUACUUUUGAAAAAACUCCAUCAAUAAUUUCUUGGCUUUGUAAUGAUUCCUAAAGCAAUGAAAUCCCUAUGAAUUUUCCUGAGGUUCUCACUAGAAUGCCCCUCGGAAUUUCUUUUUGUCUCUUUUUUAGUUUUUUUUGUUCAACCCUUUUACCUUUUUUUAUUGCCCUUUUCAUAGCCUCCCUGAGAAUUCGACCCUCUUUGACUCAUGUUUGCCACUUUGCCAGAAUCCUCGGAAGUAGAUGGCUGAACGUGGUGGUCGUAGUUGAGUGGACUUCGUGCCUGGAUUCUAGAAUAAUAGUGCAUGUCCUGUUUAACUGUCGUGUACUAGGUAUGCUGAUUUAGCCCCUAACGGGAAAUGUUCUCGACGCCUAGCAAGGAACCUGCUCGUAUUAUGGUUCCAGUAGAUGGUCUUCUCAUAGACGAGGAGAAGACUCCUGCUCUCGGACGUCACAUUGCUCCUCGCUUACGAGAAGGUCAACUCCUCUCCUGGGUAUGGCAGAUCACGCUAUAAUAUCCCCCCAAACACCGGUCCCCCAAUUUUUGGUAUUGGUAAUGCAAUGGAUCAAUACUAGAAACUUAAUAAUCAUGGUUUGCUCAUAGUAUAUUUCGACCUCUUGAUAUUAGGUCCAUUAUGGCUACCAUUUUGGCAAGGAUAUCUGCUCAGUAGUUCUCGCUCCUUGGGAUUUGCACUACGUCCACUGAUUCGAACUUCCCAAUCAACUGUCUGACCUUCUUUAGUUACUGUUCCAUCUUCUCAUUUAUGGGUUGAAAUCUUUCACUUACAUGGCUCGCGACCAAUUGGGAAUAGGUCCGGAUUUUCACCCUAUUUUCUUUCACUGCCUUAACUAACUCUAACCCUGCAAUUAGAGCUUCAUAUUCGGCCUGGUUGUUUGUGGCCGUAAACUCUAACUUGACAACGUAAGAGAUCUCUUCCCCUUCUGGGCUUUCCAAAACAAUCCCCGCUCCGGCACCCUACUCACCUGAGGAUCCAUCCAUCGACGCUUGCCAAACUGCCUCCGUCGUUGCCUGCAGCAGCACUUGUGUGGUCGAAGUCUACUUCAGGCUCUAUGAACUCUGCCACGAAGUCUGCCAUCGCUUGGGCUUUAAUUGCUGCUCGGGGUUUGUAGCUUAUAUCGAACUUGCUUAGCUCUAUUGCCCACUUCACUAGCCGACCGAAAGCAUUCGAUUUGUGUAGGGUCUACCACAAUGGUUGGUCUGCUACUACCGCAACUGAGAAUGCUUGGAAGUACGGUCUCAACUUUCGAGCAGCCACUACAAGGGCGAGUGCCCAUUUUUCCAACGUCGGGUACUUGGUCUCGGCAUCGAGCAGAGCUUUGCUGGUGUAAUAUAUUGGGUACUGGACCCCUUCUUCUUCUCUCACCAGAAUUGAGCUUGUAUUGUGAUUGGAUACACAGGACGUCCCCCUCUCGUGGUGUGGACAAUAAGAGUGUUUGUUGUAGGUAUUGUUUCAGUUUCAAGAAUGCCUCUUUGUAUUCGGGGGUCCAUUCUAUUUUCCUCCCCAUCCUCAUCACUUGAAAAAAGGCGUGACAUUUGUCUGUGGCCUUGGAUAUAAAUCGACUCAACGCCGCCAACUUUCCCGUGAAGCUUUAUAUCUCCUUCAAAUUACAAGAAGAUCUCAUUCCCACAAUUGCUUGGAUCUUCUUAGGAUUCGCCUCAAUCUCCCGAUGGCUUACCAUGAACCCAAGGAAUUUUCCCGAUCCAACUCCAAAAACACACUUUUUUCGGGUUGAGCUUCAUCUUAUAUUUUCUCAAAAGCCCAAAUGUCUCCUCAAGGUGCUUGACGUGUUCAUCCGGGCUUUUUGAUUUGGCUAUUAUGUCGUCCACAUAAACCUCCAUCGUUCACCCAAUCAAUGGCUUAAAGAUUUUGUUCACCAACCUCUGGUAUGUAGCACCUGUAUUUUUAAGGCCGAAUGACAUUACCCUGUAACAAAACAAACUCUGGUUAGUAAUAAACGUCGUGCUCUCCUCUUCAUACUCGUACAUUAGGAUUUGGUUGUAUCCAGAGAAUGCGUCUAUGAAGCUGAGCAGAUUAUGCCAUGCUGUUGAGUCAACCAGUUGGUCGAUCUUCGAUAAGGGAAAGCUUUUUUUCAGGUAUGCCUUGUUGAGGUCGAUGAAGUCAACACACAUUCUCCAUUUACCAUUGGCCUUCCUUACAAGAACGACAUUCAAUAUCCAUUCGGGGUAGUUCACUUCCUGAAAGAACCCUGCCUGCAAGAGCUUCUCCACCUCGCUAUUUAUGGUUUCGUAUCUCUCCUGGUUGAAAUACCUUCUCUUUUGCCUCACAAAUCUGACACCCUUCUUUAUCUCCAACCUGUGGCAAGCCACCUCGGGGUCGAUCCCCGGCAUGUCAUCAUGCGUCCAGGCAAACAUAUAUGCGUGAGAUCGCAUGCAGUGUAUCAACUCUUGCUUCAACUCCCCCUCUAUCUUCGACCCAAUCCUAAGUGUUUUCCCCAUACCGUCCUUAUUCAAGUUGACAGUCUCCAGCUCCUUAACCGUCUCAUGUCUGCCCCUCAUAAAUUUUGCUUAGUCAUGAAGCGAGGUAAUUUACAUCGCCUCUUUCGUUGCUGUAGUGUAACAGCUUCGAGUAAUUCUCUGAUUUUCUUGUACCACGCCAACCACCCAAUUUACUCGGUACUUGAGAGCCAAGUUAGAUAGCACCGCCUUACUCAUCCUCAAGAAAAGGCGGCCUAAAAUCAUCUAGUAGGGGCUCUCUUCAUCGACCACAAUAAAAUCUAGGAUCAUUGUCUUUUCUAAUGGAGCAGAACCUAUAGUAAUGGGUAGCUCGACCACUCCAAGUGGGGCUAGCCUUCCUCCCCUGAACCCCUUUAAUGAUGUGUUGAUGUGCUCUAUCCUCAAAUCUGCUAUUCCCAUUUCCUCCUAAGUUGACUUGAACAGGACAUCGACCGAGCUCUCAAUAUAUACUAGGAUUCAAUCAAACUUCUUGCUGGCGACGAUGGCUUCAAUGACAAGUGCAUCCUCGUGUGGGUAUAGCACUCAUUCUUCGUCCUCAUCCGUCCACAUGAUCAGCACAUGCUUGGUCCUUGUUCGUGUUGUUGUCGGAGUGUUAAAUAAUACUUUUUUGCUAGUCACGGCAUACCUAGCAUAGUUCUUUCUAGAUCUGUUGGAAUCCCCAGCCAACGUUGGGCCCCCAACGAUAACUCUGAUGAUGGGCUGCUUGUGACCUGCAUUUCUAGUGCCCUGCUCUGCUCCACAUGAUGAGCCUGCAAUCGAGAUAGCUCUAUCUAUGAACUCGUCCAGGUAACAAUUCCUUACUAAAUCUUCCACCUGAUUUUUUAGAUCACUGCAUUAGGACAUAGUAUGACCAUGAGUGCCAUGGAAUUCGCAAAACCGGCCCUUAUCUCAUCUGCUAGGUAGUUUUGCUAUUGGGGUAGGAGGAUACAGCAAACCAUGAUCCUUUAUUGCAUUGUACACCUCGUCCAGAGGCGUCUUCAAGGAAAUGUACCGCCUAUAGCUCUGACUCUGAUCGAUCACGUGCAUUGCCUUUUCCCUGUGGGCGUUGUUUUAAGCGGGAAGGGGCAUUGGUGCAUUUGGUCUGCUAGCUCUCAUACUCUGUAGGUGGUGGGUCAUCGUAGUAUGAUGAUGAAGGUGACUAUACAUCUAGUCAAGCCUUCCCCAAGAAUCUCUAGCUAGUGAACGAGAAAGCUGCAUCCUGCUACGUUGAUAUUGGAGUGGCCUCUGGUGAGGUUGGUAAGAGACGACCCGACUUCCCGCACUGCCACCCGGGGCAUGGUGGUCCUUCCAUUUAAUUGGCCCGCUUUCUGCUAUGACUUUCUUUUCCUUUCUCCUCAACCCCUCCAGCUGGUCCGUCUUAAUCCUCGUCGUUUUUUCCUCCUCGAUUUCUAUGUCCCUCUUGGCUUGCUCAUAGGCCACGAAAUAUGACUGAACUGCUGGACUCCUUAAGUUGUACCACAGACUCUCUAUCUUUACUCCUUCCUUUAGCCCCCUGAGGAUGGUUGAAGGCUCUAAGAUCGAGGAUAGCACGAUGGUAUCUUUUGAUAAAGUCCCGAAGAGUCUCAUUUUCUCCUUGCUUCAUACUCGUCAGCUCCAUCAUAUCAUCUUCUGGUGUCAUUGUCCCCCGAAAUUGCUCUGCAAAUUCCUGGCACAUCUGCUCGAAUGUUCUGAUGUUUUCCGGAGGAAACCUUCGAUACCACUCACCCUGCAUCUCUGGGCUUGAGAUAAUCUCUACACUCCGGUUAUGUCAUUGAAACGCUUUAUGUGCACCAAUGGGUCGGCUCGACUAGGAUCACGUGCCGUUACCUGGUCUUGCUCUUGCUCGACAUCACGCAUGUGUUGUCGAAGUUCCAUCUCCUCAGCGUUCGCAACCCUGUUAUUAUUGCCUGUGUUCUGCCUACCCGGGGGUUGAUUCCCUCUUUCAUGACUUUCCGUAGAGAUUGGUCACUGAGUCCACCACCAGGCCUCCCGGUAGUUAAACCUCUCAUCAUAGUGGUCCUUUCACCGUUGUUCCUUCUAUUAACAUGCCCCGGUGUAACUCUGUCACUUCUCAUCAUUUCUUCGUGAGUUUCUCUUUGUUCUUUCUCAACGCGUGCAAGAUGGUUGUCAGAGUUUCCAUCUGUUUUUCCAUCCGCUCAUGCAUUGCUCUUUCUCGCGCCUCGUUAGUUAUUUCUCUUAAUAUUACGGAUUCGUUAAGCCUCAUAUCCCCUCCUUGGACAUUACUCGUACCUACGUCCAUAGUCACCCCGCUUUUUUUCCCUUCCUUCUCUAUGUUAACGCUCUCUGUUAACAAAAGCUUUUUGUUCAGCUCCCCAUAGACGACGGCAAAAUGUUGAUGCGAGAUUCGAUGUAUGCUCGGUCACGACCAGAAUCUCUCCUUAAUGCUCAAGUUUGCAAUUGACUAUAGGUAACUCCACGUUGCCUUUUUCUAAACGAGUAGAACUAUGACGCUUACUGCUUCUCUCGGCAGACUCCUGCACAUACAAAAACUGGUCAAAGCACGCCGAGGGUUUUCCCGGGGUAAACCCUCCGGCGCUGAAGUCCAGAAUCUGGGCUUACUUUUGGAAAAACCCUGCCAAUCAUUUCUUGGCUUUGUAAUGAUUUCUAAAGCAAUGAAAUCCCUGUAAAUUUUCCUGAGGUUCUCACUAGAAUGCCCCAUGGAAUUUUUUUUUUGUCUCUUUUUUAGUGUUUUUUGUCCAACCCUUUUACCUUCUUUAAUUGCCCUUUUUAUAACCUCCCUGAGAAUUCGGCCCUCAUUGACUCACGUUCGCCACUUUGCCGAAUCAUCGUAAGUGGAUGCUUGAACGUGGUGGUCGUAGCUGAUUGGGCUUCGUGCCUGAAUUCUAGGAUAAUAGCGCAUGUCCUAUUUAACUGCUGUGGACUAGGUCUGCUGAUUUAGCCCCCAGCGGGAAAUGUUCUCGACGCUUAGCAAGGAACUUGCUCGUAUUCUAGUCCUAGCAAAUGGUCUCCUCAAGGACGAGGAGAUGACUCCUGCUCUCGGAUGUCACAUUGCUCUUCACUUAUGAGAAGGUCAACUCCUCGCUUGGGUAUGGCAGAUCACGCUAUAAUAUCCCCCCAAACAAAUUGUUAAUUAACAAAUAACAUAAACGCUAAUUUUCGCGCAAGUUUCAACAUUACUUACUUGGUUGCCUUCUGUUCUCGUGUUUGCGUCUCUGUCUUCCAUUACGAGCACUAAAAAAGGUAUAAUCAACGGUUUGCGAGAUAGUUGCGACUGCAGUAGGUGCCAGCGUCGAUCAUCAGCAUGGCGAUGCAUAGUAGAAUUAGGCGAGGAGAGAUAGAGAGAUAUAAUCAACGAUUGCUGAUCAAAUUUGAAACUUUCCAGCGAACCGACGGUGAUGAUGAGAUUGAUUCCGAUUAUAAUGAAGAAACUGGUGAAGAGCGAAGGAGAAGAAGACCCCAUAAUCCUAUGCAUAUCUUGUAUUUUGAGUUCAUGUAAUCGUGACCGUCACAUCGAAUUUAUAUGACCGUAUGGCUGGUAUUAGUUGGAGGUGAUCCAAUGUAGUUGAACACUUUUAUUAGACGAUUACAUCGUGUGUUGUGACUGUAAAUUUCUCCCACACCUAACAUUUUGCAAAGUACAGGGAUUAUUUUGUCAAAUCUUAAAAUCGUUAGCACUUGUUUUGAAUUACACUAAAUUGACCAAUCAUGAUAGUAAAAGAAAAAAAAAUGAAAAUUCGUUUGCACACAACAACACAACAGAGGCAAAGCUUAUGUUACAAAUAUUGUAACAAACAACUAAUAGAUAUGGAUCAUUAAUUUUUAUAUUUCUUAAAUCCAAUGGAUGAAAGUAAUUUUAACCAAAAACGAGAUACGGGUGCAAUAGUAAUUUAAAGAAAACUUUAUUUUUAAUCACAUAUUUACUUAUUUUUUCAAAUAAGUCCUCAUUAAUUUUGUAUAAUUAUAUAGUUUUCUAUAUUUAUUUUUAAAUUUUUUAAAAAGUUUUUACUAUAUUUUUAUAAGAAUUUAAAUGAUUAUCAUGUUCAUAAAUAUCCACAAAUUCUGAAUAUAUAUUUGCACCUGUAUUUAUAAAUUCUUGUCUCUCUUAAGAUAUAAACUAGAUUUUUUCUACACACACACACACACACCAUAAAUGCUUUCACAUAGAUUUUGUAAUAUGAAUCUAGCAUCCUAAAUUAUAAGAGAUAUUAUAUAUCAUGAAUAUCUUAUGAAUUUAAUGAAUUAUUAGAAAAAUGAUACAAUGAAUAAAUUACCAAAAUUUCUAAUAAUUUCACAAAACAUAAAAACCAAUAAGCUACCACAUUCUAGCUAUGGGCGAAAAGGAUUUUCAGGUGGAAGAUUUCAACUUUUCGAUUGGAUCAAUGAUUCAAACAUGUGAGCUAAUAAUCAAUUAAAUUGAACUUCGUUGUAUUUAUUAAAUAAAUUAAGAAACCCAAAUUUAUCUAUAAAUUAUAUAGAAAGUGCAAACAAAAUGUAAGAGAUUAAUAAUUUCAAUGACGAAAAUAUAAAACAAAUUAAAAAUUCAGGAGAUCAAAUGAGCAAAGAAUUUUAUAAGGUUAAACAAUUAAUGAAAUAAUUCAAUAUUGAAGAUCAAGAUAAAUUAAAGUAAGAGAUCAUUAAUAUAACGAAUAAAAACUCAAUAGAUGUAAGAUUAAAUAAGUUAGAGAUUCAAUUGGAUAAUAUAGAAAAAAAAAAUUGUUGAGAAACUGUACUAAAUCUACUGUAAAUAUAAAUAGAAAAUUUUAAGAAAAUUGAAGUUCGAAGAUACAAUUACGACAAAAAGGGUAAUUAUAUUGAUCUCCAAACAACCAUCAAUGCAAUUUAAAUGAAAGAUGUGAUUGUAUACAGGAGAAAUUCAACAAGUUUCAUCAUCUGUAAAAGUUUCCAAGCAAAUAGCACAGUCACUAGAACUUGAUGAUGAUGUAGUUUUUAACCUUUUGUAAUUUACAAGUUGCUUCAUUUUAUUCAAGGUUUGCUCUCUUUGCCUUUGCCUUUCUUUUGAGAUUUAUAAAAAUCUAUUUAAUAUCUCUAAUAGUUUAUUUAAUAUCUCUAAUAGUCAUAAGUUGGUUUGAUGAGACCAAAUGUGAUCAAAAUCAAAUCUUCUUUGCCAGAUAAAAAACCAACCAAAAACGUGAUAAAAGAAGAUGAAGAUAUACAAACCUAUGAGGCAAAUGUGGAUAUAAUUUUGGGAACUGUGUGAGAAAUAAUAAAGACUUGAGGGGGCAUAGGUUUUGCCAUUGAUGUUGACGAAAGGGUGGCUAAUAAUAACUAAUAUCCCUCCCGGGAAAUUUCAAAGACUUUUACAGGCAUCUUGGGGUUUAAAACAAAAUUUUAAAACUCAUUGACUUUUUUAUAAUUAUAAACUUUACGAAGGAUUUAAAAUCUUUUAGCUGUAACGCACAGCUAAUGUAACGGAAGUUUUGCCCCCAUCAGAACAAGUUUCAGGUUUUGAAAUUUCCCACCAUCCGAUUCUGUAACAAACAUCUCCCGUCAUUCCACCAUCCGAUUUUCUAUUGUUUAGUUUCUCACUCCACAUCCAACCACAUCCAACCACAUCCAACGGCUGAUGCUGCAGUCUGUAGCUUACAGAUUCUGUAAGCUAGUCAAGUCCCAGUUUCAGCACUUAAAAAAAAAAAGUACCUGUCUUCACAUCCUUGGAGUUGGAGCCAAACCAGAUUCCUUUCCUUUUUGUCCCAUCCAGCUCAAGCUCAAGUCAACCAACUAAUUAUUGAAAGAAUACCAGGACAAACCAAAACCACAGCAUCAAAUAUGGCAGAAGGGAUGAAACUCCAAGUUCCGAGAGUGAAACUCGGAACCCAAGGCCUUGAGGUAACUACCCAUUUGUAAUUUUCUUUUUUUUUUGUUCUUUUAAUCCUGAUCGUUUGAUUUCUCUGAUUGUGUUUUUUUGCUUUUACAGGUAUCAAAGCUGGGAUUUGGAUGCAUGAGCCUGAGUGGAGGUUACAAUUCUCCAGUCUCUGAAGAGGAUGGCAUCUCUAUAAUAAAGCAUGCUUUCAAUAAAGGAAUCACUUUCUUUGAUACUGCUGAUAAAUAUGGACCAUAUACUAAUGAAAUUCUUCUUGGAAAGGUUAGGAUCUUGACUCUUGACACUUGUGUAAGAAUUCUCUUAACUAAACACUUGUUAUGUUUGAUUAAUUUAGUUACAAUUCACAUCUAGAUCAAGCGGUAACCUAAAGAGUAUGAUAGCUGCUAUGGUUCAAGUAAUUUAACUGAUAACUGUGGAAUCACACUCCUAAUAUAAUAUGUUUGUUCAAGGAAUUGGUGAAUAUUUAUUUUUGCACAUUAUUGAGGAUAUAGAAAUCAUUGUUAAAAUUUUCCGAAUUUAUUGGAAAAAAAUUAAUUCCUUUCAGGCCUUGAAGAUGUUGCCCAGAGAAAACAUACAAGUAGCCACAAAGUUUGGGUUUGCAGAAUUGGGACUUGAUGCUGUGAUUGUGAAGGGUAACCCUGAGUAUGUGCGCUCAUGUUGUGAAGCUAGCUUGAAGCGCCUUGAUGUGGAAUACAUUGAUCUGUAUUAUCAACAUAGAGUGGACACAUCAGUCCCCAUAGAGGAAACUGUGAGUGAUUCUCUCUUCCUCAGGCUAACUAUCUGAAUUGAAGAGUUUUGACCCCAAUUAUGAUUUUUAGAUUCUGAUUGUAUCAGUAGUGGUGGGAUCCAUAUUGAUUGAAUGUGUUCAAAACUAUAUUUGUCAUUUCCUUGUCAAAAUAUAGAUUGGCGAAAUGAAAAAGCUGGUGGAAGAGGGUAAAAUCAAGUACAUAGGAUUAUCUGAGGCUAGCCCAGAUACAAUUAGGAGAGCACAUGCUGUUCAUCCUAUCACAGCUGUACAACUGGAAUGGUCUCUUUGGACUCGUGACAUUGAGAAUGAGAUAGUACCACUUUGCAGGUUCGUUCGACUCGCGAUGAAGAGUGUUUAAGGACCUAUUUAAUUGUUCCUAUCUAAAACUUUAAUUUUUGCAUCUAGUGUCUGAGUAUAUAGCAUUUCAUAAAAUUAGUAACUUGAAUAGGAUAGAUUAGAUUUUCAAAGGAAGUAUAUUCUAUUUAUUUGUUCCAAUCUACUAUUUUGUACCUAAUGUCUGUAGAUAUGGAAUUUUGUAAAAUUCAAUACUUGCAUAGAAUAGAUUAGAUUAGAUUUUAAGUGGAAGUAUAUGCUUGCAUGUACAAGACUGCCCUUCUGAUAGAUUGAAGUGUGCAGGGAGCUUGGCAUUGGAAUAGUUCCAUACAGUCCUCUUGGUCGUGGAUUUUUCGGUGGCAAAGCUGUUGUGGAAAGUGUGCCUCCAGAUAGCUUUUUGGUAUGUUUUUCAUCAAUGUUUGUCCGCAUCGUUUUGUUUCAUAACACAGUAUAACAUAGAUGUUUUUAAGAAACAACAUGAGCUUUCCAGUUUCAUUUGAGACUAAUGUUCCAUAUGUGGUGAAGCUUAUUAAAAUUCUGCAUGUAUCUGUUUUAUAAGAAUUUUCUUCCUCGGUUCACCGGAGAGAACCUGGACAGAAACAGGAGUAUUUAUUUUCGCAUAGAGAACCUUGCCAAAAAGUACAAAUGCACUUCUGCGCAAUUAGCACUGGCAUGGGUUCUCGAACAGGGGGAUGAUGUCGUACCUAUUCCUGGUAAGUUUCUAUCCUUGAGUUCAUGAUUCACGUGUUGACUUGAAGAAAUAUAUAGAGUUCAAAUUCGAGCUGAUCAAAAUAAUGUUGCCUAAUGUUUACUGGUAAUUUGCUUCGAGCAUCAGGGACAACUAAGAUUAAUAACCUAGAAGACAAUAUUGGCUCCUUGACAGUAAAACUUACAAACGAGGAUCUGAAAGAAAUUUCUGAUGCCGUACCCACAGAAGAGGUUGCAGGAGGAAGAUAUCCAGAUUCCUUUGACAAAACAUCGUGGAAUUUUGCAAACACACCUCCAAAAGACUCUUAAGGUUUGAACUUUAAGCUUAAAAUAUUUUCUGGAUGCUGCCUAUAUCAUCACUUGGGGUUGGGAGCUUGGGAUGUCUUAUUUUACGCAAAUAAACUCAGAUAAAUGUCAGAACAUGUUUACAAGAUACCGGUACAUUACUUCAUGCUAAACAAUUUCAUGAGUAAAACUUUGAUCAUUAUGAUGUACUAUAUAUUUGUAAACAUGGUGUGCCGGAUUUGUGAAGUGAGAAUAUGUGUGAGGCUUUUUAAGGUACAACCUGAAAUCAAGUUGCUAAAAUAUUUUUGCCGACUCUCUCUUUCUUUGAAAAUGAAGAUUACAAAUAUCCAAAUUUUGGAUGGAAACAAUUUGACUGCAUUUGCUUCAUCAUAGUACAGAUACAGGUCGAUUCGCAGGCAAAUUAUGGUGUUUGUAGAUGAAACACUUAUUGAAGCAAAAUUAUAUUCAAGUUACAGUGAGAAUGGAGAUUGGAAAAUAACUGCUGUUUGUUUAAGAAUACUCUCUUAUCAUUCAGGAGGAUACAAAUUAACUACCAUUUAAGUCUGACUGGUGCGGUGGUGCAAUUACCACCCCUUUAAGGUCCUUAUGAAACCCAUUUUUAAUUAAAAUUACAUAAAUAGCCAAAGACAAAUUUAAUUGAUUAUAUUUUGAAUGGAAAUUCAAAUAGACACUUAUUUAUUUUUUAACAAAUUUUUUACGCUCACACAACCUCAAAUUCUAUAUUUAUCUUUUAAUUUAUAUUUGAAAAUAUAACUUUUUAUACUAAAAAUAUAUUUUUUAAAGAUUUUUUUUUUACUGGAAAUUAGUUUAGGAUUAAUCAGUUGGUUUGCUAGCCAAAAAGUAAAAAGAUGGCAUAGGGUAGGUUUAUAAUCGUUGAGUUUCUACUUAAUUUUAAAAGUAUAGUUGUUAAAGAUUCUAGUGAACAUUUACUACUUAAGUAAAUAAUAUUCACCGAGCACUCACUUAUCCAUUUAUAUUUAACUGCUAGUAAUUUUGUUCUACAAACACUUUGAAGACGUGAGGUAUAUUUUUAUUGGUGUAUGUGCAUUUAACCAUUUUGGGUCCUAAAAUAAUUAUCAAUUAUUAAGAAGAAUAAAAGCAAAAGAAUAUUUACGCACUUGCUUACGUGAUUAAUAUUGUUAAGCAAACGUGUGCUUACAUACUUGCUUACAUGAUGAAUGUAGUUUAGCAAAAGGGUGCUUACGUACUUGCUUACCUGAUUAUUGUAGAAUACGAUUCUUUACAGCUUCAGGUUACAAUUUUUGUCACUUAUUCAUAUGUUUGAUUUGAUGUUCAAACUUGGAAGUGACAAAAUUCAAUUGCGCAGUCAGCAGUCAUCAAAGACUACUCAAGCAGCUACAGUGCAUUACCGUUGUGAUUUAGAAGUUAAAUUAGUUUUAUUUUAUAUUUGUAUAAUGAAAAAUUUAUAAUACAAUACAUGAUUAAUACCAAGCAGGGCCUCACACAGGAUGUUUGUUUUAAAUUUUUUUUUAUGAAGAUAUUUAUUUUUUAAAAUUGAAUAGUGUAUAAGGCUCAAUUUCAGUGCUUUAGACAUUUUAAAGAUUUUUAUUUUUCAACUUAACACUGAAAAAUUGUUGUUUAUGCUUGAAUUUAAAUUUUUAUUUUGGUCAUAGUUGUUGUGUGUGUGUGUGUAUACAAUCCUUUUUUAGUACGGAUGCUCUCAAUUUUUUUUUUUUUUUUGCUGACACGUUUUGAAGCCGUAAGAUUCAAUAGAGUCAGAUUUUAAUGCCAUUAAAGUGCACGACUUUAAGUGGUGAGGUUUAAUAGAGACAAAUUUUAAUGUUAUUAAACUGAUCUAGUAUAGACUCUCUCAUAUUUUUUUUAUACUAACACACUUUUAAAUUGUGGGGUUUAAUAGAGUCAGAUUUUAAUGUUAUUAAACUACGCGAUUUUAUAGCGCAUUCAAAAACUAACUUUAUUAAACCAUACAACUUAACAGUGCAUCUGCAUUUAAAAAAAUGAGGGUGUCUACAUCUGAGAAUGAUUACACACAUCAGAAGUGCGGGCACCUUCAUUUUUUUAAAUGCAGACACACUAUUAAAAUAUAUGAUUUAAUAAAGUCAGUUUUUAAAUGUACUAUAAAAUCGUGUGGUCUAAUAGUAUUUAAAUCUGACUCUAUUAAACCCCACGACAUAAAAGAAUGUUCGCAUAAAAAAAAAAUGAGGGCGUCCGCACUACUCUAUGGCAAUAAAUUAAAAUCUUUAUUAAUUUCCUAAUGAUUUGAAUUUUCAUAAUUACAAGAACCAAUCAUUUCAAUCGUAUUGGUACGAAAAUUUCAAUUUGAUAUCAUACAUAGUACAGAUCAUACAUGCCCAUUUUAUUGUGUAAAUUAAAAAUAUCAAUAACAAAAAUAUUAUUUUGAUAAAAAAUUAGGUUAUAAAAUUUUGAUAAAAAGCUUAAGAAGAUUAAAAUGUCUUGACAAAAAAUAAGUUGAUUGAUAGCUACUUGCCCUAAGAUUUUAAUCAAAAUUUUACCCUAUCAUUUAUUUAGCAUUGUUCGAUAAAUAAAAACAAUUGUUUAAUAAACAAAAACAAUAAAACAGACUCGAUUGACCGUUAAGUUGAUUUUUUUUUAAUUCUAAAAAUAAAUAAUUAUAAGACACGAGGAUUACGCCUAAGGGCUAAGGCCACCUUCCUUUUGGUUCCUUAUAAAUGUCAUUAGUCCCAUGCCUCCAUAUCUAUGCAUAUUAAGAGUCUGAGACAAGUCUUAAGCCAGUAUCAAGAAAAGAAGAAGAAGAAGAAGAAUACGUUUGAAGAAAAUGGCUGAAGAACAAAGAAUCAAGAUUCCAAGAGUGAAACUUGGUGGGCAAGGAUUUGAGGUAAAGUUCAUUUGGUAACUCUUUUCUUUUACAGCAUCAUGAAAAAUAUAAACAAUCACAAAGAGACAUUAUUGUUUCUCAUAUAAUAUUUUUUGAUGAAUUUUAUAUGUCUUAAAGGUGUCAAAGUUGGGAUUUGGUUGCAUGGGCCUCACUGGAAUGUACAAUGAUCCUGUCCCUGAUGAAGUUGGCAUAUCAAUAAUCAAGCAUGCAUUUGAUCAAGGAAUAACAUUUUUUGACACAGCAGACGUCUAUGGACCCAAUAAUGCUAAUGAACUUCUUGUUGGAAAGGUUAAUGACCAAUUCACAAUGUCGAUAGAUGAAAACUCUUGGCAUGUAAGUAAUUAAUUGAUGAAUCUUUUCAGGCUCUGAAGCAGUUUCCAAGAGAGAAAGUGCAACUAGCCACAAAAUUUGGUGUUGUCAAAUUUGACGUUAGUGGCCUUGUAAUAAACGGUACCCCUGAGUAUGUUAGAGCCUGCUGUGAGGCUAGCCUGAAGCGUCUUGAUGUUGAAUACAUUGAUCUCUAUUAUCAGCAUCGUGUUGACACAACGGUACCUAUAGAGGAUACUGUACGUAAUCUGCUGCCUUCAUUUCUGAUUUCCUUGUCAACAGUCAUUAGUUGCUGCAUCAAUAGUUAUGGUGGCAUUUUGCUUCUUAUCAGAUGGGAGAACUUAAGAAGUUGGUGGAAGAAGGGAAAAUAAAGUAUAUCGGGUUAUCUGAAGCAAGCCCUGAUACUAUAAGAAGGGCACAUGCAGUUCAUCCUGUUACUGCCUUACAAAUGGAGUGGUCGCUCUGGACUCGCGCAAUUGAGGAUGAAAUAGUCCCACUUUGCAGGUUCUUUGUACUGAAAUUGCAAUUGAAAUGUUACCAUUUUCAUUUUUAUCUAUUCAACUUCAGCAGAUUUUCUUUGGUAAAUGAUUCUCAAGUUACCUCUUAGUUAACAUAUCCGUAUAUUCCUGUAAGUGUGAUUUCUGUUAAUGAGAGGCAAUUGUCAUGUUGGAAUAUUAUGUUAUAGGGAACUUGGAAUUGGGAUAGUUCCAUAUAGUCCACUUGGCAGAGGAUUUUUUGGUGGCAAGGCUAGUGUUGAAAGUUUGCCUGCAAAUAGUAUUCUGGUAUGUUUUAGUCUACAAUGUUUCAUUGGUUCAUUUGCUAUUCUGAUCUUGUUACUUUUGAGAGUAAUUUUGAAUUGAUUAACUGAUGGCCAAUCUUUACUCAAGACAUGGCAUCCUAGGUUCUCAGGAGAGAACAUUGACAAAAACAAGAUCUUAUAUUUGCGUCUGCAAAAGUUAGCCGAAAAGCAUGAAUGCAACCCUGCACAACUUGCACUUGCUUGGAUUCUUCAUCAAGGAGAUGAUGUAGCACCAAUUCCUGGUGAGUUAAUCUUUCUUUUCUUAUCGACCGGUGCAAUCAUGAUAGACAUCUCUCCUAUAUGAGUUGAUAAGCCUUGUAUGUGCUUUAUUUUUUUGGCAGGUACAACAAAGAUUAAAAAUCUCGACGACAAUAUAGGUUCUUUGAGAGUGAAACUUACAAAUGAAGAUUUAGAUGAGAUUUCUUCUGUGAUUCCCAUCAAUGAGGUAGCAGGGGAUGGGGUAAUUGGCGGUCUCCUUCGCUACUCCUGGAAGUUCGCGAACACACCAGCAAAAGAUGGUCCACCUCCUCCAGCUACUAAAAGCAUUUGAAAUUUGUAAAAAUUGUACCGAUAAGCAACUUAAUUACCUUAAGUUAUAAGAAAUGAUGUCUUGAAUAAUUGCAGAAUCUAGCAAACCAGCAUUGAAGUGGAUCAACAAGAUAAGCAAAACCCAAACUGUUUUUCUUGCGACAAAGGCGCAAAGAAAUGAUUUGAGAUUCUGUCACAAUGUUGAGAAUUACUACUGUUUGUUUUAAUAAAUGAUAAUGAAAAUGCAGGGUAGCUUUUAUGUAUUUGAUUUGAGCCUGCUAUGUUGUUGCUAAAUGAAUAUUAUGUACUGAAGGAAAUGUGCAAUCACUAUCGACUCAAGGGUGUUUCCAGCAAGUAAUCUCUAAAAUUAAAAGAUGAACUUGUUCCGAUUUUCCACCUUUUGAGUACUAAUGCAACAACUUUUCAAGUAUUGUUCUGAAAAUUUUAAAUCCUUGGUAUUCAAAACUCAAGCUAUUAUAAAUAGUUUAUGAUCGUUGCAUUGCUUGUACUAUGAGUUCGGUAUGAGCCUUCAAUCAAAAAAAAAAAAAAAAAUACAAGCCAUGGCAGAUUCAAUUAUUCAUCAAGAGUAACAUCAGGAGGCUAAAUUCAGCCACAGGAGCCAAAAGAAACCACAGGUUGCACAAUAUAGGAUUCAAAUUGGAUUGCACUCAAAACUUGUUCAAUCGGAAAGACACAAGGAUAUAGUACAUAUGUAAUCUCGUUACUAGAAAAAAUCUUAAGUGGAAUUGACAUACCAUAUGAUCGUAUACUUAUCCACUAAAAUUUUAGUAUAUAUAUCCAUUUUAAAAUUGGUCAAUCAUGAAAAUAAGAGCAAAGAAAAUUAGAUCGUUUAACAUCAUUUUAUUACGGGAAAUUUACAAAAAAAGCCAAAAAAAUUAGGCAUUUUUCAACUUUAACCCCUCAAACUUUUUUCUUUCAACAUUAACCAAAUCAUCAAAUUGUGGACGAAAUUGCCCUCCUCAUUCUCACGUUUCCCUCAAGCAAAUUUCCCCCCCCCCCUCUCACCAAAAUCUCAUCACCGGAAGUUGUAUAGAUCGUCGGCGGCAGCGUAGAUCGGCAGCGGAAGAAGUUGUCGGCGGCUGAAAGAAGUUAAAUCACGUUGAAAAUCUUCGGAGAUCUCCAAAAUCAAAGAAAAAAUUAAAAACCCUAGGUGAGUUGUUAUUGUCGUUGUUGUUGUUGUUGUUGAUGUUGUUGUUGUUUGGGAUGUUGUUGAUGUUGGUGGUGUUUAAUGGCGGUGGUGGGUGAGAUGCAUGUGGGAAAGGGAAGGGAAGAGAAAGAGAAGAGAAAGGGAAGGGGAAGUGAAGGCACGCAUGCGUUGCGCGCGAGAUUCGCACGCCGCGCGCAUUUCGCUUGCGACAGGUGCUGCGUCGCGCGUGAGAUGCUCGCAGCGUGCGCAUCUCGUGUGCUACAGGCGAUGCGUCGCGCACGAGAUUCGCACGUCGUGCGCAUUUCGCGUGCGACAGGUGCUGCGUCGCGCGCGAGAUGCUCGCAGCGUGCGCAUCUCGCGUGCGACAGGCUAUGCGUCGCGCGCGCAUCUCGCGCGUGACGCAGCACCUGUCGCAAGCGAGAUGCGCGCGGCGUGCGAAUCUCGUGCGCGACGCAGCGCCUGUCGCGCUCUAGAUGCGCAUGCUGCGCGCCAGGCAGCGGCCUCGCGCGCGCGAGUUGCGGGCAGGCUGGCACGCAACUCGCGCGCCCUUGGCUUCCCUCGCACGCCUGUCGCACCAAGAGGUGCUGCCUCUUGGUGCGACGGGGUGCCAAGAGGUGCUGCUUGUUGGUGCGACGGGCACCCCGUCGCACCAAGAGGCAGUGCGUGGUGCAUUUCCCAUUGCACUUUACCAUGAAGCUUUGCCAAAGCUGGCUUUGUGGAUUGAUUAGUAGCAUUGGCGUAAUGAUACUACACAAUUUGCUUCACUCUAUAAAUUCUAUUAACUGCAAUGAAAAUCAUAUCUUGCAGCACAUAUACAUUUGAAGCAACAAGCUUUGCACAUUUGGUGGCAAGAAUUAAUUCGUUUUUUUUUCUUUUUUAUGUAGGAUAUAAGGCGAAGCAUUAAUUCAGGUAGUUUGCGGCCACUAAUGACAAACAUUCCAGCUUCUUCCAUGUAUAGUGUGAGAUCAGGAUCCACAAAAAGUAGGACAGUUAGUGUUACAGACUCUCCUCUUGCCACAAGCAGCAAUGCUAGCUCUGAACCAAGUGCCAACAACAACUCCUUUAUUUUAGACGGAAGUGAACUCGAUGACAUUCAUGAUUUUGGGAGUGAGAGAGGAAACUUCUCCCCUGUAAGGCACAAUACAACAGAAAACAAUUUAUAACAUUAAAAAUUAUAGACUAAUUAGAGUAAGGCACAAUACAAUCUCGAUAAAUUAAUAGUUUGCGACCAUAAAAAAUAUAUUAAUUUAUCAAUAGAUUAAUAAUUUAUUAAUUUAUAAAGAUAAUAUCAUGUUCAUAAUAGGAAAUUUUAUGAAAUAUGGUAGUAUAAUUAAAGAAUGUAGUGAUUUUAUCAAGUUAUAUGAUAUGAUUCUAAAUAAUCUUUUUGGAGGCAAUAUAUUAGAUUUACUUCGUCUCAUCGUAAGCUUCGAAACAAUAUAUUAUACACCUAAAACGGACACAUGUAGCCCAAGUUAUUACUUUCAGAAAAUAACUUAAAUUUAGUGAGACAGGCAGUGGAACAGGUGCCUGUCUCACAUAAAACCAGCAGAUUUAUGUGAGACAGGCGCCUGUCCCACUUGCCUGUCUCACAUAAAACCAGUGAUAACAAGUGAGACAGGCGCCUGUCUCACAUAAAAGGGAAUAGUGGCAUACCUUUGUAAAUUUGAUGAAAAUGAUGAGGGUAAUGUAGUCCAAAAAUAGAGUGUUUGGCUAGUUAUGAUAGAAAAAAGUUUGAGGGGUUAAAGUUAAAAAAUGCCUAAUUUUUUUGGCUAUUUUUGUAAAUUUCCCUUUUAUUACAUGGUCUCGAUAUUUGAUGGUCACAUUGAGAGCGUAAGUAUCUCUCCUACCGGACAUUUUGCAAAGUCUAGGCUUUAUUGGUCAACUUUUAAACUAUUUUGUGCUUGUUUCCAAUUACACUGAACUUCAGAAUUUUGUUAAAACUUAAUAAUUAUAAUAUUACAUGAAUGCUUAUGAUAAAAAUAGAGACACGUAUUCCAGCUUAACACUUGCCAAGACACAACCUCGGAGUUGAAGCCGAACCGCAUUCCUCUUUGUCCUCAUUCUGCUCAUUGCCCAAGUUAAGGUCAACGAGCUCUACUUACUGAAAGACACUGAAACAAAGAAACCAAAACAACAUCCUCAAAUAUGGCAGAAGAGAAACUCCAAGUUCCAAGAGUGAAACUGGGUACCCAAGGCCUUGAGGUAAACUGUCCAUUUGUAAUUUUUACCUUUUUUUCAAAAAAAGGUCCUGAAAAUUUGUUUUCUAUAAUUGUGUGUUUUGCAUGCUUUUACAGGUUUCAAAAUUGGGUUUUGGAUGCAUGAACCUGAGCGGAGGUUAUAGCUCUCCAGUCUCAGAAGAGGACGGCAUAACAAUGAUAAAGCAUGCUUUCAGUAAAGGAAUCACUUUCUUUGAUACUGCUGAUGUUUACGGACAAAAUGCUAAUGAAGUUCUUCUUGGAAAGGUCAUGGUCUUCUGUUGCAGUUUUCUAAACAAUAUUUCUGUUUCAUUAAUUUAAUUAUAUACGAUUCACAGAUAGAUCAAGUGGUAACUUAAGGAGUAUGAUAGUUGCAAAGAUUCAAGUAAUUUUUCUUAUAACUUGUUGGUAAUACAAAGAUCAUAAUACUAAUAAUGAAAUAUUUCUGUUUAAGGAAUUGGUGGAUAGCUACUUUUGGGGAUUGUUGUGGAUAUCAUAGGAUGGAAAUCAUUAUCAGAAUAUUGCGAAUUUAUUGGAAAAAAAAAAUUCACUCCUUUUGAUUUCAGGCCUUGAAGCAGUUGCCUAGAGAAAAGAUACUAGUAGCAACGAAGUUUGGGAUUGCAGGAAUAGGAGAUACUGAUAUCAUCGUGAAGGGUUCCCCUGAUUAUGUGCGCUCGUGUUGUGAAGCUAGCUUGAAGCGUCUUGAUGUGGAUUACAUUGAUCUAUAUUAUCAACAUAGAGUGGACAAAUCAGUUGCUAUAGAGGAAACGGUGACUUAUUAUUAUGAUUAUUUUUUUCUCUCCAGGCUAACUAUGUGAAUUGUAAAGAUUUGUCCCAAAUUACAAUAUGAAAGAAUAUGUUAGAAACUAUAUCCCUUGUCAUGUUAUAGAUUGGUGAAAUGAAGAAGCUAGUGGAAGAGGGUAAAAUCAAGUACAUUGGAUUAUCUGAGGCUAGUCCAGACACAAUUAGGAGAGCACAUGCUGUUCAUCCCAUUGCAGCUGUACAAAUGGAAUGGUCCCUCUGGACUCGUGAUAUUGAGGAAGAGAUAAUACCACUUUGCAGGUCUGAUCUGCUUUCAAUGAAUGCUAUCCCCAUUAUUCUUUUCUUCUAUAGGCCUUUGAAGAGUGUCCAAGGACCUAUUUAUUUGUGCCAAUCUAGUAUUCUGUACCUAAUGUCCAUAGAUACAGAAUUUUGUUUAUUCAUUAAUUGCGUAGAGUAGAUUAGAUUUUCUGUGGAAGUAUAUGCUAAUAUGUACUAGGCUGCCCUUCUGAUACAUUAAAGUGUACAGGGAACUUGGCAUUGGAAUAGUUCCAUUCAGUCCUCUUGGUCGUGGAUUUUUUGGUGGCAAAGUUGUAGUGGAAAGUGUACCUGCAGAUAGCUUCUUGGUAUGUUUUUCAGCUAUUUUUAUCCACAUCAUUUUGUUUCCUACGUCAGUACUAUAUCAUUGUCUUAAACACUAGUUUUCCAGUUUCAUUUAAUGUUUUAUAUAUCGUAAUACAUAUUAAGACAAUGCAUUCGUUUCUUUUAUAAGCAUCUUUUCCCUCGGCUCAAUGGAGAGAACCUGGACAGAAACAGGAGUAUUUAUGUUCGCAUAGAGAACCUUGCCAAAAAGAACAAAUGCAGUUCUGCUCAACUAGCACUGGCAUGGGUUCUUGGACAGGGGGAUGAUGUUGUACCAAUUCCUGGUAAAUUUCUUUUGUGUUUGUGAUUCAUGUAGUGCCUUGAAGAAGUGUAUAGAGUUUAGAAAAACCCAGCCUAUCAAGAUAAGAUUACCUGCAUUAAUGGAUACUGUUAUUUUGCUUCGAGUUUCAGGGACAACUAAGAUUAAGAACCUGGAUGAAAAUAUUGGCUCCUUGAUGGUAAAACUUUCAAAAGAGGAUCUGAAAGAAAUUUCUGAUGCUGUACCGAUAGAAGAGGUAGCUGGAGGCAGAUUCCCAGAUAUCUUUGACAAAUCAUCGUGGAGGUUUGCAAACACCCCUCCAAAAAGGCAAUGAGGUUUGAAAUAUUCUGGACGCUGGAAUGCUGCCUAUCUCACUCUUGGGGUUGGGAUGCAGUACUUUAUUCAAAUAAAUACCUAAUUAGCUAUAAACUUCGGAUGAUCACUAUGAUCUACUAUAUGUUUGUUAAUUUAGUGUGGCCAUUUGUGAACUGAGAAUAUCUUUUAUUGUAAACCUGAAGUCACAUCCUGAAUUCAAGUUGCUGUAAAAGCUUGCCAACUCUUUUUUUGAAAACAAGGUUGCAAAUUCCAAUAGCUAAAUUUGAGUUCUACCUUGCGGGCUUAACAACAUUUCAAAUUGUAAAUGGUACUUAAGCUUUCUUUUUCAUUUUUUUUUUCUUUCCCUUGUGUGUUUCUUAGGAUUAUGUUCCUGAUUUUGUUGCAUUUACAGAACUGAAUCACUAAUAUAAGCAAAAGCCAAAAUAUUUUCUUGCAACAAAAGCAAAAGAAAGGAUACAAAUUUCUAUCACGAUGGAGAGAAUUCGUUCUCCUUGUUUCAGUAAAUGAUAAGGAAAAUGCAAGGUUGCUUUUAUGUAUUUGAUUAUAGCCUGCUAUGUUGUUGCUACAUGAAUAUUAUGUACUGAAAGAUUUGUACACUCUCUAUGACUCAAGGCUGUUUCCAGCAGGCAAUCACCCAAAUUAAAAGAUGAACUUGUUCCUAUUUUCCUCCUUGUGCGUACUAAUGCAAAAGCUAUUCAAGUAUUGCUCUGAAAAUUUAAAAUCCUUGAUGUUCAAAACUCAAGCUAUUAUAAAUAGUUUAUGGUCGUUGCAUUGCUUGUAUUAUGAGUGUGGCAUUAGCCUUCAAUCAAAGAAAAUACAAAGCCAUGGCAUAUUCAAUUAUUCAUUCAAGGCUAACAUCAGGAGGAUAAAUUCAGCCACAGGAGCCAAAAGAAACGACAGGAUGCACAAUAUUGCAUUCAAAUUGGAUUGCACUCAAAACAUAUUCAAUUGAAACAACACAAUAAUGCGGCACAUAUGUAAUCUUGAUGUUAGAAAAAAUUUCAAGUAUACUGACAUCCACGUCAUCACACGCCUAUCUAAUAAAAUUUUAGUAUAUAUAUCCAUUUUAAAGUUGGUCAAAAUUAGAUCGUUUAAUAUAAUUUUAUUAGAGGGUCUCGUUAUUUGACAGUCACACCGAGAACAUAAAUAUCUCUCCUACCAGAAAUUUUGCAAAGUCUAGGCUUAUUUGUCAACUUUUAAACUUUUUUGAACUUGCUUCCAAUUACACUGAACUUCAGGAUUUUGUCCAAACUAUAUAAUUGUAAUAUUACAUUAUUCGCCAUGAUAAAGAUACAGAGAACAUAUUCCAGCUUAGCCCUUGUCAAGACACAACCUUGUAGUUGGAGCCGAGCCACAAUCCUCUUUGUCUCAUUCUGCUCAUUGCUCAAGUUAAAGUCAACCAUCUCUCCUCAUUGAAAGACAUUGAAACAAAGAAGCCAAACUACAGCCUCAAAAAUGGCAGAAGAGAAACACCAAGUUCCAAGAGUGAAAUUGGGUACCCAAGGCCUUGAGGUAAACAACCCAUUUGUAAUUUUCAUUUUUUCAAAAAAGGUCCUGAAAAUUUGUUUUCUAUGAUUGUGUGUUUUGCAUGCUUUUACAGGUUUCAAAAUUGGGUUAUGGAUGCAUGAACCUGAGUGGAGGUUAUAGCUCUCCAGUCUCAGAAGAGGAUGGCAUAUCAAUGAUAAAGCAUGCUUUCAGUAAAGGAAUCACUUUCUUUGAUACUGCUGAUGUGUACGGACAAAAUGCUAAUGAAGUUCUUCUUGGAAAGGUUAUGGUUUUCUGUUGCAAUUUUCUUAACAACGUUUCUGUAUGAUAAAUUUAAUUAUAUACAAUUCACACAUAGAUCAAGUGGUAACUUAAGGAGUAUGAUGGUUAUUAAGAUUCGAGAAAUUUUUCUUAUAACUCGUUGACAAUACAAGGAUCACAAUACUAAUAAUGAAAUAUUUUAUGCUAAUAAUGAAAUAUUUUUGUUAAGGGAAUUGGUAAAUAGCUACUUUUGGGUACUAUUGUGGAUAUCAUAGGAUGGAAAUCAUUAUCAGAAUAUUGUGAAUUUAUUGGAAAAAUAAUUCACUCCUUUUCAUUUCAGGCCUUGAAGCAGUUGCCUAGAGAAAAGAUGCAAGUAGCAACAAAGUUUGGGAUUGCAGGAAUAGGAGUUGCUGGUGUGAUCGUGAAGGGUGCCCCUGAUUAUGUGCGCUCGUGUUGUGAAGCUAGCUUGAAGCGCCUUGAUGUGGAUUACAUUGAUCUAUAUUAUCAACAUAGAGUGGACACAUCAGUCCCCAUAGAGGAAACCGUGAGCGAAUUUUUUUUUUUUGGGGGAUAUCUGAAUUGUAAAGUUCUGUCCCAAAUUGCAAAAUUUGAAGAUUUAUUUUAGAAACUCUAUUACUUGUCAUGUUAUAGAUUGGCGAAAUGAAGAAGCUGGUGGAAGAGGGUAAAAUCAAGUACAUUGGAUUAUCUGAGGCCAGCCCAGGCACAAUUAGGAGAGCACAUGCUGUUCAUCCCAUCACAGCUGUACAAAUGGAAUGGUCCCUCUGGACUCGUGAUAUUGAGGAAGAGAUAAUACCCCUCUGCAGGUUUGUUCUUCUUUCAGUGAACACUAUCCGCAUUAGUCUUUUCUUCUACAGGCCUUUGAAGAGUGUCUAAGGGCCUAUUUAUUUGUUCCAAUCUAGUAUUUCGUACCUAAUGUUUGUAUAAUUUUUUAAAUUUAGUUGCGUGCAUAGAAUAGAUUAGAUUUUAUGUGCAAGUGUAUGCUAAUAAAUACAAGGCUGUCCUUCUGAUACAUUGAGGUGGGCAGGGAACUCGGCAUUGGAAUAGUUCCAUACAGUCCUCUUGGUCGUGGAUUUUUCGGUGGCAAAGCUGUUGUGGAGAAUGUACCUGCAGAUAGCUUUUUGGUACUUUUUUCGGUCAAUGUUUAUCCGCAUCAUUUUGUUUCCUCAGUCAGUACUAUAUAAAUGUUUUAAACUAACAAAAGUAGUUUUACAGUUUCUUUUAAUGCUACUGUUUUAUAUAUCGUAGUAUAUAUGAAAAUGAUACGUGUGUUUGUUUUAUAAGCAUUUUCUUCCUAGGUUCAAAGGAGAGAACCUGGACAGGAACAAGAGUAUUUAUUUUCGCAUAGAGAACCUUGCCAACAAGUACAAUUGCACUUCUGCUCAACUAGCCCUAGCAUGGGUUCUCGGACAGGGGGAUGAUGUCGUACCUAUUCCCGGUAACUUCUUUCUUUCGAGUUUGUGAUUCAUGUAGUGCCUUGAAGAAGUAUAUAGAGUUUAAAAAACCCAGUGGAUAAAAUGAUAUUACCAGCGAUAUUACUUACUGUUAAGUUGCUUCAAUUUUCAGGGACAACUAAGAUGAAAAACCUUGAUGACAAUAUUGACUCCUUGAGGAUUAAACUUACAAAAGAGGAUCUGAAAGAAAUUUCUGACGCUGUGCCCAUAGAAGAGGUAGCAGGAAACAGAGACCCGGAAGGCUUUGAUAAAGCAUCGUGGAAGUUUGCAAACACACCUCCAAAAGACUGCAAGGUUUGAACUUAAAAUAGUUCUUGAUGCUGCCUAUCUUACUUGGGGCUGGGAUGCAAUACUUUAUUCAAAUAAUGGCAGAUAAAUGCCAAAUUAUCUGUACAAUCUACUACUUGGCUAUCUGCCUAUUUGAUGUUAAACUUUGAUUAUUAUGAUCUACUAUAUGUUUGGAAAUUUAGCAUGGCCAAUUUGUGAAAGGAAAAUACGCAUGUUUGAACUUUUCUAAGUUAAAGCUGAAUUCCAAGUUACUGUAAAAUCUUGCCAACUUGCUUUCCUUGAAAAUAAAGAUUAGAAAUAUCCAAAUUUUGGAUUGUAAUGAUUUUCCUGGAUUUUACUUCAUCAUAGUGUAGAUAUAUGUUGAAAUAUUUUCAGCCUUUUUGAGUUCCACGAAUGUGACAUGAAUGAAAUCUGUGAACCAUAUUUUAGCUCAAGCUGUUUCUCAACAAGACCUGGAGGACACUGGAUUGAAAAUAUAGUUUCUCAACAUACUACAUUGUCACUGCAACUUGAGUGGUUAAAUGAUAAAAGGUGAGUAUGUGUUGUUCAGAAAUAAGAAUAAUUGCAUAAAUUGUGAAGUUCACAAUACCAUUCAGGAGGCUAAAUUGACACAUUAAAAAACUUUCAAAUUCCUUCACCAACAAGGCACCAGUGGUCUUGUGGUAGAAUAAUACCCUGCCACGUAACAGACCCAGGUAUAGUAAUUAGCCCCACCUUCGAACACUUUUUAUUGUUGCCUUCUUUUGAUUAGUUCCAAAUCCUGCUUUAUUUUGUUAGUCCAUGGUACAAAGUACAAAACAGCAACACCAUUAACUCUCUUACGCCCUCCUUUAAUAAGAGUUAAGCUAAGCUACAAAGAGAGGAAAAGCUAACAGCUUUUCCAAAGAUGGCAGAAAAGAACAGAAUCCAAGUUCCAAGAGUGAAAUUUGGAUUUCCGAUUUGUAGUUUUCAUUUUUCUUUUUGUAUUUUUUUUCCUUCAAUGCUGAUAAUUUGUUUUCUCUGACUGUGUUUUUGUGCUUUCACAGGUUUCAAAGCUGGGCUUUGGAUGCAUGAGCCUGAGCGGAGGUUACAAUUCUCGGGUCUCUGAAGAGGAUGGCAUCUCAAUAAUGAAGCAUGCUUUCAACGAAGGAAUCACUUUCUUUGAUACUGCUGAUAGAUAUGGACCAUAUAUACUAAUGAAAUUCUUCUUAGAAAGGUAAUGAUUAUGAAAAUGGAAUAAAAUGAAGUUAUCUUAUCAUGGAAUAACAUUUUAAAAGAAAAUCCAAAAUAAAAAUAGGUUAUGUUUAUGCCAAAAUUUUAAAUAAAAAAAUAUAAAUUAGUAAUUAAAUUAACUUAACAAGGAUAAUGUUGCCGUAUUACACACAAAAAUAUAUUUUAUUUUGAUGAAUAUUUAACGUUUGUAAAAUAAAUUAAAUUAAUUAGGAGUAAUAUGGACUUCUUAUUAUAAAAUAACUUAAAUUGUUAGGGUAAGAGUUGAUUGUAGCAUUAUUAAAUUUAAAGGCGUAACUAGUAUUUCUAACUUAUGCUUGAGGAUGGAAUCUGUAAUUUUUCCAUGCAAAUAAGAAAUGUGUUUGUUUAAGGUAUUGGUAAAUAGCUACUCUUAGACAUUACUAAGAAAAUCAUAAGGUGGAAAUCAAAUCAUUGUUAAAAUUAUGUCAAUUUAUUUGGGGGGGAAAAAGUUCACUCCUUUCUAGUUUCUAGCCUUGAAGCAGUUGCCUAGGUUACAAGAUCAGCCACAAAGUUUGGGAUUACAGAAAUAGAUACCCCUGAGUAUGUACUCUGUUUUGUCGUGAAGCAAGCUUGAAGCACCUUGAUUUGAUUAUUAAUUGGUUUGACUUUCCUCUAAUCUUUUGGGUAAUUUCUAUAUAUGCUUUCACUAAAAACAAAUAAAUUUGCAAAGAAUACAUACAUAGAUAACUUUCUUUCAAAAUAAAAAUGAAAAAAAAAUGACGAAGAGAAAUUAUGAAUAUGAUGAUUCUUUUAAAAAAAAACUAUUAAUUGGUUUGACUUUCCUCUAAUAUUUUGGGUAAUUUCUAUAUAAGCUUUCACUAAAAACAAAUAAAUUUGCAAAGAAUACAUACAUAGAUAACUUUCUUUCAAAAUUUAAAAUAAAUAAAAAAUGACAAGGAGAAAUUAUGAAUAUGAUGAUUCUUUAAAUAAAAAAUUUUACUGAUUUUCUAACAGCACAAAAUGCUUGAGAGGAAGAGAUUCUCAUAAAUCAAAUGUGAAAGGAUUAUGUUACCAUAAUAUAAAUAUGAAAAUGAAUUUUUCAUUUCUACUUAGAGCCUUGGGCCCAAACAAUUUUUUUUUUCAAGUAUAAUACUUGAAUAGUUCCAACAAAUGAUCGGACUAAUGACAUACACAAUACUUGAAUUUUCAGUAUAGAUUUAUAUUGAUGCAACAAAAUUGAUUCUCAUCUUCAUAGGCUAAGAAAUACAAAUCCAUUACUCAACUAAAAUUAUGGCGCAGAAGUUUUUGUUUUUGUUAAGGUUAAAAAAUGAGCAUAAAAGUAUACAUUUAACUAAUAAAUAAUUAGAAAAUUGAUAAAAUUAUUAAUUUUUUUUAGAAAAUUGAUUGAACUAGUCUGCAACAUUAAGUUUCAACAUAUCGUCCAAGGAUAGCCUAGCCAAGUUGGUAGCAAGAGAUUAAAUGUUCCAAUUUAAGGGGAUAUUCAUAGAUGUAAUCUGAAACAAAAAUGAAAUAAAAGUAAAAAUAAGCAAAUAAUAAAGUAAAAUCAGAAUCGAAUAAGAAUGCUAAGUUUUUAAAGAGGAGAGAAAUUACAAGUUAAGACAAGUUCUUCUUUCUUUGCAAACACACCCCUAAAAGAUUGCUAGGUUUGAACUCAAAAUAUUUCUUGAUGCUGCCUUAGUAGCUAUCUAACGCUUGGGGUCGGGAUCAAUACUUUAUUCAAAUAAAUGCUAAAUUAUCAAUAAAUUCUACUACAUGACUCUCUGCCUAUUGGAUGGUAAUUUGUAAAUUUAAUUCUGCCGAUUUUGUGAACUGAAAUUAUCUUUCGUUGUUAACUAGAAGUUAUAGCCUCAAGUUGCAAUAAAAUUUUGGCAAAUAGAGAUUGCAAAAUCCACCAGGAAAAUGCAGGGUGGCUUUUAUGUAUUUUAAUUCAGAUUGCUAUGUUGUUGCUACAUAACUACCAUGUACCGAAUCAAAUGUAAACGCUUAAGGCUAUUUCUAGUAAAUAAUCUCCUAAAUUAAAAGAUGAAUUUGUUCCUACCUCCUUUUGGAGUUUUGGGUUCUGAUGCAGUGACUAUUCAAAUAUUGUUCUAAAAAAUUUAGAUACUUGACAUUCAAACUAUUAUGAAUAGUUAAUGGUCUUUACAUUGCUUGUAUUAUGAGGUCGGCAUGAGCCCUCAAUCAAAGAAGACACAAAGCCAUUGCAUUUGCAUUCAAGGGUAACAUAGGAGCCUAAAAUUUGCCACAAGAACAAAUAGAAACUACGGAAUAUACACUAUUGUGUUCAAAAUUCGUUCAAUUAAAAUAACGUUGUGGCACGUAUAUAAUUUAUGUUAUUAGAGAAAGUUUUUGAUGAGACUAACAUACCAUGUUAUCAUACGUUUAUCCAAUAGAAUUGUAACAUAUAUCCAUUUUGAAGUUGACCAACCAUGAAAGUGAGAGGAAACAAAAUUAAAACUUGGUGACACAAAAUAUAUUAUAUGGUCAAAUCGAGACUGUAAAUUUCUCUCCUAAGUUCUACCUGACAUUUUGCAAAGUCUAGGGGAUGUUUCUUAACUUUUAAAAUAUUUUGAACUUGUUUCCAAUUACACUGAACUUUGGGACACUUGUCAAAACGUUAUAAGUUCCUGAUUAAUCAUUGAUAACGAUAAAGAGCACGUGUCCCAGCUUAACACUUUUAGUCAUACGGAGCCGUCGAGUUGGAUAAGCCAAACCAGAAUCCUGUGUCUCAUUCUCCUCAUUGUUGACGUUAGAGUCAGCUGUCUCUCUACUUAUUGAAACUUGAAAGACACCCAAAACAAAGAAACCAAAACUACAGCUUCAAAAAUGGCAGAAGAGAAACUCCAAGUUCCAAGGGUGAAACUUGGUACCCAAGGCCUCGAGGUAAACUACCCAUAUGUAAUUUUUUUUUUAAAUCAAAUCCUGGAAAUUUGUUUUCUACAAUUGUGUGUUUUUCACGCUCUUACAGGUUUCAAAGUUGGGGCUUGGAUGCAUGAACCUGAGUGGAGGUUAUAGCUCUCCAGUCUCAGAAGAUGAUGGCAUCUCAAUGAUAAAACAUGCUUUCAGUAGAGGAAUCACUUUCUUUGAUACUGCUGAUAUGUACGGACAAAAUGCUAAUGAAAUUCUUCUGGGAAAGGUUAUGGUCAUUUCUUUGAAUUCUCUUACCUCUUAUAUAAUUCAGACAUAGGUCAAGUGGUAACUUAAGAAUCACAGUCCUGAUGAAAUAUGUUUGUUUAAGAAUUGGUGAAUAAUUACUUUUGUAUCAUAGAAGGAAAGCCUGGUCAGAUUUUUUUGAAUCUUAUUCCUUCGAUUUCAGGCCUUCAAGAUGUUGCCCAGAGAAAAGGUACAAAUAGCCACAAAGUUUGGGGUUGUAGGACUAAGAGAUAAUGGCGUGAUCGUGAAGGGCACCCCUGAUUACGUGCGCUCGUGUUGUGAAGCUAGCUUGAAGCGACUUGAUGUGGAUUACAUUGAUCUAUAUUAUCAACAUAGAGUGGACACAUCAGUCCCCAUAGAGGAAACCGUGAGCGAUUUGUUUUUUUUUUUUAUUUUUUUUUUUGGGCUAUCUGAAUUGUAGAGUUCUGUCCCAAAUUUCAAAAUUUAAAGAAUUAUUUUAGAAACUCUAUUACUUGUCAUGCUAUAGGUUGGCGAAAUGAAGAAGCUGGUGGAAGAGGGUAAAAUCAAGUACAUUGGAUUAUCUGAGGCCAGCCCAGACACAAUUAGGAGGGCACAUGCUGUUCAUCCCAUCACAGCUGUACAAAUGGAAUGGUCCCUCUGGACUCGUGAUAUUGAGGAAGAGAUAAUACCCCUCUGCAGGUUUGUUCUUCUUUUAGUGAACACUAUCCGCAUUAGUCUUUUCUUCUACAGGCCUUUGAAGGGUGUCUAAGGACCUAUUUAUUUGUUCCAAUCUAGUAUUUUGUACCUAAUGUUUGUAGAAUUUUUUAAAUUUAAUUGCAUGCAUAGAGUAGAUUAGAUUUUCUGUGCAAGUGUAUGCUAAUAAAUACAAGGCUGCCCUUCUGAUACAUUGAGGUGGGCAGGGAACUCGGCAUUGGAAUAGUUCCAUACAGUCCUCUUGGUCAUGGAUUUUUUGGUGGCAAAGCUGUUGUGGAGAGUGUACCUGCAGAUAGCUUUUUGGUACUUUUUCCAAUCAAUGUUUAUCCGCAUCAUUUUGUUUCGUAAGUCAGUACUAUAUAAAAUGUUUUAAACUAGCAAAAGUAGUUUUACAGUUUCUUUAACUGUUUUAUAUAUCGUCGUACAUAUGAAAAUGAUAUGUGUGUUUGUUUUAUAAGCAUUUUCUUCCUAGGUUCAAAGGAGAGAACCUGGACAGGAACAAGAGUAUUUAUUUUCGCAUAGAGAACCUUGCCAAAAAGUACAAUUGCACUUCUGCUCAACUAGCCCUAGCAUGGGUUCUUGGACAGGGGGAUGAUGUCGUACCUAUUCCCGGUAACUUCUUUCUUUCGAGUUUUUGAUUCAUGUAUUGCCUUGAAGAAGUAUAUAGAGUUUAAAAAACCCAGCGGAUAAAAUGAUAUUACCAGCAAUAUUACUUACUGUUAAGUUGCUUCAAUUUUCAGGGACAACUAAGAUUAAAAACCUUGAUGACAAUAUUGACUCCUUGAGGAUUAAACUUACAAAAGAGGAUCUGAAAGAAAUUUCUGACGCUGUGCCCGUAGAAGAGGUAGCAGGAGACAGAGACCCGGAAGGCUUUGAUAAAGCAUCGUGGAAGUUUGCAAACACACCUCCAAAAGACUGCAAGGUUUGAACUUAAAAUAGUUCUUGAUGCUGCCUAUCUUACUUGGAGCUGGGAUGCAAUAGUUUAUUCAAAUAAUGGCAGAUAAAUGCCAAAUUAUCUGUACAAUCUACGACUUGGCUAUCUGCCUAUUUGAUGUUAAACUUUGAUUAUUACGAUCUACUAUAUGUUUGGAAAUUUAGCAUGGCCAAUUUGUGAAAUGAAAAUAUGCAUGUUUGAACUUUUCUAAGUUAAAGCUGAAUUCCAAGUUACUAUAAAAGCUUGCCAACUCUCUUUCCUUGAAAAUAAAGAUUGGAAAUAUCCAAAUUUUGGAUUGUAACAAUUUGCUUGGAUUUUACUUCAUCAUUGUAUGGAUAUAUGUUGAAAAAUUUUCAGCGUUUUUGAGUUCCAUGAAUGGGACAUGAAUGAAAUCUAUGAACCAUAUCUUAGCUAGCAGUUUCUCAACAAGACCUGGAGGAUACUUUAUUGAAAAUAUAGUUUCUCAACAUAAUACAUUGUCACUGCAACUUGAGUGGUUAAAUGAUAAAAGGUGAAUAUGUGUUGUUCAGAAAUAAGAAUAAUUGCAUAAAUUGUGAAGUUAACAAUUGCUAUUUAGGAGGCUCAAUUGACACAUUGAUAAACUUUCUAAUUCCUUUAGCAACAAGGCACCAGUGGUCCAGCGGUAGAAACAACCCCCCACCCCCCGGCGGGCGGGUAUAGUAAUCAGCCCCAACGUCGAACAAUUUUUAUUGCUGCCUUCUUUUGAUUAGUUCCAAAUCCUGCUUUAUUUUGUUAGUCCAUGGUACAAAGUACAAAACAGCAACGGGUAAUUUUUAGGGAUCUCCCUUGAGGUUUAGCGUAUUAACACAUAGAGCGAAUAUAUCCACUUAAUUACAAGCACCUCCCCUUCCGUUAGUAUUUAAAUACGUAUGGUAUCAGUAUAUAAGGGUAAAUAUGUAAAAAUAUAUUUAAAAUUCAAAAAAAUUCAAAAGUGCAGCUUUAUGUUUCUUGAUGUUCUGAGAUAAUCUGAAAAAAUUGUAAGGGUUUAGAACGGUGGAGUAAUCGUCGUUUAAAUGAAUGAUAUGUCAUCUAUGCGUUGUAUGAGGUUAUAGCAACUAUCUAUCUGGUCACCGUUUUCAAGUCUCAAUUGGUAGUCCAAAGAAAAGAAUGAUUCUACAGUAGCAUUAAGUGUUAAUUGGACACAAAAAGAAGUGUUUUAACCACUUUAAGGAAAAUAAAUGUAAUUUUCUGUCCUAAAGAAAAGGUAAAUGUAUGCACUGUCAAUUAAUCUUUGGUCGACCAACAACAUCAUAAUUUCGCCUGGAUUGGUGGCGCACAAAGAAAGCCCUGAACUGGGGUCCUGACGACGGCCUAGAUCUCAUCGUCGACGAUGAUGGUGACGCCACAUUGUUGAUCCAUGAGGGAGUCAAAGCCGCUGUUGUUUGCGGUUAUGGUGAUGUUGGCAAGGGUUAUGCUGCUACUUUGAAGCAAGCCGGUGCUCGUGUAAUUGUUACCGAGAUUGAUAUGUACUACGAUGAUCUGUACGAGGAUGUUAGGUUUAAAUUUCGUAGGAGUGUGUGUUUGGGUGGUGGGAAAGUUGGGAGGAAAGAAACGGAUUGGUUUCAGUUGAUUGAAGACCAUUUGAGAUUUGAAUAAUGUUUUGGAUGGGGCUGUGUGAAUUAUUUUGUAUUUGAUGCAGUUUUAAAGUUUUGAUUGCUUUGCUGCAUCUUGUUAUCCUAUUGUUUACUGAUGAAUGAUUAAAAAAAAAAAGAAUUUUUAUUCCAGUUUCAUAUCUACAUAAAAAAUCAUUAUGAAAAAUUAAGGCCAAUUCGAUCAUUUAUAAUCAUUUUACAAUAUAAGGCUCAAAGCUCUCUGCUUGUGAUAUUUUAAGAUCAUUUUACCAUUGCAAUUGACAGUCUAAUCUUUUUUCUUAAAGUCCUGUUUUAUAAUUUAUUAUUAUGAUAUAAAGGAUACUUUUGUAAUUUCAAUAGUCUGUUAGUAGUCAAAUUAACUGAAUACUAACGACAAACGACUAGGGAGGUACUUGUAAUUACUUGGAUACAUUCUCUCUAUGUGUUAAUACGCUAAAUCUCAAAAGAGGUUCGUAAAAAUUACCCAAACAGCAACACCAGUAACUCUCUUACGCUCUCCUUUAAUAAGGGUUAAGCUAAGCUAACAGCUUUUCCAAAGAUGGCAGAAAAGAACAAAAUCCAAAUUCCAACAGUGAUAUUUGGAUUUCCGAUUUGCAGUUUCAAUUUUUUUUUUCUGUUUUUUUUUUCCUUUAAUGCUGAUAAUUCGUUUUCUCUAAUGAUGGCCAGUGGGCCGUGCCGGCACCAAACGUCGGCCCACACAGGCUCGUUGGCUGGCACCGCACGCCCCACUAAUUUGGUGGGCCGUGCCCACUUUUUUUAUAAGAGCCCGGCACAGCCCACCAACCUCUUUUUUUUUUUUUUUUGUCCACAUGUCCAACAUACUUAAAAAAACUUACGUGUCUGGCGUAUUUUAUUCAAGAGCACGUGUCCGGCAUACUUUUUUAAGUCCACCAGCCUAAUAAUAAUAAUAAUAAUAAUAAUUUCAUAAAUCAUAAUAAUAAUUAAUUAAAAAUAAAAUUACAAUUUUAGAAUAACAAUUACAUCUAAUUUUAUUUGAACUACUAAUAUUAUAAUUGCACAUAAACUCCAUUGAAUGAAAAUGUAAUUUUUAAUUUAUCAUAAAAAUAUUUUGUUCAUAAUUUUAUUUUUUUGUGUAUAAAUAUGAAAAAUAUUUCAUUCACAAAUGAAACAUAUCUCCAUUAACUAUUAACUAAGUUAUGAUUUCAUAAAUGAAAUAUUAAUGUCGUAAAAUUUUUUAUUUAUCAUUUAUAAAAUCAUGAUAUUUAUUUAUCCAUUUAAUAAAUUAUAAACAUAAAAAAAAUUAGAAUAUUUAUUUAAACUAGGACUUAAAUUAAUUUUAAAAAGCCUAUGCUAAAAAAAUAUAUUAAAAUUUUAAUUUCAAGAUAUUUAUAAAAUCAUGAUAUUUUAUAUUUAUUUUUCAUUAAAAUUUUUUAUUUUGAUAUAUUUUGACCCACAUGCUAUUGGUGGCCCACGGGCCGCGUGCUUAGCCCACUAAUGAAGCGUGCUUAUUACGUGCCUUUUCGCGUACCGUGCUUUGGCCCAUAUUUAAUCGUGCUGUGCUUUUAAGGCCCGCGUGCCUAAAAUUCUAGGCUCGGCACGGCCCACGUGCGUGUCAUGCCGUGCCUCGUGCCCUACCGAAACGUGCUCGUGUUGUGCCGUGCCUUGUGCCGCCCGGCCCAUUGGUCAUCUCUAAUUUUCUCUGACUGUGUUUUUUUGCUUUCACAGGUUUCAAAGCUGGAGUUUGAAUGCAUGAGCCUAAGUGGAGGUUACAGUUCUCUAGUCUCUGAAGAGGAUGGCAUCUCAAUAAGAAAGCAUGCUUUCAACAAAGGAAUCACUCUUUUUUUUUUUUUUUAACUAAUUAAGCAUCAUGUUACUGUAUUACAUAGACAUUUACAAUUGCUAUGACAGUAGAUCAUUAUACUGAUAUUUACAAUUAAAUAUAUAAUUGGGACUUAUAUUAUUACAUUAUUAAUUUUAUGAAAUACAUGCCAGACAAAUAAUCCUCACGAAAGAAUGAUGUCUUUACUCCACUCGCAUUUCAGAAGGGAGAAAUACUUCACAAAUAAUUUUCACAAAAUUAUGUUUAAUUGAGAGAGGUUGAGUUCAUGGAGACUCGAACCAUUGCCCUCAUAGUCAUGCUUAACUUUAAGGCCAAUGGUUCACCACUAGGCUAAAGCCUAAGUGGCAGGAACCACUUUCUUUGAUACUGCUUAGUGCUGAUAGAUAUGGACCUUACACUAACGAAAUUCUUCUUAGAAAGUUAAUAAUUAUGAAAAUGGCAUAAAAUGAAAUUAUCUUAUCAUGGAAUAACAUUUUAAAAGAAAAUCCAAAAUCCAAAUAGGUUAUAUUUAUGUUAAAAUUCUAAAUAAAAAAAAUCAUAAAUUAGUAACUAAAUUAACUUAAUAAGAAUAACAUUGUCGUAUUACACAAAAAAAAAAAUCAUUUUGAUGAAUAUUUAAUGUUUGUAAAAUAAAUUAAAUUGAUUAGGGUAAUAUGGACUUUUUAUUAUAAAAUAACCUAAAUUGUUAGGGAAAUAAUUAACUGUAGCAUUGUUAAAUUUAAAGGGGAAAGUAGUAUUUCUAACUUAUUGAGUUAUUUCCAUAAUAAUAACCUAAAUAUGUUUGUUUAAGGUUUUGGCAAAUAGCUACUCUUAGACAUUACUAAGAAUAUCUGAAGAUGAAAAUCAAAUCACUGUUAAAAUUACCCCUGAGAAGCCACGAAGUUUGGGACUACAGAAAUAGAUACCCCUGAGUAUGUGCUCUGCCUUGUUGUGAAGCAAGCUUGAAGCACCUUGAUUUGAUUAUUAAUUGGCUUGACUUCCCUCUAAUUUUGGAUAAUUUCCUUAUAUGCUUUUCACUAAAAACAAAUAAAUUUACAAAGAAUACAUGCAUAGAUAACUUUCUUUCAAAUUUAAAAUGAAAAAUAAAUUGCGAAAAGAAAUUGUGAAUCUGAUGAUUCUUUUAAUAAAAAAAUUUACUGAUUAUAUGGUCAAAUCGAGACUGUAAAUUUCUCUCCUAAGUUCUACCUGACAUUUUGCAAAGUCUAGGGGAUAUUUCUUAACUUUUAAAAUAUUUUGAACUUGUUUCCAAUUACACUGAACUUUGGGACACUUGUCAAAACUUUAUAAGUUCAUGAUUAAUCAUGAUAAAGAUAAAGAGCACGUGUCCCAGCUUAACACUUUUAGUCAUACGGAGCCUUCGACUUGGAGCCAAACCAGAAUCCUCUGUCUCAUUCUGCUCAUUGUUGACGUUAGAGUCAACUGUCUCUCUACUUAUUGAAACUUGAAAGACACCCAAAACAAAGAAACCAAAACUACAGCUUCAAAAAUGGCAGAAGAGAAACUCCAAGUUCCAAGAGUGAAACUUGGUACCCAAGGCCUCGAGGUAAACUACCCAUAUGUAAUUUUUUUUUUAAAAUCAAAUCCUGGAAAUUUGUUUUUCAUGGUCUUACAGGUUUCAAAGUUGGGGCUUGGAUGCAUGAACCUGAGUUCUGGUUAUAGCUCUCCAGUCUCAGAAGAGGAUGGCAUCUCCAUGAUAAAACAUGCUUUCAGUAAAGGAAUCACUUUCUUUGAUACUGCUGAUGUGUACGGACAAAAUGCUAAUGAAACUCUUCUGGGAAAGGUUAUGGUCAUUUCUUUGAAUUCUCUUACUUCUUAUAUAAUUCAGACAUAGGUCAAGUGGUAACUUAGGAACCACAGUCCUGAUGAAAUAUGUUUGUUUAGGAAUUGGUGAAUAAUUACUUUUGUAUCAUAGAAGGGAAACCUUGUCAGAAUUUUUAGAAUUUUAUUGAAUUAAAAAAAAAAAAAAAGAGUACUCCUUCGAUUUCAGGCCUUCAAGAUGUUGCCCAGAGAAAAGGUACAAAUAGCCACAAAGUUUGGGGUUGUAGGACUAAGAGAUAAUGGCGUGAUCGUGAAGGGCACCCCUGAUUACGUGCGCUCGUGUUGUGAAGCUAGCUUGAAGCGACUUGAUGUGGAUUACAUUGAUUUGUAUUAUCAACAUAGAGUGGACAUCGGUCCCUAUCGAGGAAACCAUGAGUGAUAUUUUUUCUCCCGGGCUAACUAUCUGAAUCGUAAAGUUCUGUCUUAAAUUACAAUAUUUAAAGAGUUUUUUAGAAACUAUAUUCCUUGUCAUGUUAUAGAUUGGCGAAAUGAAGAAGCUGGUGGAGGAGGGUAAAAUCAAGUACAUUGGUUUGUCUGAGGCUAGCCCAGACACAAUUAGGAGAGCACAUGGUGUUCAUCCCAUCACAGCUGUACAAAUGGAAUGGUCCCUCUGGACUCGUGAUAUCGAGGAAGAGAUAAUACCCCUCUGCAGGUUUGUUCUUCUUUCAGUGAACACUAUCCACAUUAGUCUUCUCUUUUACAGUCCUUUGAAGAGUGUCUAAGGACCUAUUUACCUUUUCCAAUCUAGUAUUUUGUGUCUAAUGUCUGUAGAAUUUUAAAAAAAAUAAUUGCUUGCUUAGAAUAGAUUAGAUUUUCUGUGCAAGUAUAUGCUAAUAUAUACAAGGCUGCUUUUCUUAUACAUUGAAGUGGGCAGGGAACUUGGCAUUGGAAUUGUUCCAUACAGCCCUCUUGGUCGUGGGUUUUUCGGUGGCAAAGCUGUUGUGGAAAGUGUACCCGCAGAUAGCGUUUUGGUACUUUUUUCAUAAAUGUUUAUCCACAUCAAUUUGUUUCCUAUGUAGUGUAUAAAUGUUUUAAAAUAGCAACAGUAGUUUCCAGUUUCCUUUAAUGCUAAUGUUUUAUAUAUCAUAAUACAUAUUAAAAUGAUGCAUAUGUUUGUUUUAUAAGCAUUUUUUUCCUCGGUACAAAGGAGAGAACCUGGACAGGAACAAGAAUAUUUAUUUUCGCAUAGAGAAUCUUGCCAAAAAGUACAAAUGCACUUCUGCUCAACUAGCCCUAGCAUGGGUUCUUGGACAGGGGGAUGAUGUCGUACCUAUUCCUGGUAACUUACUUUCUUUUGAGUUUGUGAUUCAUGUAGUGCCUUGAAGAAGUAUAUAGAGUUUAAAAAACCCAGCUGAUAAAAAUGAUAUUACCAGCAAUGUUACUUACUGUUAAUUUGCUUCAAUUUUCAGGGACAACUAAGAUUAAAAACCUUGAUGACAAUAUUGACUCCUUGAGGAUUAAACUUACAAAAGAGGAUGUGAAAGAAAUUUCUGACGCUGUGCCCAUAGAAGAGGUAGCAGGAGACAGAGACCCGGAAGGCUUUGAUAAAGCAUCGUGGAAGUUUGCAAGCACACCUCCAAAAGACUGCAAGGUUUGAACUUGAAAUAGUUCUGGAUGCUGCCUAUCUUACUUGGGGCUGGGAUGCAAUACUUUAUUCAAACAAUGGCAGAUAAAUGCCAAAUUAUCUGUACAAUCUACUACAUGGCUUUCUGCGUAUUUGAUGUUAAACUUUAGUCAUUAUGAUAUACCGUAUGUUUGGAAAUUUAGCAUGGCCAAUUUGUGAAAUGAGAAUUUCAAGUUUCAAUUUUGUUAAGUUACGACCUGAAUUCAAAGUUGCUAUAAAAUUUUCCCAACUCUGUUUCUUGGAAGAUAAAGAUUGUAAGUAUCAAAAUUUGGAUUUGAUAGACAAUUUGCUUUGAUUUUUCUUGUUGAAAUUUUUCAGCCUUCUUGAGUUCCACGAAUGCGACAUUAAUGAAAUCUUUGAACCAAGUUUUACCUCAAGUAGUUUCUCACCUAGUGGAGAACUGUAUUGCAAAAUAAGGGCAAUGUGAAAGAAUAAUACAAGCUACAUUGUCACUACAACUUGCAACUUGAGUUGAACAAAGAUCAAAUAAUUUACCAAGAACAGUUGGUUAAAUGAUGAAGCUUGUUGUUCAGAAAUCAGAGAUACUGUUUGUUGUAUGAUGUGAAAAUAUCAUUACGAGAAUAAGGAUAUAAUUAUAAACUUUCUAAUUCCUUCACCAACAAGGCACCAGUGGUCUAGUGGUAGAAUAGUACCCUGCCACGGUACAGACCCGGGUUCGAUUCCCGGCUGGUGCAGGUAUUAAUUUUUUUCAGUAGUAACUGGCCCCACUGCAAACAAUUUUUAUUGUUGCCUUCUUUUGAUUAGUUCUAAAUCCUCCUUUACUAUAUUAGUGCAUGAUACACAGUAUAAAACAGCAACACCAUUAACUUUCCCAGACCCUCCUUUAAUAAGAGAUUAAGUUGAGAAGAAAAGCCAACACUUCUUCUAAGAUGGCAGAAGAGAAACAAAUCCAAAUUCCAAGAGUGAAACUUGGCUCUCAAGGGCUUGAGGUAAACAAACUAAAAUACCCUUUCAACAAUUAUCUCUUUUUUUGGGGAAAUAUUUUGAUUCCUUGUUGAGAAUUCUCGAACUGAUCGUUGAUGAUGCCACUGCAACUAGAAAAUUCUCAAGUUCAUGUGUCACUUGUUAAUAUUAAUUUAUUAUUAUUUUUGUAACAGUUGAACCCGUUUGCACUUUCUAUUCAUUGAUACUUGUAAAGGUGAUAAAAACUUUAUAGCUGAAAUGGGAUCAUCAUUAUGUGAUAGAAUUUAAGGUGCUAUAUAUGUCAGAGUUGCAAAAUGGUAAUUGAAGGGUUUUCAAAUUUCCUGAUGGUGAAUGUUGUUCCUGAUUUUGUUGCAUUUUUAAAGGUCUCAAAGUUGGGGUUAGGAUGUAUGGGCCUGAAUGGAACUCACAAUUCUCCACUCCCAGAAGAAGAUGGCAUCGCGGUAAUAAAGCAUGCUUUCGAUAAAGGAGUCACUUUCUUUGAUACCGCUGAUGUGUAUGGUGGACCGCAUACUAAUGAAAUCUUGGUCGGAAAGGUACAUAUUUUCUCUCUUUUGCUCCUCACUGAGGAUGCCAUAGGAUAGGACCUCAUUGUUAGAAUUGUUUUUUUUGGAAGUUAACUGGGAAAAAGUUGAAACCUUUCAGGCCUUAAAGCAGUUGCCGAGAGAAAAAAUACAACUGGCUACAAAGUUUGGCAUUGCUGGAUUGGGAGAUGAUGGUUGUAUGCUCGUGAAGGGUACCCCUGAUUAUGUGCGAUCAUGUUGUGAGGGUGGCUUGAAACGCCUUGAUGUGGACUACAUUGAUCUCUAUUUUCAGCAUAGAGUAGACACAUCUGUUCCCAUAGAAGACACAGUGAGUGAUAUUCUUCCUAUUUCACCAAUUACAAAAUUGAAAUUGUCUGCGAACUUGUUGCCCUAUUUUGAUUAAUAUGUUAGAUACUAAAUUUAUUGUUACUUGAACUUUAGGUUGGUGAACUUAAGAAGCUGGUUGAGGAGGGAAAAAUCAAGUACAUUGGAUUAUCAGAGGCCAGUCCUGACACAAUUAGGAGAGCACAUGCAGUUCAUCCCAUCACAGCUGUACAAAUGGAAUGGUCCCUCUGGACUCGUGACAUUGAGGAAGAGAUAGUGCCGCUCUGCAGGUUUGUUCAAAUCAAAAGUAAAAUAAUUCUUUUUAGUCUCUUCAUCCUUAAACCUCUGAAGAGAGUAGUAUCAAAUAUUUCCAUUUCUGUCUAGAUCCUAAAAUCUUUUAUCAAUAUGUUGUCUAUCAGUGUAGAAACUUGUAAAUUCUUUACUAGAGUAGGUUCUCUGUGUAAGUAUAUAUUAAUUUGCCUUAGAUAAUCAAGUUUGGUGGUUGAUCUGUCCUUACUCUUUUGAGUACUCCUAAAUACUAGAUGUUUGCAAUAUGUUCUUUGGAAAUAUGAGACUGCCAUCUUGAUGCAUUUAAGUAUGCAGGGAGCUUGGCAUUGGAAUUGUUCCUUACAGUCCUAUUGGUCGUGGAUUUUUUGCUGGCAAAGCUGUCGUGGAAAGUUUGCCUGCUGAUAGCUUUGUGGUAUGUUUUUCAUCAACAUUUGUUUCAAUCCUUUGGUUUCAUAACAUAAGUGUGCAUGAAGAUUUUUUAGAAGGCUUCUUUCCCAAUUACUUUUAAUAUUAGCAUUCUAUUUAUCUUAUAAGUUAGUAGAAUCUUAAGUGUAAUCUGUUUUGUAAGGCUUCACAUCCUCGGUUCAAGGAAGAGAACCUGGAGAAGAAUAAGAACAUCUAUAUCCGCAUAGAUAACCUUGCCAAAAAGCACAAAUGCACUCCUGCACAAUUAUCACUGGCAUGGAUUCUCCAACAAGGAGACGAUGUCAUACCUAUCCCUGGUGCGUAACUUUCUUUAAACACUCUAUCAAUAUGAAUUAGCAUAUAUGUUUUCUACUUUUCUUUGUGCGAAGAAUGUUGAAAUUGUUUUUGUGGAUAUUUGGUAGAACCAUUGAUGUAAGAAUCUUAUCCCCGAUAGGCAAGUUUGUGAUUAUUUCUAUGAAGAAAUAUACAGAUUUGUUCCAUAACAUUACCGGCAAUAGUAUUUACUGUUAAUUUGCUUCGAGUUUCAGGAACAAGUAAGAUUAAGAACCUGGAUGAUAACAUAGGGUCCUUGGCGCUGAAACUUACAAAAGAGGAUUUGAAAGAAAUUGCUGAUGCUGUACCCAUACAAGAGGUUGCUGGCGACAGAACCUAUGAGAGUAUGAAGAAAGUAUCAUGGAAGCUCGCAAACACACCUCCGAAAGACACCAAGGCCUGAGCUCAUAUGUUGUGUAUACUAGGCGAUUAACAAUUGCCAUAAUAUAUGUACAAGCUACAAUGUCUGCUAAUCUAUUUGACGAAUAAAUGUGAACUUCGAUCACUAUGAGUCUAUGAUAUCAAUCUACCAUUUAAAUGUAAAUCUGGUGAAGCCAGAUUGUUCAGUAGGGGAGCAUGGUUGAACUUUGAUAUGUUACUUCUAGUAUUCAAGAAAAUUUGCUAUGAAUAUGUAGUAUCUACUCUUCUUUUUGAUAAUUAGUCAGAAAAUUAUUCAGAUGGUUAUUGAUGAUCCCACUGAAACUUGAAAAUCUAAAGCAUAUGCAGAGUAAAGUUGCUAUUUUUUUGGGAUCCUUACGUAAUGGGUUAAGCUAUCUAUCAAGUGCUCCUUUUUUUUUUCCCUCUUUUUUCUCUGACAGCAAGGAGAAAGUCUUAUGUGAGACCUCUCUACGGACCAUUCAAUAAAAUAAUGGCAUAUCUUUAAAUUUUUUUGGCUGUGGCCUAACCAUAGUUGUUAUAAUUGGUUGAGUUUAAAGUAAAAGUGUAUAUGAUUACAUUUCAUGUAACAUAGCAUUUGCCUUACAUUUAUUAGAUAGUCUUUUUAUGGAACCACGGUGGAGACGACCUAUCAUAAGAAUACGAACUGGGCCCACUAUCAAGUUUCAACUUUGUUUGUUAUCCUCUGUUUUUUUUUUUUUUAACACUUACUUGAGCUGAACUUAACUACUUGCUAAGUCUGAGAGACACUGAACUGAACUGAAGAUCUUGGAAAGUAAAAACCUGAAACAAAGAAAAGAAAGCUGCAGCAAAAAGCAUGGCAGAAGACAAGAAAAUCCAAGCUCCUAGAGUGAAACUGGGCACCCAAGGACUUGAGGUAAUUACACAUUUCUUUAAAUAACUUUUGGAACCAACUUUUUGAUAAAUUUUUGGUUUAUUAAUUAAUUAAUUAAAAUUUUGCGGGUUUUCAGGUUUCAAAGUUGGGGUUUGGAUGUAUGGGUCUGACUGGAAUGUAUAAUUCUCCAGUCUCCGAAGAGGAUGGUAUCUCAAUUAUAAAGCAUGCUUUCAAUAAAGGAAUUACUUUCUUUGAUACUGCUGAUGUAUAUGGAGCACAUGCUAAUGAAGUUCUUGUUGGAAAGGUGCAUAUCUGUCUCUUUUGUGGAUGUAUGAAAUUGGUAGUAAUUCUAGCAUAAUCUUGGAGAAAUCAGAAAUGUUUGUAAUAGUCCUUUGUUUUUUGCCUUUUUUAAGGAACUGGUAUAUAGUUACUUCAGCACAUUGUUAAGGAUACUGUUAGGAGUUGUUAGAAUUUUGUGUGGUUAACUGGAAAAGGUUCACUCCUGUUCAGGUCUUGAAGCAGUUGCCGAGGAAAAAAAUACAACUAGCCUCGAAGUUUGGUGUUGUAUCAAUGGCACCUACUAGUGUGAUUGUGAAGGGUACCCCUGAGUAUGUGCGCUCGUGUUGUGAAGCUAGCUUGAAGCGCCUUGGUGUGGAUUACAUUGAUUUGUAUUAUCAGCAUAGAGUAGAUCCGUCAGUACCUAUAGAAGACACGGUGUGUGAUUCUCUUCCAACCUCAUUAAAUGUAAACUUCCAUAAUCAAUUACGAUAUUGGGACCGUCAGCAAACUCGUUCCUCUUCAUUUCAAUUAUGGCAGGAUCUAGCUUACAGAACAUAUUAAGAAUUUCUUUUUCUUUGUAUUGUAGAUUGGUGAACUUAAGAUGCUGGUGGUCGAGGGAAAAAUCAAAUACAUUGGAUUAUCUGAGGCCAGCCCAGAUACAAUUAGGAGGGCACAUGCAGUUCAUCCCAUCACAGCUGUACAAAUGGAAUGGUCCCUCUUGACACGUGACAUUGAGGAAGAGAUAGUCCCACUUUGCAGGUUUAUUCAAAUUGUAGUAAAAUCAAUUCUUAGUAGUCUCUUCAUACACAUAACUCUGAAAGAGUACGGUACAUAAUUAUCUGUUUUUAUCUAGAGACUUAAUUCUUUUAUCAAAUGUUCUAUGGAUAUUAUUUUUAAAAAAUUCUUACUUGAAUAGAUUUUGUGUGGAUUUAUACAUACUCUAUAUUAAUUUACCCUGGAUAAUAAGGUUUGAUGGUUGAUGCGUCCUUGCUCUACAAUGUGAUAAUUUUCUAACUAAUAUGUUAUUCUCAAAUAUGGGGCUGCCAUCUUGAUCAUUUGAGUUGCAGAGAGCUUGGCAUUGGAAUAGUACCAUACAGCCCUCUUGGUCGAGGGCUUUUGGGUGGCAAAGCUGUUGUGGAAAGUUUGCCUGCUAACAGCUUUUUGGUAUGUUUUCAUCAAAAUAUCAUUCCACAUUUUGUUUUGUAAUAUAGCAAUUGCAUCCAAAAUUUUACAUGUAAUCUGUUUUAUAAGAUCUCCCAUCCUCGGUUCACGGGAGAGAACUUGGGAAAGAACAAGAAGAUUUAUACUCGCGUAGAGAACCUUGCUAAAAGGCACAAAUGCACUCCUGCGCAGCUAUCACUGGCAUGGCUGCUCGGACAAGGGGAUGAUAUUGUACCAAUUCCUGGUGCGUAAGUUUAUUCCCCGUCUUCAUCAAUAUGAACUAGUGUGUGUUUGCUACUUUCAGUUUGAAAACAAUGAUGAAUCUCUUAUGAAGGCAUUUGAGAGAAGUGACAAUAUAAGAAAGUCAUCUACACUAGAUAACCUUUGAGUAGUAAUAAGGGAUUGGCCUGCUUGAAGAAAUUUAUAGAUCUGUAUAAAACUCAGUUGAUCGAGAUGAUAUCAGCAAUGGCAAUAUUAUUUACAGUCAUUUACUUGGAAUUUCAGGGACGACUAAGAUUAAGAACUUGGAUGAAAAUAUUGGUUCCUUAAUGAUGAAACUUACAAAGGAGGAUAUGAAAGAAAUUUUGAAUUUUGUACCCAUAGAAGAGGUAGCUGGAGACAGAACCUAUGGUGGCAUGCUGAAAGUGACCUGGAAGUUCACAAACACACCUCCUAAAGACUGCAAGGCCUGAACUUCAAAUAGUUGGAAUACAGGCAAUCUUACAUUCUCACUUUGUGUUUGGAUGCAAUAUUUUAUGCCUACAAGUUAAUUAUUGCCGAAAUUUAUGAGCUAUCAACUAUAUGCUUUUGUGAUAGACUUUUUUUUUAAUGAAUAACUGUAAACUUCGAAGAAAGACUAGGAAUGAUCUUCUUGGUAUGUUACAACCUGAAUUCAAGAAAGUUUCAGUAACUGUUUAUCAAAUCCACUCUUGGAAAAAAAAAAAAAAAAGGAUUCCAAAAUGGUAAAAUACGAAUUCUGGUUAAAACAAUUUUCCUGGCUUUGCUUCAUCAACAAGUGCAGGUUGAGAGUCACAAGAGUUAUUAAUCAUAACCACUUGACCUAUCAUAUAUCUUGCAGAAAGCACUUAUCUAAUUAAAGCAGAUCCUAAAUUUGAUUAACCAUAACCACUUUGACCUAUCAUAUACUACGAAGGAGCAUUGUUGGCUUUAGGUGCAAGAUAGAUUGAUCCUCGCACAGCUUUGCAGUCUCCUCCUCCGGCAAAGUCACCAUCACAGUUCUUGCAAGUCCCGCUUCUGCUGAAGGCAUCACAAGAAUCAACCCUUCACCUUCAGCAUUCCCUACAUGGCAUGAGACGUGGACAGGCUUUGCACUAUCAAAAUUCAUUGAGUACAUCACAGGUUGGUCGCCAAUAAUCAUGUGCUCCAUGCUAACACAGGUGAAUUCAGGUCCAUACAUUGCAAAAGGUGGUGCAUACUUCCCUCCCUCUUCCUUCUGCAAAUCAAGCCAAUGUAAAGUUGCCCAAAACUCCUCUUCCUUGAGACCUGACACAUGGCAAUGAACCAACUCCGCCACACGUCCUAACAUGCUGCAAUCCAUCUCUUCUUCGUUUAGCGAUAGAAGUGAAAAAUUCAAAGCAUUGCCAAAGUAGCCAUAAGGUAGUGGUUCUUGCAGCAGCCUCCUAAAGUCUACACAAAGUGAGAGGGAAUGUGUAUGAUCAUCAUGUUUGGGGCCCUUUAAGUGCACAACCCGAAUCCAAAACAAUGCAGCUAGCAAAUCAAAUGGGGAGGCAUCAGGGCACUUGUCGUGGAUUUCCGAUAAACAUUGCUUGACCACAGAAUCAGAAAACUUGAAAGUGGCUGUGGACAUUUUCACUGAUGGGGUCUGUUUCUGUAACUUGGCCUCCAAGUAACUAGUAGAUUUAGAAUUAUUGACUGAAAACUUCCUGUCAGGAGGUGCGGGUGGCUUGAAGAAGGGCGGAAAGGUGAUGGCUUGGCCGUGGUGAGCUUCAGAAAAUGCCUUGAAGAGUAAGAUUAGACUGGUUAGGUCUCCAUGCAUGUGGGUGCAGCUAAGUCCGAUGGCUACACCUCCUCCUUCAAAGUCGUUUAACUGUAAAGCCAUAUAUAUCUGUUAAUAUCGUAUGGAAAGUGCCUUCUGAAUAAUCAGAAACAAGUUUUUGAAAGUGGUGUCUAGAGAAGUCAAGUAUGAAAUAUGAAGAUUUACACAAAAAGCGACUUUACUUUAAAGCACUUUUUACGAAAUUACUUUGAAAAGCAUUCCGAACCCAGCACAGGGAAAAUCAUUUACAUUAAAUUUCAACAUGCUCUUGUUAAAUAAUUGAAUUUAAUUAUAUUGUAAUUUAUUUUUUUUUAAAAUAUUAUAUGAUUGUAUUUACAAGAUGCAAUAAGCCUAUUUAAAUGUUUUAUGUUCAUAUAUAAUAUAAAAGUAUUCAAUGUCUUAAUGGUGCUCGCAACAUUAUGCACACUACUUAUAAUUUAUAAAUGAGAUUUUGUUGAUGUUACCUAGUUGAUGAAAAAAAAUUGUGUUAGAUGGUAGAAUAGUGAAUCACGCUGUAGGAUUUUGGUGGGUCUCACAUUAGGAUUCAUCCAAAUUCAUAUCAUAAAAUAAUGAAUCUCAAAAUAUUGACAUUUGAGAAAGUAUUAAUGGCCGGCCUUUCUCUUUCCUAAAUAUUUCUCCGACAUUAGGGGCUCAUUUUCCAAGUGCUUGGAACAUUUAUAAAUAUUGUUGUUGCAUUAAAUGAAAAUCACUGUCCCUAUAAAAAAUUAAAUUAAAUUAAGGGUAAAAGUCUAUUUAGUCUUUGUAUUUUAAGAUCAAUGUCUAUUUAAUCUCUGUAUUUUGUAAAAUGUCUCAAAAUAUUUCUGCCGUUAAAGUAUUGAUAUCUUUGCCGUUACUUUUUAUUUCUUUUGGCUUAUUUUUACAUUAUCACCCUUUUAUAAUAAUUUUUUUGCUUAGUCAUUAAUAAAAAGAAAAUAAUUAAAUUACCAAUUUAACUCUAAAAAAUAAAAAAAAUUAUAUUAAUUUUUUUAUAAGCACUAUUUGCACACUUGGUAGUUUGCAUAUAAUUUUUGACAAUUUAAUUUUUGACAAUUAAAAAUUAAUAUAAUUUUUUUUAUUUUUCAGAGUUAAAUUGAUAAUUUAAUAAUUUUUUUAUUAAUAUUCAAAUAAAAAAUUAUUAUAAAAGGAUAAUAUUGUAAAAAUAAACUAAAAGAAAUAAAAAGUAACAGUACGAGUAUUAAUAUUUUAACGGGAUGAAUGUUUCAAGAUAUUUUUAAAAAUAUAAAGACUAAAUAGAUACUAAUAUUAAAAUACAGAGACUAAAUAAAUUUUUCCCCUUGAAUCAAGAGCCAUGACCCAUAAGAUGUUUGGCACCACGCCUAACACCUUUAUUAUCUGUGCAUAACCAAACUUAGGCAUGGUGGGUUCGAAAGUCCUUUGCAAAAUUAAUUCCAAUAAAAGUGCUCUUUUAAUAUAAGUGUCUAUCAUGGAAAGACUAUAUUUCAAACAACCCUAAUUUGAACAAAACUUAGGUACUAAAAGCCAUCUCCAAUCACAAAGUUUUGUACAUAAUUAUUUGCAUUAAACAAAAGCAAACCCGACCCAACAAGAAAUGGAGUACCUGAAUCCGGAAAGGAGACCAGGUAUUAGGAACCUCAGGCAUAUCUUCCCAGACCGUUAGAUCUCUCUCCUCAUUCCCAUCAGCAGAUCUCAGCCAUUCAUCAAGCGUAAUUCCAACUCUAGCUCUCAAAACCCGGACUCCAGCGUCAUUACACUUGACCGCCCAAUUACCCGCAUCAUCUCGGGUCAACCGGCCCGUAACAGGCGGGUACGAAGACAAAACUUCGGACAGCGUCACCCUUAUUGGGUCCAUAUCAAACGACCCAAAUGGGCUUUUCUCGUAGUAAAAAAUAACAUGGAUUGUGUGAUGACCCAUGGCGUGGUCCAAACGGGUUAACGGGUAAGUCUCGACCGACGCUGAUGGCCUGCUGGAUACUUGCGUUAGAACUGAAUGUACAUUGACCCGACUCUUUUGAUCACCCAUUUAUGAGAGAAAUGAGAAUGUGAACUGUGAAAAGAGAAUUUUGUGUGCAAGAAAUUUUCUUCGCAUUGGUGAUUUAUAUAGAGGAGAAGGUACUUGAUUGGGUCCAUUAAAGGGGAAAUGGGUGUUUGUUGAAUUUCAUUAAUGGUGUGGCUGCAAUAUGUAAACAAAUUCAGGCGGUUGGCUGUGAUGUGCAUUAAUGGUAAGAUAAAGUAAAACUAUCCCAAUUAUUAAAUGAAUUAUUUUAUAUUUAUAACACGGACCUCAUUAUCACCCAUAACAUGUAACAGCAUUAAAAGAAUUGACGAAGGAAUCAAUAGCAUCGUGCCACGUGCAGCUGUUAUAAAGUCCUAUCAGCAUUGGAUGCAAAAAAAUCAGAAGUUUAUGAGAUGCAUUUUAAUUCAGAAACACAAUCCCUUGUUUAAUGUGGGCUAAUGGGGGAGCGGAGCAAGAAAUAAUGUGCUUUUCAAAAACUAGGAUGAAGAUAUAAAAAGGGUUUUUGCUAAAGUUGAAGCUGCUUCACUGCUUGUGCAUCAUUGAAAGUCGUCAACAAGGCAUCAAUUUUUAACUCCCCGCUGAUGCAAGCUUUAAUUACAUUUCACGGUCGUCUCCCCCCUGAAAAUUGGUAUAAAUUAAAUGAUGAAACUGCAGCGUUUAAUAAGAAACGAAGGGUAGGAGUUGGUGAUGUUAAAAUUCUAGAGGUGAACUUAUGGCUGCCGCUCUGAAAACCAUGAGCUUCAAUGGCGCUGUUGAGGUGACAUAAUGUUUGUUACAUAAUUAUGUGACUUAACCCCAGCCUCAUAACACUCAUUUAAUAAUCAAUCUUGUGAUAUAGACACAUGACAUCAAGCCAUAAGUUCAUUAAUAACACAAUUAAUUAUUUGAUUAACCAUAUGUUUUCAACGAUUUCUCUCGCUAGGAUCCAUUUUGAAUCAAUUGAGUGGUGCUCAUUGAAUCUAACUCAAAUCUGAUUCAAACAAAUAAAUUUAUAUUUAAGGAGAGUUUGUGGUAAGUUUGUGUUUAGGUGUCUUUUAAAAGAACUCUAAUACAACACCAUCACAAUCUCAAACAAAACAUAGCAUAAAACUAAAUCCAACUUAACUAAAUCAGCAAAUUUACUUCACAAUUGACCCAAUCGAACUAAAUCCAACUUAACUUCCAUAUCACUAACUACAGCAUCCAAUAAACCUUAGAAACAAAAAGCAGAGAAAUUUCUAAUAAAAAAAGCAUAGCUUUUUCAUACAGUUUGGUACCUGCACAAUGACAGUCAGACUUAUUAUUUCACAAUUGACACAAGAUAACCUAAAAUUAGACUUGCAUUUCAUAAAUAUAUAUACACAAAAAACAUCUUGAUCUCAAACAAAACAUACCAUUCAUAUCUAACUCAACCUCCACAUCAUCAACUACAAAAUUCAAAGAAAACAGUAGAAUCAAAAACACACCUUUCCAUAAACUUGAGCAAAUCCAGAGGCAUCAUUUUUCUCCAAUUGCUCCAAGCCUUUGACUCGUCCAAUUUCACAAUCUUCACUCAUCUCCAUCUCACUCCUCUUCUCAUUUCUACUCAAUCCCAAAUCAGUCCAAAACACAAUCCCAACAAAGAACAAAUAAAACCCAACAAACCCGACAGCUUGCCAAACAAAAAUCUCCCCACUCAAGUACACAUAAAACAACAACAAAGCAGCCACCAAGUAAAUAAGAGGGCGAAAUGCCGCCAAAAGAUCAUAAUCCAAGCUUUUGCAAAAAAGAAUUAAGUUUUUAAAAUCCAAGCAACAUUCAUGUUCUCAAUUUAUAGAACAAGAAAAUUUUUCUAUUUCUAGUUUCUAGUUCAGCUGACAUUCAACAGUCCCUUAAAGAAAGCUAAAGUUACAGGAAAGACAUACACUCAACAGAUUCACUAUCUGUAAUCCUCAGGCAAGCGAUAUCCAGACAUGACUAUUUUGUUGGCAAACAUCUUGCCAGUCUUGGGCAUGACGUGCCAGUGCAAUGUCAAGUUGAAUUCUUUACUUCGAAGAUUGUGUCCCUGAAUAGGAAAAUAAAGGAAGCUGAACAUUGAAUUUUCCAUACAAAAAGGAAAUUGCUUAAGUUGGUUGAUGAAUGUUUGUACAGAAUGAGAAAAAUUAAUCGAAGAGGAUGUCGUACCUGAUCAAUGAAACGAUAUUUGUUCGAGGUAUGAAUGGAAAACUUUGCAAACUCUUUUGCAGGUAUUAUAGCAUCCCAAAGAGACACCUGCAACACAAUAUGCAAAAUCAAUCAAGCGAUGGGCAUAAUUUUGAGCAUACAUAACCCGAGAUAUGAAAAAUACUUCAGAAAUUAGCAUGCCAGAUGAUAUUGGCUAAAGGUGGAUGUUCAUGAAUAGGAAACACAAAAAGGCUGCUCAUUCUAGCAACCAUUAAUUAACUCAAGAGUUCAUAAUCUAGAUCGAAUUUUACAAUAUUAAAGCACAAAAACUAAAACAAUGAUACUUCAGAAAACACAUGCACUCAGAUGCCUGGAGCUUACUUGGUUUAAGGCAUUCUUUGGGGUUUCAUACUCAGCUGCCACAAAAAUGAAAAGCUACAAAAGCGGUAAGGAGAUGAAUCAAUGUCAAAAAUCAGCUUUAAGAUCACUCAAAAACACCAUAAAAUUAACAACUUCCAAAAUCAUAUAAAUCAAUAACGAUAUCGUGAAUAGUAAACCUGUUUUGUGUUCCAUGUAAACAGUGAUUGCAAGUCAGCUGUUAUAUUCAAUGUCAGGCUGACCUACAUACAAUGAAAAGCACUCCCUGAGAAUGAUGUCAAGAAUAUCAUAGAAUCCAGCAAACUUAUGCCACAAAAACAAGCAUAGAGGAAGAAAUCAAAGCUACCACAAAAUUAUCGAUAUGUUUACUCAUUAAUUUUUGCUUCUUCGUAUGAAAAAGCAAUAAACUCAAAGCUACCACAGCAUGCUACCAAAAUAAAAUCGAAGCUUCUAUUCCACCACUAAUCAACUGGAAUGUGAGCCCCUAAUGCAGAUGAAAAGACGGACGGUUAGCUUUCAGUCAGUAGGCCGUUUUUCCUAAUAAUUUUCAAUCUUUAAGAAAUAUCAGGCAAAAGAAAUAACAACAGAAGGAAGGUUUAUUAAAAAUUUUCAUUUGCUUUCACAAGUAAGAGGAAUUGAAAACAGUUCUUUCAACUAUCUUAUUCCUGAGAAUUAUCAACAAUUACACUAAUUACUCACACAAUCAACCCAAAAAAAAAAACAAUUUUUUUCGAAACAAUUUCGCAACUGUAAUCAAUAAUGCACAAUAAUCAACUUAAAGCACACAGAUUUCCCAUAAAAUUGAAAAUAUCAGAUGGCCCGUGAUUAAUUUCUUAAACUAAGCAAUAAAAAAAAUCCAAUUACCUCGUCGUUUCCAUGUGGCUGCUUCUGAAACCAAUUGAUAUUCAAUAUCUACAAUCACCAAAAACAAAAACCCAGAUGCCAAAUCAAUCAAAAACGCAAAAAAUUCAGAACCUUUAACAGAUCUAACACAAAAUGCAACAGCGAUCAUGAAAAAGUCGAAGGAAAGUUGACCUCAAUUUGAGCGGAGGGAGAGGGAGUGUUAAGGUUAUCAGAAAGAGAAGCGAUGGCGCACAUUAGCGCCAGAAUCGUCACGGCGAACGUCAGCAGAGCGUUGGCUCUGUACCCAAACGAAUGCAUUUUUUCUUUUUUUCCUGUUUUUGUUCGCUGCCGCUGUUGCAGCUGCUGUCGUUUGAUUUUUGGUCUGAGAGAGAAGUUAAAAUCAACGGAAAUAAAAAUAAAAGAGUUCUGCCAGAUGCCACUAUCACGCGCCAUUAUAGACCCCCCCAAAAAAAAAAGCAAUUAAAAAUUUAAUAAAAAAUAAUAGAGAAAUGCUAAGAAAUCGGAAACUCUAUCGGCUUAUCCACUCUCACCCACUCCCCUCCUUCUUCGUCGUUUUCUACUUGUGCCAAUUGACAUCACUGACCAAAUGAAUAUGCUAACUGAGGCUUUCUUCCAAUGCAAAAUCAAAGCAGAGGAAUAUCAUCACAAAGAUUAAGUACACUGUAAAAGUAAGAAUUUUUAUUCAUAAAAAGCUUCAGCCUUUUUCCGUUUAAUGUAUAUAAUAAAAACAGAGGUACUCUGUUCUCAAAUCAUCGAAUCAAUCAAAAGCCAACGACUCCCCGCCCCCCCCCCCCCCCCCCCCCUCCCCUCCCCAGUGAACCAGUUGCUUAUCUCCUCCGAUAAAAUUUUGUUCAUUCAUUCGGAAGAGCAGAUAAGCAAGGUCGUAAAAGGAACAAGAAACCCACAAAAACAGAAAUUUUGCAUGCAUUAUCACAGAACAAUGACAAAUCUACCAAGAAUAAUAAGGAGAGUGUAAUCAGAGGAAGAAGAAAUGCAGGGAAUUACCCUGAAGAGAAGGAGGAGAUUUGGAUAACCAGGAGUCAAGAAGCUCAGAAGAAAAAGGGUAGCUUUUCGUUUCUAUGUAAAUUAUAAAGUGUCGACAUUGUGGCAGCCACGGAUAUUAUUUUUCGCGGGGUAGUAAAAACGACGAAAGGAAACUGUCGUACGGGUCCAAAGCACCGUGACCGUCAAACAGUUAUUUUUCCAGCUCCCAGCCAAAAAAUACAAUUCAAAAACAAACAAAAGAGAGUUUCCACGUGGCCGAUGUUCAUUGGCAAAAACAACAACGAGGCGAAGCUGAUUGGCCAGCCUUGUACAAGAAACACGUAAAAGUUAGUCACUAGUCAAGUCGUCGUUGCCUUAGCCUAGCCUCCAGUUUCGUGCUCAACUCCGCGCCCAGUUUCAGACUUUCAGGGACUUUUACCCGGCAGCACCAACACCUGACCUCCCUGGUAAUUUCCAAAGGAGAGGAAAUACCGCAUCAAGAGAGAGAGAGGACUUGCAGCAACGAUUCGUGAAUUGCGGGGUACUAAUUAAUGUCCAUUAGCAUUUAGCAUUGUGGAUUUAUGGGUAUGAAGAAUCUUGACCAUUGAUUUUGUGCUGUCUUUUUCUUGAAAAUAAAAUAGUCAUCUUAAAGUGGCGGUAACAUUAUUCAUGUAUAUGUUGCAAAAUAUUGAAUCAACAAUCUGCCAUUGCUGACCAGGUGUUGGUUUUUGACGGUUUCUUUGGUGGAGGUCCAGCGGAAGAGGAUGAGAGAAUUGCGAAGGGUGAUGAUGUUAUUGUUGAACUGGAUGCAACAUUGGAAGAUUUAUACAUGGGAGGUUAGCUAAGGGUAAGGUUCUUGUAUUUGCAUUGAAAUUGUCAGCUUGUGACCAAAAUCAUCAUAAUCUUGUACUACAAAAUGACUGUCUUAUAUUAUGGAAUUUCGUAUGACUGACUACUCAGGAUCGAGAUUGAAUGGUUAUUGGAAAACAUUUGUUUCACAGAGCUAGAAGAUAGAUAAAUUACGUCGUUCAUUUAUUUAUUUUUUGUCUUGUAUGAAGCAGAGAUUUUGGAAAAUUGACUGUUAAUUAGGCUACACUUCUCAUCCUUCUUUUGGGAUCUGCUCUGCAGGUAUGGAGAGAGAAAAAUGUUAUAAAGCCAGCUCCAGGCAAAAGACGCUGUAACUGCAGAAAUGAGGUAUAUCACAAACAAAUUGGUCCUCCAAAAAAACAAAUUGGUCCUGGGAUGUUCCAACAGAUGACUGAGCAGGUAUGUGUUGUAAGUUUGAAAUUUCCUCUUCAACUCUUCUUUUUUUUUUUUUUUGAUGGUUCCACUGGCUAUUGGAUUGAUCUAUUAGUGCCCUAGACUGUGAAUUCUGGUGUUCUUUUUCAGCUUUAUAACAUUCUUCAUUUCGUUUUCUUUCAGGUCUGCGAGCAAUGCCAAAAUGUCAAAUAUGAGAGAGAGGGAUAUUUUGUAACAGUUGAUAUUGAAAAAGGGAUGCAAGAUGGACAAGUAAGUUCCAUAAAAUUCAAAUGUGAUAGGCAAAUUAGUUCUUGAUGGAAGUUUAUACUUUAGGGAUAUUCAAUUGUUUAUCCCCUUUUCUUUUUCCUUUUUGUCUACCCUUUUAAUUCUAAAGAUCAGCUGCUAUGAGUAUUAGCUUUAUAAUCUUUAAUUCAUUUAAUGUUUUUGUGAAUUGUGUUGCUUCUCAUACACAAUCAGAACCAUAUGUCCCCUGUGUUGAAAGUUGGACUCCCAUAUUGUCACUCCCAAUUGUAAAGACCAUUAUCACCUUCCAAACAAGAAAAGUCAAAAGAAUUUGCUGUCCAGUUAACUUGCAUACAACAAAUGUUUUGGGUUGGAAAUUUUUUUUCCCUUCUGUUUUAUCUACAAUAGGAACUUAUUCUAUUUUUCUGUCAUCUCUAGUUGGAAGCUGCAGUUUUUCCUCACGUUUCUUGCAUUUGUUUCUUUUCCACACCUACUGGAUUUUUACAAUCUAGCCUUGGUUUUUCUAUGGAAUUUCUACUGUUCUCUCUCUCACUCUCUUUAUUUUUAUAGACUAGUUUUUUUAAUGGCACAUAAGUUUCUCAGGAGGUAGUUUUCUGUGAAGAUGGCGAGCCCAUAAUUGAUGGAGAACCUGGAGAUUUGAAGGUUAGUUUUGGACUCUUGUUUGUUAUAUGUUUUGCAUAUUUCCUCUGCAGCAGAUAAUAACUAUCUCAUUAUUUGUAGUUCCAUAUUCACAUAGCGCCCCAUGAUUGCUUUAGAAGGGAAGGAAAUAACUUGCACGCAACUGUCACUAUCACACUGGUAAAGCUCAGUUGUGGCCUGUGGGAUGUUAGUUAUUUGUUAUUUUAUUUGUUUAUCAGUGUGUGAUUGAUUUUGUUGGAACUUUUCCUAAAUGGUUUCCUCUUUUAGGUUCAAGCUGUUGUUGGUUUUGAGAAGACCAUUAAGCACCUUGAUGGACAUUUGGUUGACAUCAGCACAAAGGUAAGCAUGAACAUGUGCUUUGAACUUCAUUUGCCAUGACCAAGUUCAGUGAGGACAUGAGUCAGAAAAGAAUUGAAAUGCUUAACUUAGGUAAAAGAAUUGAAAUGCUUAACUUAGGUAACACAUGCUUCUACUCCUUGCUUAGGGAAUCACUAAGCCCAAGGAAGUGAGGAAGUUCAGAGGGGAAGGAAUGCCAUUGCAUUUUAGCAACAAGAAAGGAGACCUUUAUAUCACAUUUGAGGUACUAUUCCCAACCACUCUAACAGAGGAUUGGAAGACAAGGAUCAAGGAAGUUCUCGGCAAUGAUACAUUAAGUAAAUGUUUUUUCUUGGGUAAAUGUUUUUAUUUGGGUUCUUAUGCGUUCCCAUUGUAACAUGAUGAGGUUACAUUGCAAAUUCAGGAACUUUAUGGGGUCUCUCCAUUAACAAGUAGUGCAGAGUCUAAAGAUGCCUUUGCUGUAAUACUCAGUUGUUUUGCAUUCGGUAGGGCCUGGCGGCAAUUUUGCUUUUUUCUUUUUGCCAAUAUGAGUUCUAAAAUAUCUCAUAUUUCUCUCUGUGUCGUACUUCAGUUUUGGCAGCAAUGGCUUUAUGUUCACAGUAUCAUUCUAUUGGCCAGCAGAUAUAUUUCCCAUUGAUUUCUGCAGGCUCUUUCAUUGAACGGGGUGUUUGGUUGUAAUAUCAUAUACAACUGCAUUGCCAUACUGCUUAUCGUCAUAUUAAGCUCAUCUAAGGUAAAGCAUGUCUUUCUGCAUGUCUCUAGGAAUGACCGGAGAGACCCUAUGCACACAAUCCUCUUUGCAGCACGACCGUGGCGCUGCUUUAAAAUAUUUGUUAAAUCUCAGCAUACCAUGCGAGCAUCAAAUCGACAAAUAGUGCAUUUACAAACUUUUACGAGUUCAACUCCACCGUUAAAACAUAACCCACCUUAAAAUAAAAAUAACCUGGGUUGCACCACUAAUGCUAGCUUAAAAACAUUUGUUCAGAAGUUUAGAUCCUGGUAAUCACUCUAUAGACGCCAGCUUCUCUUCGUCUACCUCAAAAGCUUUUCUUGCUUGCUUCAGCUCCUCUUGCAUGGACAAUAAUUCUGUACAGCGGUUAAGUUUCGGUGGGUCCUGCAGGUUUAACAUGUAAAAAUUUAGCCAAUAACUCAAAAAUGUAAAAAUAAAUCAGAGCAAGUAGAAAUAAUGCAUAUAUGCUACAUAUUCACCAAGAAGAAGAAGAAGAAAAAUUAAAAUGACAAACUACUAUUGCAUGCAUGUCCCUUCCUGCAUCCAACAUAAGCUAGUAAACAACUUGAGACAAUCUCUUACAGAUAACACUUAAUCAUUAAGCCACAGAACUUCUCUUGAGGUUAUAAGACUGACACAAGUGGUAUUAGUAGUUGUAUAAGCCAGCUAGUCGUCAAGCAAUAUCAACUUGAUUCAAGGUUAUUUAUGCAUUGAAUAAAUGUAUUGUGUUCAAGACAAGCAGAACAUGAAAUGGAAUGCAAGUGAACUGAAUAAAGCUUCCAACUAAAGGUACCUUUCGAAUUAGAUAAAGAAAAUCUUCAACAGAUAACUUUCCUCUCUUUGAACCAAUAUCUUGCGCUUUGUGUGCCUACAGAAAAGUGUGUAUAUAUUGACAUCAUAUCUACCAAAUCCUACGCAAGGAAAGAAACCAAUACAACAAAUGCUUACCAAAUCUGAGACAUACUCCACAACUAUGUCCUCCACAAGCGCUACAGUUUCUGGAAGUGGCUAAUAAUGCCACCCAAGAAAUUCAUGAAUACAUAUGUUUAGAAACAACAACUUUAAAAUGGUAAAAAAUUUUAAAAACAUAAACAUAAAGUUCCACUCCAACCAUGUAUAAACUUAACAAUUGAAACUUUUUCUGUUACUGCAGCAAGCAAGUACUAUAUAACGACAAUAAAGUAAAGACCUGCAGUAAAAGAUAUUCUAAAUGCAAUGCUAUAAUCUCUCUGUCAAGUCAUUUAAAAGUGCUCUGAAUUUUAAAAGAAAUGUAACCAGUCCACCAAAGAAGUGCAUAUGCAUGCAUGCAGCAGUUUGAGCAGUGGAGAACGUAUACCCUACAGGCCGCAUCGAAGAGGUGAGUAAACGUCGUUAAACAUCCUUAAACUCUUAUGGUUCCAAAAGUAUAAACAUAAUUCUAAACAACUGACUCUGAAAUAUCUCAAAUCAUAAUAUACAUAAUACUUCUUCCCGAAUUCAAGCCAACUUCAAUUAAUGGAGAAAGAGUAUACAUAUAUCAAAAGCAACUCGGAAAAGAUUUAAUAAAUAAUGGAUAAAAGAAUAGAGAUCUCAAAGAGUUCAUGACUGUAAUAAAAUCAUCAAAUACCAAAGAAACAAAACAAGUUAUCACAUUGGAAAGAGUGAGCAUAAACCAACCAAAUUGUCAUAGUAAAUACUUUCAAUCCAUGACAGAACAAGAUAAAGUUGGCAAAUGUCUUUGUUACUUACAUUAGGAUCAUCGCCAAAACCAUACAUCAUGUGCUGAACUGCAGGACAAAACAAAAAUGAUAUAAAAUAAGUAAGACCAUAUGAAAUUAUUAAUAUUAUUAUAAAUAGAAGAAAAAGAAAAGGAAAACCAAAACACGGAAGCAAUUACUGACGAUCUUUUUGAAAGACUCCUCGCUUGCGCUUAAAUGAAGUUGUUUCACAGGGCUGCGAGGAUCCCACUUUUGAUUUUGAGGAUUGUCCCGCAGAAGGGUUGCUCAUCUUAUAUGUACUAAGUUUCUUCCUUUGAAACCUAUCCGAAAAUCAACUUCGAUUCAGCAAUCAAAUUCAAAUAGAAUAUAACUCACUACACAGAUAACUAAAUUAUGCCAAUUUUAUAACAGCAAUAAUUUCUUAAAAAAGAAUGCUACGGAAAACUCAAAACCCUAACUUUAAUCUGAAACAUUGAAUUUUGAUGGCAGAGCACAAGCAUAACAUGGAAAUUAAAAAGAAGAAAAACCUAACCUUUUCUCAUAAAUCUAUCGCGCCCCCAUUACACAACAAUUCCUAGUAUAAACAAAAACCUAACCUUCUCUUUUAUUUUGUUAAUCUUAGAAGCUUUUAUUUUCUCCUAGCUUUUAUUGAUUAGUUAACCUUUUAUUUCGUUAAUACUGAAGUUGAAUUCAAGCCAACUUCAAUUUAUUUUCUCCUAACCUAAUCAAUCUCUUCUCUUUUAUUCUUCUUCCCCUUUGAAAACAAGAUUUAUGCCAAUUUUUCAAUUGUUUCUCACGGCAUCUUUAAACAAUUUAUGCACACACAUGCUUAAUGAAUCAAACCACGAGCUGAAAAUAAAAUAAAAUAAAGCUGAUUCAAACCAAACAUAAGGCAGUUCACCAAAUACAUACCCAAGAUGCUAUUACAGUUGGAAGUUGAAGGUAACUUGAACAGGUCUCUGUUUGAUUAAUUUACAAAUUUACCAUCCAGGAUUUUCUUUACUGACACAACCAAUUAGUCAACAGCAAAUCCAGAAGAAUUUUCUUAGCGAAUUUGACCUUCCGGAAGAUAAAACGUGCGUUCGCAAACCAAUGGCGACUCCCUGGAUAAGAGAAGAACAGAGGCUGCAGCUCCUUUCGUUUGAUUUUUGGCCUGAGAGCGAAGUUAAAAUUAAUAGAAAUAAAAAUAAAAAUAGAUAAUAAAACGAGAAUUUUGGAUUUUGGAUUUGGGGGACUUUGAGGGUUGACGUAGAUAUAGAUUGUUGGUUGGGAGAAUUGUGUGGGAUGUACCCCCAUUUCCUUUAAAAUAUUCAAUAUAUACCUAAAAUUAUAACACUUUUAAAUUUUACAUAUAUAUACUCUAAAAAAUUAGAGAAAGUAUAAAAAUAACCAUAAUUAAAUCCUCAUCAAACUAAAUCCAAUUCCUCGAAGUCGGAUAAAUAGUCAAGAAUACUCAACUUCAACCAAACCAUACACAAUUAGUAAUUCAGCAUAAAUUCUCGAUUUUUUCAUGUUAGUCAGGUAAAUAGUCGAGAAUACUCAACUUCAAUUGAAAUAAAAAAUUAUUUGAAAUUUUUUUAAUUUUUUCAAAUAAAUCGAGUAAAGAGUCGAGAAUAUCCGACUUUAAUUUAACCCUACCCAAUAUUCAUUCAGCAAAAAUUCUUGACUUUUCAUUGAAGUUCGGUAAUUGGUUGAGAAUACUCGACUUAAAUUUAAAUGAAAAUUUUCUUUUUAAUUAAGUCAGGUAAAAAGUCGAGUAUACUCGACUUUAGUUGUGUUAUUAUGUAGAAGUCAUGAAAGAGGAAGUAAACGUAAAUAGAUAAUUUUUUUAGGUUAUUUUUUAUUUUUUACACUUUUACGAGGUAUAUGUAUGUAAUGGGGUAUAGAUUUGACAUUUGAGGACAAAUGGGGUAUAUUUAAAUAAAAAAACCCUUGUUGGUUUAUUGGAUAAUUUACAAGAAACCCUUUAUUUUGUUCUAUUAUCACAAUACUCCCCUACGUUUUAAGAAUAGUCAAUAUUUUUUUCCCCCUGCGUUCUAAGAAAACUUCGGAAGAAUCCCUUGUUUCAUCUUAUAUAGUUUAUAUAACUAUAUGUUUUCGAUUUUUUCAUUAGACAUAAUCGCACGUAAAAUUUAUAAUUAUAUAGUAAUCACAAUAACCUUUUUUUUUUUUAACUCUUCAUGGAGAAGUCAAUCUCUUAUUACCACCAUAUGAUUUUUCUUUAAUUGUGUUUUUCAUUUUUCAAAUAUUGCAUAUGUAAAUGUUAGUUGGUUUAAUUAUAAAAAAUUUUAAGCAAUAACAUGUAAUCAUCUAAUUUUCAUUCAUCUAAAACUUAUAUUAAAAAGUGUGUGUUUCUAUAUAUAUAUAGUCUAUCUUUAGUGCGGGCGUUCUCAUUUUUUUUCUGUACGAAUAUGUUAGCUUUUAAGUCACAGGGCUUAAUAAAAUCAAAUUUUAAUACUAUUAAACCACGCGGCUUAAUAGCGUGUUUACAUUUAAAAAAAUGAAAGCAUUGCACUUGAGAAUGAUAAUAUAUAUAUAUAAUUGAAAUAUAGAGUAUUGUUCCAAUAGGCAAACUCAAAUCGAUGUGAACAUGACAGAAGAUACUAAUAGAUGAGUACUAUAAAAGUACAUAUUAAUGAAAAAAUUAUAAAAACUACUACUUAACAUCACAAUCAAUAGUAACUGUCGCACUAAUUUUUAUAGCAUAUAUAUUAUUGAUAUUUCACAUGAAUGAUAACAUUCAGUUCUGAAAGGAACUAAAACCAAAGAGUAUAGUUUUUAUUCCAUUAUUCACACAUUACAUAAACAUAAACAAAGCACUCGUCAACUUUACGUACUCGUUGUUCAUGGAGUCGCAGUAAAAUUGAAGUUGCUACAACUUGUCCUGCGAAACAGCAACGUAGAGCUAAAACCAAGCCUUGAACGAGCAAGAUCAAACUGCACAAGAUUAUCCUGCAAUUGAUGCGACCCAGUGAUGAUCGAAGCUUUAGGCCUUACCUCUCCAUCAACAAACGCUGAACAAGUAACCCCACUUCGUGCCUGCACCAUUGAAUUUGCCCCAGUAAUUGUCCUCUUAACGUUCUGAUUCUACAGUACAAAAUCUCUAUUUGGAACUCUAGGGCCGGCUCUUGUGCUUUUCAGCUUUCUUGAAUCAUGACAUAAUGAAAAUGGUGCCACAGGUUUCGCUAAUUUUGGGAUUCCAAGGAGCUGGCUGGUGAAGAACUUGGUGAAAGAUUGGUAUAUUGGCUGUUCGAGGACUAUGUAUGGUUUUAUUGUGAUGAUUUUUGUGCCUCCUGUGCCUGCAUUGAUGUUGACUUUUAACGAGGAUGCGUUGGUGGGGACUUGCUUGUUGUUGAUUCUGAUCGAUGGUAGGGUUACGUAGUAGUGUCCUUCUGGGCUAAUUGUUAAGGGUGUGAAGCCUAAUUGGCUUGAAAUGUCAAUGCCUGGAAGCAUCAAGCAAGGGCCAUCGCCGAAGAAAAUGGCACCAUUUCAAAUUUCCCCUCGAAUUACACUAUAUAAUAUUUUUACAUUCUCAUUAGCCUAUUGUAUUGUUUAAUUAUAUUUAAAUCAAAAUUCUUCGGAGUUUGAGUGCAUAAAUAUUGCGUAUAAUUCAUAAAAUACAUCAAAAUCGUAUUAAACAAGUGAAAGUUUGGGAAAUGAAAUAUUAAAUAUUUGUUUUGGUUCCAAGUCCUAAGAGAAUAAUAAUAAUAAAUAAAUAAAUAAAACUUUAGACAGUAACAGGAGAUCAAAGAUACAUGGGUUGCACUUUGCACACGAUAAAUAUUGAUGAUGGUGACUGUUAGUUGAGAUGUUAGUAGGAAGCUGCGGACGGCAAUAGUAGUUAGGUUUCAAUGGGAUGGGACCCACAAAUUGUGCUUAUUUUAAUGGAUUAGAAUCUCCUGAUAUAAGCACUCAUGAUAUUUUACCGAUCUUGUGUCAUCUGUCUUUUAAUGUUCGUAUAUGAUUAGAAUUUAAUUGUUUUUCUUUUUAAUUUAUUAACCAAGUAUCACAUUAAUAGUAUUUGCUCAUAACAAAAUCAGAUCAGAAGAGAAUCAUAAUUCUAUUUUUAUACGUGAUAUUAAUCGCUAGAUUAUACGCCAUCCAAUUACAAACUAUUGGUAUGCUAAAAUUUGAACCAGAGUCUCGACAAAAUCUUAUUUGAAUUCCUGUAUCAUACCUAUUUUAGUAUUACACGUGUCAAAACCGUGACGCGCCAAUCAAACUGAAUUUACACCCUAUCUUUUUUUUUUUUUUUAAUUUAAAACAAAAUGUUGGGUCAAUAAGUUACAUCCUGAAGUCACUCAUAAUCUCUCACAUGUUUUAUUUAUUACUAUCAUAAUCUUGUAUUAAUUACCUAAAAUGUUUAACUAACUUAUAAUAUAAAUAGAAAAACAAAUGCAUAAGUAAGGUUAAUAUUAGCUAUAAACUAAUAACACAAAUGAUUGAGAUCCUAAUAAUUAAGUCUAGUAAAUUUUAUAACUAAUAGAAUUAAUAUUCUACCAUUCAGGAGAUAAAUGUCAUAUGAAUUCAAAAUUAAGUUGAAACUCAACUGUUGUAAUCUUUAGGAUUACUCAAUUAAUAAACUUGCUAAGGGUUAUAGUUGCAGAGUUGUACUGUAAAUUAGUGAUAGGUGUGGAUAGGAUCAUAAACAUGUAAACUUGUAGUUAUUUGUACAUGUAGUUAUUAAGAGAUAGAUUUUAGAGAAAUUAUCAAUUAUCCACUUCAAAAAGAUUAUAUUUGAAAUACUAGAUAGGCAAUUCAAAAGAGAGGGUGAAUUAGGUUUUCAAAAAUUUCUUAAAUAACAACACCACAGUUCAACACCAAAAACUACCACAACCAAUAAUAAUAAUAAUAAUUUUAAUAAGAAGUAAAUUAAAGAGGUAAGGAUAGAAAAAAGGAACACGAGACUUUAAUGUAGUUCAACAAAACAUGUUUACGCUCACGUCUCUAUACUCACCACGCAUGAGGAUUCCACUAUCCAAGCCUUUCAACCCAAGGCUUCAAGAUGCUUAUAAUUGACUUCCAAUGUGUCAACAAGCCUUUAUAUUCAAAGGUUAUCCUAAACCUCUAAACCAAGUGUUUCCCACACUUACAAUCACUCAAUUUUGAUAUUAAAAUGAAGUUACACAUAUUUUUCACUUACACAAUGUUUGUGUUUAUAAAUGAAAGCCCAAAGUGUGUUUCAAUGAAAGAAUAAACAAAUUUAAGCUCAAGACAAUUUGAAUAUGUAAGAGUGAGCUCAAUGCCAAUUGUUGAAUCCCUUGCAUUUGAAUAUGAUUGAUCAUUUUUAUAGUUGGAGCUAAAAACUAACCGUUACUUACUUUUUAAUCAUGAUCGGUUUACUGUUUAUCCUAACCAACUUGUCACUUAAUUUUACCGUUGUGGCCGCAAUUUGAAGUUUUGAAUAAUUGGUUUGCCGUUUAUUGGUAACCAGUAUACUGUUUGGUUCCAGAGAGCUCAUUUGAUGUAACCGGUUUGUCAGUUGCUAAAGUGAUUAACUAUUUUCUAAAAUUAUAUUUUUACUUCAAAACUUUCUAUAACUAUAUUAUAGCCCAAAACUUCAUAAAACUUUACAAAAGGGUCCAUCUUCAGAAUUUUGAAAUAAUACUUUUGAUUCCCAAAACUUUAUAAAACUACGGCCCAAAACUUUAUAAACUAGUUCAAAUAGUUUCAUUUCUAGAAUUUCAAAAUAAUACUUGUUGAUUUUAAAGUUCUCAAAAUUUUUUUAAUUUAGACCAUAAACUUGAAAACAACUAAUUUCAUAAAAUCAUUUUCCCUUUAUAUAUAAAACUUUUAUAUUAUCAAAAUAAUAGUUUUUUUAAAAAUGUAUGAAAAAUAGUUUGAGUUUUUAAAUGCUUAAUCAUGCACACAUUUAAUCAUACUAGCUUUACAAGAAAUGUAACAAGAGAAAUAAUCUAAGCUAGUACCUUUAAUGCUUGGUCUUGACUUGAUGAGCUUUGUGCCUUUGUCCAUUUAAGUGCUUUGAACUUGAUCUCACAUGAAUGAUUUUUGUCCUUCAAGAGCUAGUGAGAUUAGAAAUGCAUAUAUACCAUUUUACCCUUAACACAUUGUUUGUUAUCAUUAAAAUCAAAGUUUGUACAACCGUUUAGGCCAACAAUAAUGUUGUAAAAAAUAUAAUAAAAAAUUAAAUUUAUUUAAUUUUACACUUACUAUUUAUAAUAUGUGUAAAUCAUCUAUUAAAAAUAGUCAUCAUAUAAUGCCGCAAUUAAACAUUAAUUAUGUAAAUGAAACAUAAAACUUGAAAAUUUAAUAUAAAACUUGUAAACCAAUAUCAACUGUAAAAUAAAACAUAAUUUUUAGAAAUUAAAGAUAAGACUUUUGAAUAGAAGGUAAAACUAGUAAAUUGAUAUAUUAUUAGUAAAAUAAAACAAAAACUUACAAUUAUAACAUAAAAUUCAUAAUUCAACAUUCAGUGCAAAAUUAAAUAUAAGACUUGUAAAUAAAAGAUAAAAUAAAUUAAUUAAUAUAAAACUGAUAAAUUGAUGUAUUAGGUAUAAAUAAAACAAAAAAUUAAAAAUAUAACUUAAAACUAGUAAAUUAACAUUAAUUGUAAAACAAAACAUAAAUUUUGAAAAUGAAACAAAAGACUUGUAAAUGAAAAAUAAAACAAGUACAUUACUAUAAAUUUGAUAAAUUGAUGUAUUUUUGGUAAAUAAAAGAAAAACUUACAAAUAUAUCAUAAAACUAGUAAAUCAGCAUUAAGUGCAAAAUAAAACAUAAAUUUUGAAAAUGGAACAUAAGACUUGUAAAUGGAAAGUAAAACAAGUAAGUUAAUAUAAAGCUAAUAAAUUGAUGAAUUACUAAUAAACAAAACAAAAAUUUGCAAAUAUAACAUAAAAUUAGUAAAUCAACAUUAAGUGCAAAAUAAAACACGAAUUUAGAAAUUGAACAUAAGAUUUGUAAAUAGAAGGUAAAACAAGUAAAUUAAUAUAAAACUAGUAAAUUUAAAGUAAUAUAUAAACUAAUAAAAAUUUAUCUAUUACUGGUAAACAAAACAAAAACUUACAAAUAUAACAUAAAACUAGUAAAUCAACACUAACUGUAAAAUAAAACAUAAAUUUUGAAAGUGGAAUAUAAGACUUGUAAAAAGAAGAUAAAAUAAGUAAAUUACUAUAAGACUGAUAAAUUAAUGUAUUACUGGUAUAUAAGACGAAGACUUACAAAUAUAACAUAAAAUUAGUAAACAAUAUUAAGUGCAAAAUAAAACAUAAAUUUUGUAGAUUAUGACUAAAACUUAUGAAUAAAAAGUAAAAUAAGUAAAUUAAUAUAAGAGUUGCUGCAAAAAAAAAAUUACAAUUGUAAAAUAAAACUCAUUAUAAUAUUUAUUACCUUAUAAAUUUGUUAUUUUUAAUUUAAAUGGGAUAAUGCUAGUUUUGCAUUGAUGUAGUAUGUGUGAUAUUUUAUUAAGGAUGAAAUUUAUUCUAAAAUUUCAAUUUUUUUUUAAAAAAUAUUAUUUUAAUAUCUUUAAAGUUGUUGUAAGACGAGGUUAUUUUACAUUUUUCUACACUUCCUCAACAAUAGCAUCGAAUGAUCUCAAAGUACAGGUAAGGGGCUUAAAACUAUAUGAAGUAUGCAUAAGAUUCAAAAUUAAAUCUAACUUUAAUGAUAUAUCAUAUAUGUGUCUAGUAAUAUAAGUUUUUUUUUUUUCUUUUUGGGUUUUGGUUUGAUUCACGUCAAGAUAAAUAAUUGCACUUAAUUAACUUGUGUAAUAAAUAAAUAUUAUUAUAGAAAAUGCGAAAGAAAGUAUAUAAAUGUUCUAGAAUAAAUAUAGAAUUUACAGUUAAACUAAUUCAAUAAAAUUUAUUCCACUUUUUUUUCAAAAUAAAAUCUUGAUUUAAUUAAUGAGUAAUUUUUAUUUUUAAUUAAAAAUAUUUUUAUAAAUGAAUAAAAUAUUCUUUUAUUAAAAUUCAGUAGAAACCAUGUUAAGUUUUGAAAUAAUUAAUAAUCUUUAUGAACUUACUAGUUUUAUUUUUUUUUGCUAGUUUUAUAUAUAAUUUAUAAUAUUUAUAUCUAUCACAGUAUUGAUGUUAUUUAUUAUGACAUUAUAGAAUUUUUCUCAAAAAUAAUGUCGGCACACAAAAUAAACACGAACUAUAUUGUGCCUUUCCAAACCCUUGAGCAAAGAAUAAAAAUAUUUACAAACUUCCAAGCAAAGCAAAGUACGUAAAUAAAAAGAACCAAUACUUUUUCAGUUUUUCCAAGCUUCCUAACUAAAUUUACACCCUCUGUUUUUUAUUUAAAGCAAGCAGUUGGGUCGGAUAAGUUACAUCAUCAAAUCACUUAUGAUUUCCCAAGUGUUUUACUUGCUAUCUUAUUCUUGCAUAACUACUUUUAAUUUGUUUUUAAGUUGCAUAUUUUGUAACUUAACUAUUUAAAAAUAUUUAACAACUUAUAAUGUAAAAUAAAAAAUGGAUUCGGCUAUGUCGGAACCGCUCUACAGUAGAGCACUGAUUCAUCGGCACACGAUUAAAGUUAUAACAUAUUUUUUAUUAUUUAUCACUUUUGUGUGUGUGACUAUAAUUUCUCCUCUACUUUAAAGAAACUCCAAGAUAACCAUGGCCUAAAAAAUUAGUACACAAAGUAAGAUCAAUGUGAGUGUAAAUUAAUGUAAAAUAAUUAUUGGAAUCGUAAAGUUGAGUCUCAACUAUUACGUGUCAUUUAUAUAUUUUAUAGUAUAUAAUUAAUAAAAUUAAUAUUCUACCAUUUGCUAAAGGAAUGAAACAUCGGUUAGAAUUUAGGUUGAGACUCAACUAAUAUAAUCCUCCAUAUUACUCAAUUAAUAAACUUGUAACCCAUAAACUUAUAGUUAUUUGUAGGCGUGGUUAUUAAGAGAUAAAUUUUAGAAUCAGUUGUCCACUUAAAUAUUACACUGUUGUAAAAUAUAUAGUAUAAAUUUAAAUUUUAGGUAUAAAAUUAUUCGGUAAAAAAUACAAUUACCCUUGCAAAAAAGCGGGACAAAACAAAAAAUAAACAUGAAUAAUAUUGUAUUGUGCCUUUCCAAACCUUGAGUAAAGAAUAAUAAUUUUUACAAACUCCCAACCGAAGGCAAGUACAAAACUGAAUAGAAUCAAUAAAACUUAGGGUGCAUUUGAUGACGUAUUUUGUUGGGUGUUUUUAUUUUUCAAAAAUAAAAAACACAAAAACAUAUCCAGUAAGGCCAUUCUCUAACCAUCACUAAAAAAAAAAUUUGAAAGAACAAAAUAUUUUUAUUCUUUCACUUUUGUUAACAAAAGUUAAGAACGUCAAAUUGACAUUUUGUUUAAAAAAAUAAUGAACAAAUAAAAAGAAGUUAUGGAAAAAGGUUGUGCCAGGCCCACCACUUUUAUUUAUUUAAUUAUUAUUUUAUUUCAUUAAUAAUUCUUUUUCUUGUAACCAUUACUUCUACCUUGUCUCUUCAAUUAUAACUAUUAUUUCUAUUUUUUUCUUCAACUGUAAAAAUUCUAAGCCUUUUAUCUCUGCAACUAUUGCUAAGGUCUAGGUACUUUUUUUUUUUUUUUUAAUUUUGUUUAUUGUUCAUUAAAAUUCUAUAUGAUUUUCUAUUAUAUCAAUUUUUAUUUAUUAUAUAUUUGAGUUUAUGAUCUCAAUAGAAUUAUCAAAUAUCAUAUAGGCCCAAUUAUUUAUAUAAAGGAUAAGGGGGUGACCCCAAGAAAAGAGUCUUGUGACUAGGAACGUGAAAACGAUGCUUGAAGUAAGUCGAGCUUACUUUCGUGGAGGACAAAUAGGAGGAUAACAAAUAAAAGUACCAGGUCGGCCAUGCUACUAUUUCCACCCCGGCAUGAAUCACCUCAGCCAAAUGGUACGAGCAGAACAUGGGGCAAUAUGAGCCGAUCAAAGACGAAUACUGACCAGAGGUAUAUACCGAGCCGAUACCCGUCUCCCAAAAAAGCGGAAACACGAUCUCACAGAAUCACGGUAAUUGCGCUUUCCCAAAACCGUUGCGGGAGACGCGAGAUCCCACGUUUGCCCAUAAUGCAGCAGUUAGAGUCCCAUGAGGGGCUGCCACUACCCGAAAAAGGUGGGAUGAAGGGCAAACGGGAACGUGGGGACAUCGGCUAUAAAAUAAGAAGAAAUCGAUGAAGAAAGAGAUAGAAAAAUUAAGGGAGGGAAAACGCUGCCAAAUUGCAAUCAGACAUUUUUCUUACAAACUUCGAAACAAGUUAGAAACCCUUCUUGAAUCCGAAUUACACUGUUUUCCCAUAAACACCUUGUGCUAACUUAGGCAUCGGAGGAUUUACGCCGGCAAAACCACCGGCGUCUCUGAUCCGUUUUUGGUGAACGCAGGUCUAGUAAGAGAAAGGAGGGCGAUUCCAACCCCAGUGGUCCGAGCAAUAGUUGACAACACAAACGUUGAUGAAAUAAUCUAGUCGGUCAAAAGGCGAGCAGAUUUAAGCAUCAACAUUUUGGCGCCGUCUGUGGGGAGCUGAAUAAAAAGCUACCACCAAACUAGUAAUUACCGGAGAAGCAGCGAACGAUUGGAUAUGGAUGUGUCAAGAAAGGAUACUUUAAGGGAGGACAAUGAAACGGUGGAGACAAUCACUCUCCGGGAAAUUACAAAUGAAGCCCGAGAGAGGAUGACACAAGAUAGACUGGAGCGGAUGGAGAAACAAAUGGAGACUCUCGCGGCCAUAUUGUUUGAGCUGAGGGACGAGCGGAGAAGGGAUUGUGAAACCCCCGUGGGAAGAGAUGAAGCUGGAGCAGAACCCAGCCUCCGGAGGCGUAGAGUCGAGGAAAUCCCUCCGCCCGCAGACCAACCUAAUGAGGUGCAUCCCUACAGAAGUACUGGUCGGGUUCCAAGGGAACACGUGGAUGAAGGGAGAGACCAACCUCGCCCCGGACGGAUACUGGAAAUUAAUGGCCGAGGGGCCAGUGUUGAUGAAGGAGAACUCAAACAGCGGUUGCAGAACGCCGAGCAGGAGCGAAACCAGAUAGCUGCACGUGAUCCUGACCGUGCUAUAGAAUUGGAGGGGGAGGUGUGCAGAUUGGCGCAGGUGAUAGAGGAGAUACAGGGCAAGAGAAAGCCCCAGAGCUGGAGGAUAAUGCUAGAUGAAGAAUCUCCGUUAUCAACCGAGAUCAUGAGUACCAUAAUCCCAAGAGAUUUCCGCUUCCCCGACCUCAAAUACUCCGGGCGAAGUGACCCGCUGGUGCACAUUGAGCGUUUCAACGACAUGACGGGUGUGCAGGGGCUGACACCAGCUCAGAGGUGCAGGGUAUUCCCGUUGACACUAGAGGGACGAGCCCGAGAAUGGUACCGCAAGCUGCCCCGAGGAAGUAUAAAGGGGUAUGAGCAGAUGUGCCAGGAGUUGGCCGAGCAGUUUCGAGGGGCAGUGGCCCCAGAGGACGACAUAAUGGAACUGAUGGGGAUGAAACAGGAGGAGCAUGAAUCCCUUCGAGAUUUCGUAAAACGAUAUCACCGAGCCGUGCUAGAUCUGGGAGCUUUUAAUCACCCGCAGGCGUUGAGGGGAUUAAAAGAAGGUGUAAGAAUCGGUCGAUUGUGGUAUAACUUAAGAAGCCCCCUCGUACAGAAUUACUCAUCGGGGUAUGAGCAGGCGAGGCGAGAUAUAGAAAUCGAAGAGGAGAAAUCGGCAAGAAUUAAAAGUGAACAGCUGGAAGAGCUAAGGCGAAAGGAACGGAGAGCCCCGAAAGGGAGCGGGUUGGGAAAGCGAACUGGAGAAUCUUCAGUGAUGGGCGGAAUAUCAGCUCGGUCCCGCCCUUACCCCAUAGCUCCAAGAGCACAACAGUUCCAACACAGCCGGGCUCAACCUCCGCGCCCCCCGAUCCCAGAACGGCAGCGAGAAUUCAGGCAGAUGGCUGCCCACCCUUAUUACAGCACUCCCAGAGCGUUAAGUGCAACUAAUUACAAGUCUGGACGACCAGGACAGCUACCGGCUAUACCAGCCCGAGCUGACAUCCAUGAUAGCCGAGCAGUUCAGUUGGUUGACCAGAGCGUGGCAUAUAGACAGUACACUCCAUUAAAAGUCUUCAUGGAGGAACUAUAUGAAAUGAUCGAGGGACGAGGUUUGCUGUAUAUUCCGACCCCUAUAACAAAAUUUGCUCACCGGCGUGAUAAGAGCAGAUUCUGCAAAUUCCACAACACUCACGGUCACACUAUCAGCCAAUGCCGUGACCUAAAGAUUCAGGUGGAGGAUUUGGUGAGGGACCAGUACUUGGAUGAGUAUGUACACGGAGUGUCCCCCGUCAUUGAAUCGCAAUAUGCACGGGAUGAAGGAGUUGAAAAGGAUUUGGAACGAGAACAACCGACCAUCCGGGUGAUAGCAGGAGGGCCAACAUUGGCCGGGGAUUCAAACAGAGCACGAAAGAACUAUGGGAGAUAUGCCAUGACUGGUAAAGAGGUGCUUCUCAAUUUGCCAGCAGCCAAGAGGGCAAAAGUGCGGCAAGUUCCCAUUAUGUGGACAGAGGACGACGAAGAGGGCAUUUUAUAUCCUCAUGAGGAUGCACUGGUGAUUAAAGCAUUGGUGGCUAGUACAGAAUUGCGGCGAAUACUAGUGGACACGGGUAGCUCAGUAGACAUUCUGUUUAAGUCGGCCCUAGAUGAUAUGGGGAUUUCAGACUUGAAGCUGGAGCGGACGAAUACAUCCUUGAAGGGAUUUGGAGGAGGACGGCUAACUCCUAUGGGGAUCAUCGAACUCUCAAUUACCGUGGGAUUAAAACCGUUUGAAAGAACGAUGAUGCUGGAUUUUGUUGUAGUAGAAGAAAGAAGUCCUUAUAAGAUGAUAUUGGGGAGACCGUUCAUGAGGAUAAGCCAAUGUGUAAUGUCCACGCAUUAUCUGGCGCUGAAGUACAGAAUAAAUGGAGUUGUUGGUGUAGUAAAAGGCGACCAGAGAAUGGCCAGGAGCUGCUAUGCUACAGCGGCCAAGGAAACGCUGCAGGUUACCUCUCUAGAUAACCGGGGGGAUUCAAAAAAUGGUCGCCAAGAACCUGUUGAGAAGCUGGAGGGGGUUAUUGUAUGCAGGAGUGACCCGACCAGAGUGGUUAAAGUCGGAUCAGAAUUGGACGAAGCAAUAAAAAGCGGGCUGGUGAAGUGUCUACAGUCCCAUGCAGACAUAUUUGCCUGGUCUCAUGAGGAUAUGUCAGGUAUUGAUUGCGGGGUAGCUUGCCACAAGCUGGCAGUCAAGAAAGGGGCAAGGCCGGUGAGGCAGAAAAUGAGGUGCUUCAACCAGGAAAGGUACGAGGCCAUAAAUGCCGAGGUGGAAAAGCUGCUGAAAGCAAGAUUUAUAAGGGAAGCCAAGUACCCGGAGUGGAUUUCCAAUGUAGUACUGGUAAAGAAGGCCAAUGGGAAGUGGAGAAUGUGUGUAGACUUCACGGACCUCAAUAAGGUAUGCCCGAAGGACAGCUUUCCCCUACAAAAAAUAGAUCAGUUGGUGGACUCAACAGCGGGUCAUAGUCUGCUCAGUUUCAUGGAUGCCUUUUCCGGAUACAACCAGAUACCCAUGGACGAGCAGGAUGAGGAAAACACUACCUUUAUAACUAACAUGGGUUUAUUUUGUUACAGGGUUAUGCCAUUUGGCCUGAAAAAUGCAGGAGCCACCUAUUAAAGGCUAGUGAACAAGGUCUUCAAACCAUUGAUCGGUCACACUAUGAAAGUAUACAUGGACGAUAUGAUCACCAAGUCAAGAGAACCGAGAGAUCAUGUGAAGCACUUAGAAGAGACCUUCGAAUUGCUGAGGAGGUAUGAGAUGAAGCUGAACCUGGAGAAAUGUGUAUUUGGGGUCAGCUCGGGCAAAUUUUUGGGAUACCUGGUGAGCCACCGAGGGAUUGAGGCCAACCCGGAAAAGAUACGGGCGGUGAUAGAAAUGAGGUCCCCAUGAACAGUUAAGGAGGUGCAGAGCCUUACGGGGAAAUUGGCAGCAUUGAACCGAUUCAUUUCGCGAGCCACUGAUAAGUGCCACACUUUUUUCCAAAUCAUAAAGAAAGGGAAGAAGAUGGAAUGGACACCGGAAUGCGAGGAGGCAUUUGGACAGCUGAAGGAAUACCUGGCCCGCGCCCCGUUACUAUCAACUCCGAGAGAGGGUGACCAGCUGCUUUUGUACUUGACAAUCUCUAAGCGGGCUACCAGCUCAGUUUUAGUCAGGGAAGAAGAAUGGAAGCAACACCCGGUAUACUACACAAGCAAGGCCCUGGUAGACGCAGAAACCAGAUAUCCACUAAUGGAGAAAUGGGCGCUGGCUCUGAUAACGGCAGCACGCAAACUCCGACCAUAUUUCCAAGCCCACCAGAUCGUUGUGAUGACUGACCAGCCCCUUCGGCAAGUGCUUCAAAAACCAGAUGCGUCUGGUCGGUUAGUAAAAUGGUCCGUGGAGCUGAGCGAAUUUGACCUGUCCUAUAGGCCCCGAGGAGCAAUCAAAGCCCAAGCCUUGGCCGAUUUUAUAGUUGACCGUGCUCUACCAGGGGAAGAGAUUCCGGAGGCACAACCAAUAGAGCAGGAGAAACCAGAGGGGGUGUGGCUGGUGAUGGUCGAUGGGUCACGUAGUGAACAAGGAUCCGGAGCAGGAGUUGUAAUACGGAGCCCAGAAGGGGUCGAGGUAUCCUAUGCAAUAAAAUUCGAGUUCCAACUUACAAAUAACCAAGCUGAAUACGAGGCCUUCAUUACUGGGCUCGGGCUUGCACACGCACUACGAGCAGAAAGGGUAGAAAUCCUAGCAGAUUCCCAGCUAGUAUGUAACCAGCUCAGCGAUCAGUUCCAAGCAAGGGGAGAGAAGAUGGGUCUUUAUCUGAAGAAAGCAAAGCAGAUGGUUGGGCUUUUCCAAGAGGUGGAGGUAAAGCAGAUAUCUCGGAAUGAGAAUUACCGAGCAGAUAUGUUGGCUAGGAUGGCUGCAAUUGCAGAUCCGAAAUUACCUAUGUCGGUUCCACUAGAGGUAAAGACCUCGCCAAGUAUAGGAGAGGAGGUAGAGGUGAUGAGAGUAAGCAUUGGAGAGUCAUGGAUGGACCCGAUUCGCGCAUAUGUCCGGGAUGAAAUCUUACCGGAGGACAAAAGGCAAGCAAGGAUAUUAAAAUGCCGAGCAGCGAGGUACACGCUACUAGAUGGAGUGCUGUAUCGCCGAGGGUUCACCUUACCCCUUUUAAGAUGUGUGGAUGAUAAGGAGGCAGAUUAUGUACUGAGGGAGAUUCAUGAAGGAAUAUGCGGCAAUCACUCGGGAGCAAGAACUUUAGCCUUCAAGGCACUCCGGCAAGGAUACUUCUGGCCAACCAUGCACCAGGAUGCGAAAAGGAUGGCAAAGAACUGUAAAACCUGCCAAAGCUUCUCUGAGGUUCCUGCACAACCCCCAGAAAAGCUGACCACUAUGACAUCCCCGUGGCCUUUCGCUCAAUGGGGAAUCGACUUAAUUGGUCCGUUACCUAAGGGCCGAGGAGCGGCGACACAUGCAAUUGUGGCGAUAGACUACUUCACCAAGUGGGUAGAAGUGGGAGUCCUCAACCAAAUCACGGAGAGGAAGACAACAGAUUUUAUUUGGAGGAAUAUCAUCUGCAGAUAUGGGAUCCCCUAUGCCAUCAUUACAGACAAUGAGAGACAAUUUGACAACGGCAACUUCAGGGAAUUUUGCCAAAAUUUGGGGGUGGACCUGAAGUUCUGCACCCCCGCACAUCCCCAGGCAAACGGACAAGUGGAAGCAGCCAACAAAGUAAUAAAGAAGCUCUUGAAAACUAGAUUGGGAGAGAAGAAGGGAGCCUGGGUUGAUGAACUACCAGGAGUAUUAUGGACCUACCGGACAACUCACAAAACCGCCACAGGGGAAACCCCGUUCGCUUUAGCUUUUGGUCAUGAGGCGGUAGUCCCAGCAGAAAUCGGAGUGGGGACACAUCGAACGGAAUAUUUCGCUGAGGAGCAAAACGACGAGCAGAUCUGCUUAAGCCUGGACCUGCUUGAGGAGAAAAGGGAAGGGGCCUCGCCGAAAGUGGCCCAGUGUCAGCAACGGGUCAUGCACUAUUACAACAAGAACGUACGCGUGAGGCAGUUCCGAGCAGGAGAUUUGGUACUUAGGAAGGCGAACCAAAACACCAGGGAUCCCAACCAUGGUGCUCUUGGCCCGAAAUGGGAGGGCCCGUACAGGGUGAUACGAGCCACUGGACCAGGAGCUUAUAAGUUAGCAUACCAAGAUGGACGAGACGUGAAGAGGUCAUGGAAUGCCGAGCACUUGAAGAAGUAUUUCCAAUAAGCAAAGUGCUCUACUAAACCCUCAUUUUGACAAAUUGUUUGUGUUAACUGCAUGAUGGCUUGAUGCAUAUGUAUGUAUUCAGUAUUUUUGUAAUACAUUUAAGUUUCAAUAAAGAUAAAUUCAGCAUGAAAUCCCCUGGCUAAUAAGCCCAUUAGAAAGUUCUGCUAAGGCAAGUAAGUGCAUGCUUCUGCUCGGUCAACGAGAGACCAGCAGCUAAUUCUACAAAAAAUCUGCUAAGGCAAGUACGUGCCUACUUCUGCUCGGUCAACGAGAGACCAGCAGCUAAUUCUGUAAAAAAUCUGCUAAGGCAAGUAAGUGUCUACUUCUGCUCGGUCAACGAGAGACCAGCAGCUAAUUCUGUAAAAAAUCUGCUAAGGCAAGUAAGUGCCUGCUUCUGCUCGGUCAACGAGAGACCAGCAGCUAAUUCUGCAAAAAAUCUGCUAAGGCAAGUAAGUGCCUGCUUCUGCUCGGUCAACGAAAGACCAGCAACUAAUUCUACAAAAAAUCUGCUAAGGCAAGUAAGUGCCUGCUUUUGCUCGGUCAGCGAAAGACCAGUAGCUAAUCUUACGAAAAUUCUACUAAGGCAAGAAAAUGUCAGCUUCUGCAAGGGUCAACGAGAGACCAGCAGCUAAUUCUACAAAAAAUCUGCUAAGGCAAGUACAUGCCUGCUUCUGCUCAGUCAACGAAAGACCAGUAGGUAAUUUUACGAAAUUUCACCAAGGCAAGUAAGUGCUUAUUCCUGCUCGGUCAUCGAACGGACCAGCAGAUGAUUCCAUGAAAUUCGACUAAGGCAAAUAAGUGCUUGUUCCUGCUCGGUCACCGAAGACCAACAGGAAAUUUUGUGAAAAUUUUACUAAGGCAAACGAACGCCUAUUCCUGCUCGGUACACUAAAGAACCAGCAGGCAAAAUCAGAUAAAUGGUCAAGUUAAUUCGCAGAAGCAACCCAUGAGCAAAAAACAGGCAAGAAAGCCAAUAGAGAUCAUUUAAAAAUUUAUAAACGUUCAAAUGUUUACAAAGCAAAUGAAAAUCUAGAGUCUUUACAAAAUUAGACCUAAGGAUUAGGAGGGUCAACGGCCUCAGCAGGUGAAGGAUCAGCUAUCUCUGGAAGUGGAAGAUCAGCUAUACCGGGAGAAGGAGGCACGGACCCUUGACCCACUUCGAAAGUGCGUCCCCCAGCUUCCCUCUCUUGCACCCCAUCCAAAGGAGCACUCCAACCUCCAACUUGCUCAUGUCCAGCUCGGGAUAUUCUCCCUGAAGUACAGACAUAAUGCACUUAUAGGAGAAAGCAACCCCAGAGUCAUACUCGGCAUCCAACCGAUCGUCCACAUCAGCGGAUUUGCAUUUCUCCUCAGCUAGCUACUCACUCAGGGAUUUGAUUUCUCCCUCAAGGGCAGUCCUCAAAGUAUCUCUUUCACUUUGAGUUACCUGAAGGUCCGACUUCAGGCCACCCAACUCACCCUCAAACUUGGAGGCAGUGGACUCAGCAAUUGCAACUUUCUCCUCCAGCUCCGUAAUCUGCUUGUUCAGCUCGGCCAGCUUCUCCUUAGAGCGGUCAGCAGAUUCACUUUCUUCUUCAACUCUUGAUUGUCAGCUUGAAGCUUCUUCUCAUGGCGCGCGAAUCCGGUCUUGUAGCACGAAACCAUGGUGGCCAACCUGAAGGAAACUCUUUGAACAGAAGCAGCUAACUUGGAGAGGUUCAUACUCUCAAUAUCCUUCACCAUCUUAGGCCCCACCGAUCUUUUAUAGUCCUUCUGAUACGGGCUCAGGUAGUCACCUUGAUCCCGAGAUGGAAGAGGAGAAGAUCGGUCCCCAGACUGCAAGUUGACCUCAGAACUCUUGUCCGAAGUUUUCUCCCCACCACUCUUACGAGGUGGAGGAGGGGCAGAGCAGGAACAGGCGCCUUGGAAGGACCGAUGCUGGGUUUCUUUAGAGGAGGAGGAGGAGGGUUGCUGGAGCUACUCGGAGCCCGACCACGCUUUCUGCUCAUCGCGCUGAGGAUCUUGUUAUCCAUUCCGGCGGCAAUAUCUACUAAGCCCGAACCGACUAAGUUUGUUGAUGACAGGAGGUCUUGGCAAGUAGACGCGUUCAACAGAGCAGUUUCCACCUGAAGCAAAGGUCGGUCUUCAAGGUCCUUCACCAAACCCCACGAUUCUGAAAAAACAAACAAGGUUAAAGAACCCAAUAAGUGGCAAUUUGAGAAAGAAUAUAGGCAAAAAAUGAACGACCUGGGGUGACAAACUGCGUUGGAAGGUAAAUAUCACCACCCAACGAACGGAGUGCUGAACACCACUUUCCCCCAGCAAAGAAGAAUUUGUUCUUCCAAUUUUUGCACGAGGAGGGGAAACCAGUGAUUGGCUUUCUCUUCGCAGAACUGGACAUGAAGUAGUACCAGCCCGCCUCCCUUGGGCUGCUCCGCAGCUGAUACAGAUGUUUCACUUCAACAAGGGAAGGCUCCUCUGACCCGCACCUCUCCCACAACACAAACAUUGCCGAGAGAACCCUCCACCCGUUCGGGUGUAGCUGACCUGGGGCUAGGUGUAUACCUCCCAAUAUCUUGGCAAAAUAACGCUUUAGGUGCAUCGUCACAUACCCCCGCGGAGGCCGACUAGGAACGUCACCCUUCCCAGGACCUACAAGGAGAACCUCCUCAGGAAUGUCGUAGAGGUUCCUAAGCUUGAAUAUGUCAGUUUGGGUGGUGGCACAGGCUAUGUAAUCAAUAGGGUAGGAAUCAGCCUCCACCCUAUAGCCAAGAUUCUUUUUCUUAGCAGGUCCGCUCGGUUCGGAACUGCUCCCCUCACCAUCACCAACUCCUUCAGGGAUACCAACCCCACCAAAGUUGUGGUUCUCACCAGAGCCCGACGCAGGUCCACCUCUAUUCCCUACAAGCUCUAGUUCGGGGGAGGGAGAGACAACCAAGGGGCGUGGGUACUCAAGGGUAUCCCUGCCAUGGGAAGGAUCUACACUACUGGAAGGACCUAAGAAAUCGGUGGGUAUUGACAUGUUGAGGUCUGAAUCCCCUGAUUCUUCAUCACCCUCAUCAAGAAUUAACUUUCUUUUCCGGUUUGACAUAUCGAAUCCCAAGAGAAAACAAAGAAAACUCGAAUAUACGGAUACAAAAGGGGGCAACACGGAACCCAAUCAACAACAAUCAGAGAAGAGAUUAAAAGCAGUACCUGAAAUGAACUGGCCCUGAUAGCGCUGCCGUGACAGAGAAAAAACCAGCAAGUAGAAACUCUGGACGUAGGAAGUAUGAGUAAAGUUCAGAAAGGGGGUAGGUUAACGACGGAGAGACGAGUAACAAAACGAUGACGAUGUAAGUCUAGGGAUUUGAAACGAAAAGGGGGAAAUGAAAGCAUUUAAGUGAUGGAGACGUCAGCUCACUCACCGUACAUCAAGGACAGAUAGCCCAUCGUUUCAAAUUUCAAAUACGAAGAGUCUGGAGAUGCUACGUCACCAACCGUUACAAGAGGACAGGCUAGAUGCAAGCCCAGAUACGCAAUGGACAUGCUCAUUUAGGCCCAUGCUCAGGUCAAAAUCUCCCCUGAAGAAAAAUGGUACCUCAGGUCCGUCCCGGUAGACAGAAGACCAGAGGAGAAGCCCCCGGAUUGGUAAGAUUUGACUAUCAGUUUCUACUCUUGACUCAUUUCACUCACAAGACCAGAAACUGGGGGACUGGUGUUAAGCAAAUAAAAGUACCAGGUCGGCCAUGCUACUAUUUCCACCCCGGCAUGAAUCACCUCAGCCAAAUGGUACGAGCAGAACAGGGGGCAACAUGAGCCGAUCAGAGACGAAUACUGACCAGAGGUAUAUACCGAGCCGAUACCCGUCUCCCAAAAAAGCGGAAACACGAUCUCACAGAAUCACGAUAAUUGCGCUUUCCCAGAACCGUUGCGGGAGAUGCGAGAUCCCACGUUUGCCCAUAAUGCAGCAGUUAGAGUCCCAUGAGGGGCUGCCACUACCCGAAAAAGGUGGGAUGAAGGGCAAACGGGAACGUGGGGACAGCGGCUAUAAAAGAAGAAGAAAUCGAUGAAGAAAGAGAUAGAAAAAUUAAGGGAGGGAAAACGCUGCCAAAUUGCAAUCAGGCCUUUUUCUUACAAACUUCGAAACAAGUUAGAAACCCUUCUUGAAUCCGAAUUACACUGUUUUCCCGUAAACACCUUGUGCUAACUUAGGCAUCGGAGGGUUUACGCUGGCAAAACCACCGGCGUCUCUGAUCCGUUUUUGGUGAACGCAGGUCUAGUAAGAGAAAGGAGGGCGAUUCCAACCCCAGUGGUCCGAGCAACAGUUGACAACACAAACGUUGGUGAAAGAAUCUAGUCGGUUAAAAGGCAAGCAGAUUUAAGCAUCAACAAUCAUAUAGGCCCAAUUAUUUAUAUAAAGGAUAAGGGGGUGACCCCAAGAAAAGUAGUCUUGUGACUAGGAACGUGAAAACGAUGCUUGAAGUAAGUCGAGCUUACUUUCGUGGAGGACAAAUAGGAGGAUAACAAAUAGACAGGGUGAAAAAAACUUAUGGUUUUGUUUAUUGUUCAUUAAAAUUCUGUAUGAUCUUCUAUUAUAUCAAUUUUUAUUUGUUAUAUAUUUGAGUUUAUAAUCUCAAUAGAAUUAUCAAAUAUCAUAUAUACAUAUUUUUUUUAUUUUUUUUUAUAAGUGAUAGUCAUCGUGCUGAAAGGAAUAGAUGUAGAUAUUUGAGUAUGUUCUAAAUGGAUAUAUUUUGUAAUCUUUUGUUCUUUAUCUAUUGGGUUGUAAAAUAUAAUUAGCACACAUGAACUACUUAAAUGUCUUAUAAUAAAUAUAACUAUAGUACAAAUUAUUAUUUUAUUAUAUGCUAAUUAAUUUUAUAUUUAAUAUUUACUUUUUAUUUUAUUUUAAUUUUUAAACUUAAUCUAAAUUUUUUUUAUAUUUUUAAACAAACAAUCAAAUAUUUUUAUUAUUUUAUUUUUAGACUUUACUAUGUUGCAACGGUGAUACCAUAUCACACUUUUUGUCUCUAUCUCAUAUAACCAUUGGAUUUUAAAGGUAAGUGAUCCAAAGCGCAAGAGAUGGCCACGUUUGUCUUAAAGCAAACCGGAGAAAUCGGUUAAGACAAAGUCUGGUAAUCAAUGAACAACGAUCCAAAUUCAGAACCCGAAUCGUCCUCAUCGCCCCAAUGGCUUCCAAAGCUUGAUCGCUAAUCAAACUACACCUCCCUACAUCCAAAUUCGUCAAACUUUGAGCUGAUUUAUUAACAAUCGAAAUAACCCCAACAUUGCCAAUACUCUUUCUCCUUCUUAAUGGAACUUUACAUAACUUUGGAAGCUACAGCACAAAUACCAUCAUCACCGACAUCAUUAGAAUCUUGACGUGUUUGUUUAAGAUUAACAUUGAAAAUCUAAAUUUUUAGCAGAUGUUCUGGCCACAAUUUGGAGACGAGCAUUGCUGAGAAACCUCGUUGAUUUAAACGAGCAUAAAUUUGGGAACCUGGAUAGAAAAUUUUGGAGAGAAUCGGGUUCAAUAACCCAAAUAGGCAAACGACUUGACCCUCAACUCUUAGCUAUCGCGUGCAAACAAGAGAGAAUGAGUUUCUGUCGUUUCAAUCGUUUAUCCAAGUUAAGGAUUAAACUUAAUUCUUCAUCACCUAGCGUUGACAUAACAAUUUUUUUUUUUUUUUUUUUUGUGUAUUGAAGUUGUUUGUUAGAAUGAUUAUGGGAAAAAGCUGUAUGGAGAAACCAGGGGACUGUGCGGCUGCAAGUGUCAUGCAGGAAAUACUACUGUUUGAAGAAAUGCUUGCUUGCGAGUUUGUUUGCACUUUGUGCUUAGCUUUCUUCUACUGCUCACUCAAAAGUCAGUCGUGGGAAUAAAUUAAUCGCUUGAAAAAAAUCUGAUUCGGAUGAUGGUGAAAAUAGAUCUAAUAGCAAUCAGGGUGAGACCAAGUCGGAGGAGGGGUCUAGAGAAAACAUUAAUGGUCAGGGAGAGGAGAAGGAAGAUCAAAAUGGAAACGAUGAGGUGGAGAAAAGCUCUGAUGAUAACGGACUCCAAUAGUUGACAGUCUACACCUCACUUAUCUAUUAUGUAAUUUCAACCAUUAGAUUCAAUAGUUUUACGUCCAAUGACAUUUUAAACAAAAAGAGUGGCCACUUGGGCUUGUAGUCCAGUGGUGAAUCAUUGCCCUUAAAGUUAAGCAUGACUAUGAGGGCAAUGGUUCGAGUCUCCACGGACUCAACCUCCCUCAAUUAAAUAUAAUUGUGUGGAGAUUUAUUACAACGUCUUUCUUCCUUGCGAAAUGCGAGUGGAGUAGAGGCAUCCCUCCUCUAUGAGGGGCAUUUAGAUGGGCAUGUACUUCAUAGAAUAAAAAUGUAAUAAUAUAAGUUCCAUGUAUAUAUCUGAUUGUAAAUAUCAGUGUAAUGACCUGCUGUCAUAGCAGUUGUAUAUAUCUCUGUGUAAUACAGUAACCAACUGAUGCUUAAUCAGUUUCAAAAAAAAAAAAAAAACAAAAAGAGUGAUAUGGUAUCAUUGUUGUAACAUAAAUGGAUCUUUUAUAUUAAUAAAGUGUUGGCUUCAUUGAUAAUAGAGUCUCUUUAAGUGGCUUGAUUGUAUUUGUUCCCUAAUUUUAAUUGCAGAGAAAUUGCUUUUGUUGAGAAAAUUUAUGCCUCCCGAUUUGAGCGGGAACUUCUAACCUGAGUUAUGUUACGAAUUUAAAGGUGUCUCGUAUAGUUAAGAGAUACCUCGUGGUUAAAAAAAAAAAAUGGAUCCUUUAUUGUUAUAUAUUAUUUUAAAAAUAAACUACUAAAUAAAUUUUCAUUUUAAAAAAUAUGCAUCAAAAACAUCAUUUUCGAAGGUCGAAACCCACCCUCAGGUUCCUGGUUCGAGCUUCAGUAGCGCAAUAAAAAAAUAAAUAAAUACAUGAAAAGAAUCGGAAAACAGAAAUGUGUUAUGCGUGUUAUAGAUUUUUUCUCUCAAUACUAAAACGCUGGCAAAAGACGUCGAACAGAGAGAACAAAAUGGCAGCUCGGAAAUUCUCAGUCCGCCACCGCGACUCCACCUUCGACGUCGACUACGACACCGCCGACGGCCUCGAGGUCUCUCCACCUAUCCCUCUCUCUCUCUCUCUCUCUCUAAAUUCUCUCAUUUUUGCUCUCUAAAACUUCUCAUUUCUCGUUCCAGGUUUUUAGAUUCCAGCUCUUCUCUCUCACUUCGAUUCCUCCUGAAGAACAAAAGGUGUUAAUUUGCUCUCUCUAAGCCGCUCUCUCUUUAAUUGUUCGUGAAUUUAAGCGUAUGUUUUGAUUAUUGGUUGGUGUGACUUUGAUCAGAUCAUCGGUGAUGAUGAUGAUCAACGGCUCGUAUCGGACGAUUCUGAUCUCGUUACGAUAUCUGAUAAGCUCAAAAUAGUUUCAAUUAACGAGGAAAUUUCUAGUGACAGUGGUAAAGAGAAGGAAGAAUUGCUGAAAUCCGAUGAGGAAUUGGCGCGAAUGUUUCAGGUUUCGUGCUUUUUAAAAGUUAAAAAAAAAUUGAAAAAACGCUUCAUUUUUUUGUUUGUUUGAAAAAUCUUGUGGUGAAAAUGCUUACUUGUUUAGAAAAGUACAUUUGAAUUUCUUUUCAGGAGAAGUAUCUGAAAGAGCUUUGAGAUGUUUCCUAUAGAAGCAUUCUCUGAAACAGCCUAAUUUGAUAGGUUUCGAGUUGUUUGGUUCAAUUUUUUUUUUUUUUUUUUGUAGGCAGAGGAGGAAGCGCUUUUGUUUCAACUGCAUGCUGUGGGUGAAAAUAGUGGGCAGUUUGAGGAGACUGUGCACCCAUACAUUAGUAAAGUUCUCAUGGUAAUUUUUAUUUAUUUAUUUAUUUUUGCUCUCUUUGAUUUAGAGUAUGUGGUGGUUUCUUUCUAAACUCUUCUUUUAUUCUUUAAUUGCUGCUGACAUGUUCGAUGAGAAACACAUAUCAAAUUUGAAAUUUUGAAACUCCCUACUUGACAGCAUCAGUGAAAUUGGAAGAAUAUCAUUUGAAUUGCUGCCAGUUUUCUUUUCCUUAACAUUAAUUUUCAACAUAAAUAAAUAAAUAAAUAAAAAUAACCGUUUGAAUUGUUUAGAGGAAAAUGAAUUUGCUUUCUUCUUCAUUUAAUUUCAUAAUCCUCUUGCCUCCAUUGGUAAUACAAAAUAACUAUUAUGCUUAUAGAAAGCAAUUUGUUCUAUUGAUAAUUGAUGGAUUUUUUGUAGUAUGAGGACCCAAUACGCCAAGAGGCUGCCAAGAAGACUGUUCCAGUAGAAAGACUUGAGGAGAAAUCUUUGGUUUCUUUGGCCAGGGUAGAACCUUUCAGUUUCCUACAUACAACAACCUUCCUUAUAAAUUCAAGAUUAGUUCUGAAGCAUGAUGUCAAUUUAUGGGUGUGGCUAUGCUAUUUCUUAAUGCAGUGCUUAAUAUCAUUACGUACUCAGAGCACAUUUGUUUGCUCUAUUUUAUAUACACUUAAUGAGCAGGAAUCAUUUAGCAGAAGGAAAUGAACAUAUCAUGUUGGCUCGUUUUAGUUAAAUUUAUGUUCUGAGUUUUGAAGCUUAGAAGUUCUAUUUAGUAAAUGGUGGAAUUGGUUCAGCAAGAUUACUGUGUUGCAAUUGUGGAUUUAAAAUUUUGAUCCGUGCAUGCUUAUUGACAUACGUACCUAAGCCGAAUUAUUUCCAUCAUACUCUUAUACAAGGAAUCAUAGAUGCAUCUUUGGCUGUUAUUUUGAUGAGUUAAUUUUCAAUCCUGAUGAUUAUUAACCAACAGAAGGGCUUCCUGUAGUUUUUUUUAUUUCUGAGGAUAGUAUAGAAGGUAAUUGUUUCAUCAGCAAGCUGAUUUAGUCAGAGAAAUUGUCUUAUACCAAGGUUGUUUUAUUUCUGACUAUCUUUUGGGAGGUUGAUUUAAAUUUUUUUGACUUCUUUGUGAUUGUUAUAACUAUCUGGCAAGGCUGAUAUAUAUUCCUACACUUCAUUGCAAGGUUACCAUUCAACUGGAAUUUCUUAUGUACUUACUACUUG